rnacentral:lncRNA from 1 species
UUUUUUUUUUUUUUUGGUUGAGUUUUUUGUAUAAAAUGGUAUUAACAAUAUACUUCUAUGACAUGGUAUUAACAAUGUACUUUUAUGAUAUGGUAUUAACAAUGUACUUCGAGCUUGCUAUGCUUGUUUUGGGUUUUUUUGGUGGCAAUCAUGUAAUUUAUAGGAACUUCAGUACUUAUUUCUUAUGUAGUAAAUAUUUUUUGGGUAUGUUUCUAAAUUGUAUUCCAUAUGGGUUUUUUUUAUUUUUUUUAUUUAUAAAUUUCAGCCUCUAUUUUGGGUAUAUUACUAAAGCUCCCAAUAAAUUUUAGAAGAUAAUCUCUUGAUUUGAGUCCAAAUUGGGUCAAUUUCAAAUUUCUUUUAUUUAUUUUAAUUUGAUUAUUUUUGUUUUCGGGCUAUUUGGGAGUACUUUUGAAAAUGCUAAGCGCUUCUAAUAGUGUUGGAGAAAAAAAAAUUAUAAGUGCUUUGGAGUCACAAAUGCGCUUUAUAGGUGAGUCUUCAAGAAUCAUUUCAAAAAAUUUGGAUAUUUAAUAUAUAAAAAAUUGACGUUCUUUAAACAAAAGUGCUUCUACAAAAACUCUUAAGAGUAGAAAUGGUGCCUAAAACGUAGUCUAAAAUGAGCAAAUUGUUUAAUUUUUGUUUAUUUUAUUGACAUUAUCCUAUGUUUGGAUGGAGGAAAAUAACUCGGAAUUUAGCUAAAAGUCGGGAAUUGAAGAGAAGAAAUUAGUAUUUCCAUUUUUUUAGCAACUUAAGGAUGAAACUUAAUAAAUGACAAGCGGAAAAAAUCGUGGAAAUUAGGGAUCGAGAUUCUCAAGUUUAAUUUCCUCCAAAAGAGGCGUCAUUUUGGAAUUUCUAUUGAGCCAAAAUUCGUUUUUCACUGUAAUUUCUGCCAUUUACAAAAUUCGACAUACAUAAAUCCAAACAUUGAAAUUAUUAAUUGCUAAAAAUUUAAACCGAUGUAGAUUUAAAUUCUGUCAUUUUAUAAUUCUAUGCAAUUUUUAAUUCCUUGAUUCAAAUGGAGGGUUAACAAUGAGUAACAGGUAAAAGAGAAAUUAAACAAUUAGUGGCAAGUACGAAGAAAUCAAGUACAAGACAGAGCAUAUUAACAAUCAAUAUAAAGCUUUCUGUUGGAGAACCACUAUUUCUAAGAUAUUUAUCAGUAGCAUUGAUCUCUUGUAGAAAACAAAAUAGCAGUUUGGUGUUUUUAACUGUCAACUAACAGAUGCCAUGCAAGUCACAGCUGCAAAUGGGGUGUUGGCAAAUGGCAAAGUGGCGAUUGGCAAUGGCCGGCACACAAGAAGACCGACCCAGAAGAUACUCAAUGAUUGAAUCUCUCUGAUCUGUCAAAAAAAUUAAAGACAUUAAAAAGAAAGCUUCAAGCUCAAGCUCAAGCUCAUAGCUAGCUAGCACUUACGUGGUUGGAGGGCAGGUGUUUAAUUAUUAAUUAAAUAUCAAUAAAAAGACUCACAUUUCUCUUCAUUUUGAUCAUCCCCUUUUGCAUUAAUCACAUCUUUGAUCUCAAAUUCUCAGUCCCCAUAUGGCAAACCCACCUGAGAAAUUGGCCUCAAUUCACGAAGUUUCUACACCACCGGAAGAGAGUUAUGAUGACUUUGAUGAGGAAGAAAUAGCUCCAUCUUCUUCUUGUGGUUGUUUAUGGGGAUUUUAUUUUAGAGCACUGCGUGGAAGAAGCAACAUUGGAACACAGAGAUAUCUACUGCAACAACAAGGAGGAGAUCAAGUAAAAGAAAAUUGGUUGGUGGAGAAUGCGAAGAAAGUACGAGAGUUUUCGGAGGUUUUGGCAGGACCAAAGUGGAAGAAUUUCAUCCGCUCCUUCAGUACAAUUUACAAGAAAAGAAGGGUGCAAUUUCAGUAUGAUCUGCAAAGCUAUGCGCUUAAUUUCGACGAUGGGGGGUUUGACAGGGAAAUAGAGGGUAAUUCUUAUCUUCAUUUUUCGAAUGCCGGAUAUGCAUCUUGUCCAGGGAUGAACAAUGCCAAGUUCUGAUUUGCUAACACUCCCUGUCCUCAUGUUUGCUGUUGUUGCUCUUGCACAGUUUUAUAUGUGUUUCACGUAUAGAUUAAAAUGAGCUACUUGUUUGUUUAUAGAGAUUGUUUAUUAUUCACUCUUUCAUUUGAUCUGUUUCUGACAAAUUUAUGAACAGCUAUAUUUUGCCAGUACUUGAUUGUUUUAUGAUACUUCUUGUGUAUAAUUCUCUGGGCAUAUUUUCUAAAGUUCUGUUUCUUGUUAUGUUCUGUUAUCUGAUUUCUGUGGUAGUUGCCUCAGCUUCUCCAAACCAAUGCCAUCUAGAGAAAUUGGUGCAUGGUUUUUGCACAUACCUCUGCACCAUUAUAUACCGAGUCACUUCACAACACAAUCAAAAGAAAUUGAAACAUGAAGCAGCAUGAUCCAUGCCAUCUGGUUGUACGAAAGAGCGUCAACGAGGCCACUUUAAAAAUUUACAUACCUUUAUUUACUACAAAUUCAUCUCUACAACAAAAUGCCAUAAAGAAAAGCUAUAAUUUAAUUUAAUCACCAGUGUGAUGUAUGUAAGGAACCAUGCUCAGGUCAUUGCACUGUACACCCACCACAACCCCACUUUUCUUAUUCACAGACAUGAAGAUCAUAAACAAAAAAUUGUAAGCCCUCCAGUGGACUAUCCAAUUCAGAUUCAGUAACAUAAUUCCUAAAUACUGAACUCCUAAUGAUAUAUGAUACUACAUGCAUUUGAUCCACCUGCAGCCUUUGAGCAUACCUGUAUAAUGGCUCAUAUUCAGUUUAUCAUCCCAAUCUCAUAAUCAGUGUUAGCCUUUUUCUUUCUGUAGAAUCAAAAUACGAUUCUUUCACUUCAACCCUGUUGUCUUCUUCCAUGAAGUCCUAUGCUAUCACAGUUUCUAUGUUGAAAUUACGGAUGUAGUGGAAGCAUGAACAAAUAAUCAUUCCAGGAAUGGCUCUCGUUUCCUUUUCUCCAUUCAUCCGAAUCGAUCACUGCUGUUUUCACCUGCAUUACUUCUUUUUGAAUUAAGGUUGGUGGGACGCUCAUGAGAAAUUUAAAGUUCAGAAGAAUGCAAGGUUCAAUGAAUAUACCUUUUACGUUUGCUCUUCAAAACUGUGGAAGUUGAAGGAUUGCUGUGCCAGUUCCUCUUCCUCUGAUUGAUGAACCAAUUGUUUAUCUGCUUUAAUUGCAAACCAGUUUCCUGUACCAACCUAGCCUUGUCUUCCUCCUGAAAAUUUAUAUGAAAACCAUGGUAGUUAGGUAUCGAAGGGCAAAAUGUGAAUGCAGUUGGCUUACUAAAGGAUUGCCAAAGCAGUUUCAGCUUGUAGGCUAGGCUACAAUUUUACAUUUAAACCUGUUUAUAUGUGUUCAUCUUUAAGUAAGUAUUCUAAAGACUCCCACAAGCCUACAAGCAUGGCAGGAAAACCAAAAGACUUUCAAAUCAUAAGCAUGCAAACUCAAAGAGCUUCUCAUUAACCUAUACUUACAGUUGGAUAUGGCCACUUUGAAUGUGAUUGCCACCAAGCUUUUAGCACAGAGGUGGUGUCACCAGGAAGCUUUCCAGCUCGUCUCUUGCGCAAAAUUUCCUCCCGUAUGUCUACGAUUUUCUCCUUGUAACCCUGUGAAAAGUUUGCUUAGAUUGGUAACAGAGGAAAUGCAACAGAUUUACACUCAACAAUUCCAUUUUGUCACCUGCUUCAGCUCAUGCUUCAACUCUUGCCUCACACGCUCCAUCAACGACCUUUCGCUCUCUGUCGGGAUAAGAGGGCCGAAUCCCAUGCUGUCAUGACCCUCCAUGCUUCCAUCAAACAAGUUUGCAUCGCUGUCGACUUGGUCGUCUUCAUCAUCAGACAUCGUAGCACCCGUGCCUUCACCGGGGGAAACUCCUGUUCAUCCAGUUUGUAUAAGAAACUAAAACUUCGGUGCUCAAGAGCCAUGAUCACUACCAUUACAUAAAAAAACAUUACCUGUUAAGCUUUGUAGUGAUUGCUCAAUCUCCCAGCAAGCCAUCACUGCUUCCAUGGCAUGCACCCGGACAUGUUGUUGCAGUUGUUCUUUAAAAGAACAAAGCAACAAAACAUAAUGCCUCUAUAAAAUCAUCAACAAGCAGAAACAAUCAGAAACUAUCAAAAUUAAGUUAACAUAUUGUUAAUUAUGGUAAUUGGGUUUAAGCUUAAGGAUCAAGUGAAGAACAUCAGCAAAUGACUUUGCAGAGAGCAAGAGUUGUCUUGUUGUGGUAUGAAUAUCAGCUUUUGUCUUCCCGCAUGUUUAUUUUUUUCUUUUGUUAUAAAAAGCUGGGGUUGUGUCACUCGAGACUCGCUUUUAUUAUGUUUAAAUUAUAUCUGUCAGCACCACCACUGUCCAUAUCUUGUAGCCUUAAAGCUUUUUCAGAUCCCUAUACCCCUAUUUUUUCAAAAUCUUCAGGAAUCUCAUUAUUUCUUCUCAUGGCCAGAAACAUUUCAACCAUGCCAAGUCCUUCCCUUGUGCCACCAUCUCCAACCCAUCUUGAAAAUUAAAUCCCAUAACUUUUUUGUUUUAAAUUCAACAAUUUAAACUUAACCGCAAUACUUAGGAUCUGUUUGAAACUGAUUCUAAAAUUCUUAAAAGCGUUUUUUGACAAUCAAAAUUUCUUUCGUGCAACACAGAACAAAAUUUCUCGAUUCUCGUUAACUCUACCCAAAAUUGAAGAAAAAUUUCUCAUUUCCAAAGUGCAGAAUUUGUAAAUACUAAAAUUCGUCUGUCCUACUAUAAUCUUACUAAUUUGUGUUCUGAUUGAAAUUAUGAUGCUUAAUAAUUGUUCCAAUUUUUAAAAUAUUCUUUAUAGUCGAUUGGCCAAAUUUGAUGACUCAUUAACAAUUCAAAGCCGAGAGACACAAGUCAGCAAAUUAAGUCAUCACAAAUUCACACAAGCAAUCAAAAAAAAAAAAAAGGCAUACCAUGAACUGAUCAAGCUCCUUAUCAUCGCCCACCAUGCCGUGGCCCAAAGCCGAGUACUUAGCCACCACAUUCUGCGACUGAGCCAGCUGGGCGUCGAUCCUCGGCAGCUGGUCCACCGGCGUGGCGAUCCGCAGGCACGCCACGUGUGCCGACAGCAGCGGCUCGUACAGCGGGUGUGCCAGAAUCUCCGCCUUGUGCCUUGCGUUCUGCCAGUUGAUCAUUCCGCCGUCUCCGCCGCCGCCGCCGCUCUCCACGACGAUGUCUGUCUUGUUGAGGCUGCUGUCGGGCUUGAGGUCGGCGGAGUCGUGGGAGAUGGUGGCGGCAAUCAUGGAGUCGCCCGCGACGGCGGUGACGUCAUCGAUGACGUCGCUAUGGUUGCGGUGGAGGAUGGGGCGGUGGGGCUGUGAGAGCCAUUGGUUGGAGGCCUGGGAGGUGGUGGAGUCGGAGGCGGUGACGUGGAGGUUGAGGAAAUUGGAAGCGCCGCCGCCGCCGUUGUUGUUUGGGCUGUUGUUGUGGUUAUUGUUGGCGUCUGCGUUGGUGUAGUUGCGGAGGAGGGCGGUGUUGAGCCAAUUUGGGGCGGGCUGAAAUGGGUGGUGGGGCUCCGUGGGCUUGGAGUUCGGGUCGUGUUGGUCGGAUUGAAAUGGCUGAUGCUGUUGUUGGGUUUGGUCUGUGAAGUGGUGGAGAGGAAGGUCCUGCUGGGAGAGGUGGUUGUGGUAUGCCAUGAUCGACGAUCAGCUGAGUAUUAAAGUAAUUGCAGAGACAGAGACAGAGGACACUCUGUUUCUCUGUGUUUUACAAAUUAAAAAGGAGCAAUUGUAGAAGAUGAUUCUGAGGACAUGGAUAUGAAAAUUUAGAAGCUUUCUGAGAGUCUGAGAAGAUAGGAGAGAGAGACAAGACAAAGAUAUAUGGCUGGAUUUGAUUAUAUCUAUCUCUCUGUGUAGAGAAACUACACGGUGUGUGUGUAGAAACUUAGAGAGAGAGAGAGAGAGAGAGAGAGAGAGAGAGAUGCGAGCUUUUUUGAGUUUUGGGGAGAGAGAUAUUGAAAGGGUUUAGUUAAAGCUUUGAGAGCUUAUAUAUGGGAUGGUACCAAAAACGUAUAUGAGGAAAUUGAGGAGCUGUUUAGACAGAGAGAGGUUUUUGGACAGAGUGGUUUUCAGGCAAGCAAAAUGAGCUCGAGAAACUGCUUUAGCAAGAAAAAAAAUGGUGGGAUUUUGUGGCAGGUUUUAAUAUUAAUUAAGGAGCCAAGGAGCCCAAGGGUCCCCUAUUACUAUUAAACGAAUAUUUUAUUAUUAUUAUUUCACAAUAUGAUAUAGGAGUUGAAAGAAUAGAAAAUUCGGAUCAAAUAGUUGAUUUUAGAAUAUAAUGGUAUUUUAAUUUCUUUACAAAGAAAAAUAAUGGUAUUUUGAAUCUAAUUAAGGGUAGCAAAGAUUUCUUUAAUUAAGAAGCAAAAUGUUUGGGUUUGAUUGAGUGAAAUUUUAUAAGACCACUUAUUAUAUUUUUUUCCCCCAUUUAACAUAAUAUAUGAGAUUUACUAUUCGGGUAGGUUUUUUUUUUUUAACGGACUAUUCGGGCAGUUAUUAUCAAUCCACCUUUCACUUUAUGAGAAUAAUACUAGUCUUACCACAUUUUUAUAUUACAUGAUGUGGCAGCUGAUAUGUACAUGCCACAUCAGUUAAUUAAUAUGAUUAAUACUUUUUAUUCAUUUAUUAAAAUAUAUUUUAUUGAUUUAAUUAAUGUGACAUAUGAUAUGAAUAUGCCACAUCAUUUAGUACAAAAAUAUGAGAUAAAAAUGUGUUAAGUAUAGCAUUACUUUAUUUUUAAUUUAAAAAAAAAUUCACAACCAGAAGUUAGCAUAGGAAAAAAAGAACAAAAAGUAAAAUAACUCAAUGAAAAUCUUGGCAUAUUAUUAUCGUUGAUGGGGGAUUAAUUUAAUAAUCACUGAUAUGAUGUUUACUUUUGUAUGAAACCCCAAUAAAUAAAGAUGAUAAAGUUUUGUCCAUUUGCGUAGACUUUUUAAACAUCCAUAAAUCGUAUGCGAUUUGAAAUUAGAUGAACUAUUAGAAUUGAAUUAGAUAUUUGUCUAGAAUGAUACAGAAUAUUAAUCCUUACAAAAAAAAAAAAAAAGGUUUAACAUAAUCAAAUAGUUAUUACAAUUAGAACGGAGCUUAAACACGAAAUAAUACUCUAAGUAAAUGCAGCUUAAUCCAAAAUUGUGACCGGUAAUAUCGUGAUUAAAUUUUGGAUUAGAUGAAGAUGAGGCAUGGGGAGACUAAUUUAGCUAAAGAAGUUGCCUACACAAUCCUAAAAUGGUAACAAUUGCAUCAAAGUAGAACCAUAUAAAACAUUUCAACCCUCUCAAUCAAUAGCAAAAUUAAAGUGGUUUUGUGAGAGGACACACUCACCACCCCAAAGUUACUCACACGUGAUCGUCAUACUCGAAUAUUUUGAUGCCAAAACAAUUUGGAUUAUAGAAAAAGCAAUUUUAACACUCCCUCCUCUCACUCCACUACCAUAUGCAUGUAAAAGCAACUUCCCAAUUACGAAAGUACACAAACUGUAUCUAGAAAACGCCCUUAUUAGUUUAUAUUUGUACUGAUUAGUAAUAGUAUCCCACAACUCUUGGAGCGUGCCGUCCACGUCACCCUAGCUAGCGUGGCCAACUACCAAUCUGGACCAUCCAACCACAAAGGCGAUGUAUUGCUCAAAACGGCACCGUAUAAUCACAGGCUUACUGGCUACUGGCUACCGGCUACGGCCGGUGAAGGGGAGAAGAGGAGCCGAGGAUCGUAGAAGGAGGGGAGUCGGGACCAUGAAUUACGUCGCUCCUCUCUCCGGCACUCGCGGGAAAACGACGCCUCGACACGCGUCGUGCGCUGCUCGCUUGGACCACGGCGAUGGGACCCGCACCAAGCACGCGCCAAAACGAGAGAAUCGCAACCUUACACGUGGCGUGCUGUGAGAAGCGGGACCAGUGAGAAUUUUUGACUUCUCUGACAGCCGCCGGCUAAAUCAAUUCGAGAUGUGGUCCCCUUUGUGGGAUGCGGUCCCCACUUUCGAGCCCGGUGGGCCCCAAAAUGGCAAGAUUAGGAAAAGGGUUCUAAAAAAAAUACAAAAUAAAAACGGUGAGGGCCCACUUGGGGGGAGAGCGGGUGCUGCUGUGUGUGGCGUUUAUGGCGAACUGUUCACCUACAUGGCUAAUAAAACUAAAAGGCAAAUGGUCCCCUACCUAGUUGCUCUUUGUAUUUUUCAUUUUUAUUAAAUAUUUUUUCAAUUUUAAAUUUAUUUACUGUUAUAUUUUGUUUGCGGAAAUCCCAAAAUUUGAACUCUAUAUAGAGUCAGCUAUUUAUACACAAUUACAACUUGAGCUGAAAUUUACUUUCUAAAGGCCAGUUUGAUUUUUGUUUUUUGUUUUUUGUGCUAUGAUAUAAAGGAAAAUAAGAGCUAUAAUGGAAGUGAGGAUGAGAUGGGAGGAUGGGAGGGAGAAGUAACAAAUGUGAAAAUAAUUUCAAAUAGAUUUCAAAUUUUAAAUUUUGUUUUCACUUUUGUUACUCCUCUCUCUCAUCUUCCACUCUCAUCACUCCUCUCUCCCAUCUCUCACUCGUAUCUUUCCUAUCAGUCUAAUCUCCACUCUCAUUCUCAUUUCCAUUCUAACUCUUUUUUUUCCUUUAUAUUAUGGCACAAAAUAAAAAAAUUUGAAAUGGUUAUCAAACAGGCUCUAAAUUUGUCCAUUUAAUUAUAGAGGGACAGCCAAUAGCGGAAAUAUGUUUAAAUAUACGUUCAACAUCCUCGUUUCACCAAACCAAAUUGAAGAUGUAAUGAUUCAAUUCAAGUGUUUUAAUCUUAUCAUACAACUUUACUACAUUAUUGUUGUACAGAACGAAUACUUGUCCUCAUUUUUCUUUUUCACCCCUACAAUCUCUCAAUUUUAUUCAUUUUAAAUAUAAGUGAUUCGAACAUACGACCUCGGUUGCAGGAAUAACUACUUAAUUACUUGAGUUAUAAGCUCCUUGUCAAUUUUAUUUCUAUUUCUUUGACAAACAACACAAUUUACAUUCUAGUGAUUUAAUUAAAAUUAAUCUCAGAUCAACAGGAAAAAAAAUCAGCAAAAUCAAUGAAUGGGUGCUUCUGUUUGCACCCACUACUAAUAUUAUCAUAUCAUAUGGUUCUUACCCAUUUUAAAAUUAUUUAUUUAAUUUGAAAAAAAAAAUGAAGAUAGAUAUCCUUUGUUCUAUCCCUUGCUACCAUCUUUUAAGCUCAUAAUUCUAUAUAUAGAUAGAUAUUGUGCGGUUCCUACGUACGUACCUUCACUUUAUGGGACAUAAUCUUAUACUAGUUAAGAUAAAGCCUCGAGAUGAUUAAAAAACAAUUAGACCCUAAACCUAUUUUAUAAUUCUGAAGCGACAAAAGAAGAAAGUAUAUUCUAUGGCAUACGGUCUUGGCUUUGGAUAAGGACUGGUAGAAAUUUAAUGUCAAGUAUGACUUUGAUUUCCUAAUACUUUACAAUAUUAUGAUUUAAAAUAAGAGCCAUGUAUGUACAUAUGGUCCUACAUUUACCUCAUUGUCUUGCCUUCUCAACCAUCUUAAUUAGUAUUGAAUUACCUACACUCUACUCUUCCAUUCUCAAAUAUUCUUAGUUGAAAGGUCGAUGAAUGAGUAAAUUACUUCUAGGGUUUUGACUUAGGUAUGAAUUAAACCAUUUGAUUAUAGCGGGUUCGUAAACGGUACCUCUUUUUAGUAGUAAAAUCUACUUCUAGAUGUAAGAGAUUUGUAAUUCAAGUAUUUGAGGGCAGAUGUUCCCAAUAUUAUUUGUAUAAAAAUAUACUUUUAGGGUUUUAAUCUUGAGAUAUGAUAUUAUAUAUAAUCAGACUAAGAACUUCAUAUCUAUCCAUUAAUUCUCAAAAUCAAUUGUAAUUAUUCACGACACAAUAACAUAAUACGUCAAAUUGUCUAACCUAUGAGAUUAUAGUCCAAUGUUUUUGUCACAAACUAAUUGGAAAGACAAAUCUUCUCCAGUCAGAAAGUCUGACAUAUUUGACAAAAAAUUGUUAACAUAAAUCAUUGAUUAGAUGAUUAGUAUGUGUAUUAGUCUAUGCACUUUAAUUAGACUCGAAUUGAAAACGAAAACUAUCACGGUUUAAAAAAAGUAAAAGUAGGGGGUCAUAUGAAUGGGACAAUUUUACCAAUAUGAAACCCAGCUAAGACGGCUCUUGUCGCAUCUCAAAGAGUCAGUCGCUGUUCCAAGCCAUGCGUGCCUUUUAUAUUCAUUAUUCAUAUGUCAUUUCUUAAUUUUAUUUUAAUUAUAAUAAUAAUAAUAAUUUUUAUUUUAUGUCUAGACCUCAAUCUCAAUCGCUUGUCAGAUACUAUUUGUGUUUGGUUUGGCAAAAAGAGAAAGCAAAAGAAGAAGGCACUAUUUCUCUUUUUGGCAUCAACCCAACAACGCCAACAUUAGUUGGGGAUUAAGCAGAUUUGUUAAUAGAAGUUUCUUUUGCUGGUGACACCUAAUCCUUGGAUUAGAGAUCUUAAUCACCAUCCUUUUUCUGUUGUGGCACCCAAAAAAAAUCAAUCGAGUGUACCUGCAAUCACCAAAUUCCUAUUCAUUGCUUUGUUGAUCAUGACUUGGGAGUUGGUUCAUAAUAAUAAUAAUAAUUUUAAGGGAUCAUAUGCAUAUAUAUAAUUUUCAUUAAUCAUUUUCCACCGACAUUCAAAUUUAUAAAGCUCAAAGUUUUCGUUUGGAAUAAAGGGUAUUUCUCAAUAUUAAUGGCUUGGUCGACUAAAUAUUUGUGUUAAAAAGAAUACAAAAACAUAUGGGUAGUAGGAUGAGUAUUUUGAAAAUGAAAAAAAAAAAAAAAAACAUCACUAAACUAUACUCGUACCAUUAGCUUAUGAUAAUUGUGAACACAAAAUAAGUUGCAAGCACAUAAGCAAGAGUUUUGUAGAGACAACUGUAUACAUGUGUGUGAGUGAUUAUUAGUCGUCUAAUGUGAAUUUCACAAUAGAAUUCACACAAAUAUACAACUGACAAUUACUCAUAAACGCAUGAAAAUAUGUUUUCCUGUUUAAUAGCACAUAAGGGAAUGAAAUAGUUUGUGAGCUUCACAUUAUUAUCUGUAACAUAACGACUGGAAAAAUUACACUAUGAAUGUGUGUUGCAUGCAAUUUAAAAGGGUGUGAAGAAACAAUUUUUCAUUUUUUUCCAAGGACAAAAAAAAAUAUAUACAUAUAAACAGUUCGUGAAUGGUUGUGCAGUCUACACGUGUCAUGCUUCAAGCCCAAACGUUAAGAAUCAAUUGAGACGGUUUCGUAGGGCAUCCGUUACCUGUGACCUGCUCAACGUGUAAUUGGCGGGGUUGUCGAAGUCCAGCGAAUCACAGCCCGCCACAAGUUUCCGCUAGGGACGGGUUUCACACUGGGGCCCACACGUUUUACACGAGGCAACAAGUGAAACCCCAAGUGUGGUCCCCACAUGGAUGAUGCAUGCAUACGACACACUUUCACACUCACUAAUUGUAAAAAACCAAAUGGAUUUGCCAAAAACGUGUGAUUAGUCGUAGGUUGAUUGGUAGAUUGGUAGAUUGGUUGAUCAGGAAUUUGUGUGCGUUAAUUGUGUCUGCCAAGAUUAAGGUUCGUUAUUUUUUAAAUUAUAAGUGGAGCCCACUUAAUUAUGGAGGGGACAGGAUUUAAUUAGGGAUUUAGGAGGAGAGUGGAAAAGGUCUUGUAUAGGGUUUUUGUCUGUGUCCUUGUCUUUUAUAAUUUUUGGAUCCAAUUCUUAAUAAUUAGGGCGUACGUGGGAUGGUAGAUGGGAUUUGUGAUGAUUUGGAUUUUGUUGGCUUGUCAUAAAGUUUAUCGAGCUGUUAUUUGUUUUUUCCACAUUGUAUGCCGACUACUUCUACUCUAAUCCCUUUUCAAUACGUCGUUUGUAAAAUCAUAUUGUAUUUUAAUUAUUCAAAUCGUCUAAUUUUUAGAUAUUUUUUUUAAAGAUUAUUUUUGACAAAAAAUCAUUAGAAUUCAAAAUUAUUUGACAACUCAAUUAAAUAGUUGGUAUUUAUUGUUGUCUUUCCUUGAAGUACUGUGUUUGUUAAUUUUGUUGAUUCCAAUUAGAUGCCUUAAUGAUUUUUAAUUUGCCUGUCUUUUUACAAAGAUGAUCUAUAAAUAAAGACUUAAAAAAUAGACAGUUUAGAUCGUUAAAAAAAAAAAUUCAUAAGAAAUUCUAAAAGAUGUCCGUCGAAUAACGAAUCCCGAAAAAAAAAUUGUACUAUCUAUAUAUGCAAACGUGCAACAUAUUUACACAAUUGUACUCCUAGAAGAGGUGGUAUCUGCUGCACUCCUAAUUUCAUUGGAGUUUCGAGGCGCAUGUUGGGGUCCCAAUUGUGUGCUUCAAUGGUUGGCCUUGAGUACAUCAGGUGUAUGUAGGCUUAUUAUAAACAUUCUAAAAAGCGUACAUGUGUCUUGAAGUGGUACGGAUGAAUGACAAUAGUUAAUCUCAUGUGUUGCAAGUUAUGUUACGUAAACUGAGACCCUCAGCCCAAGCUCGUGUGUUUCGUUAACACAAAUGCAUUACUUUAACAAACUUCAAACUUUUUGACAUACUUUUUAUGAAAAUACGUGACAUGACUAUUAGAUAAUCUAAAUUAUAUUUGGCAUACAUCACGUCUCGAUCGACACCCUUGUCAAAUUCAUAUGUACUAAUUUUUGUCACCACAACAUCCCUUUCUUUUAUCAAUGGUUCUACCAAUUGAUACGUUUCCAUAAAUAAUUGAAAUUCACUUUCUUGAUCUAUAUCUUCAAUUCUAGGAACAACCCUCUUUACGUAUGUCAAUUUAUCUAAACUUAAAUGAGAGAUAUAUGUAUUUUCAUUAGAGUAAGUUUGGUGAGGUGAAUCGGUCUCCCUCAAUUAGUCCUAACGAAAAGAUUCUGAAUUUGACAGAUCCUCCAUCUUUGUAUAUAAAUAUAUAAUAUAAUAUACGUACAGAGAGUUUUAGUUUCGGAUAUCUCAAAAUAAGCUUAUUUGACAAAAUUUGUUACUUGUAAUUUUCAAAUAAUGCUGGAAAACAAAGUCCUCGUUGGUUUCCAAACUCGUAGUUAUCAGAUGGUGUCUGUGGGGUAACAUUCUUUUGGAAGAGACUUGGCAAAAAGGUCAAAGGAAGCAAGUAGGAAAAGCGAACCCCAUUGUGAAUUGAUGUUCAGGAAAAAGAAAAGAGGAAAAACCACUCGUGGAUUCUCAUUUGAUCAAAUACCCCAUUAUUGGUUCGUUUUGACCACUCCAUCUCUCCAUGCAUGAAUAUAUGAAAGUAGCUCAUGAUCUGACUGAUGAAAAUAUAUACCUAUUAUUCAAAAUCAUUGUUGUGCUUUUUCUUUUCCCAUUUAUGCCAAAUCAUUUUCUCUCCCAUUCAUUCGCAUCACCAAGCUACCAUAGCUAACCCUAGCUAGCUAGCCGAACAGAUGAAAUGGGCAUUAAGUUUAAGUGGAAUAUUUUGUGCUUGAUGCAUAGCGUGAUAAUUAGACCAACAGUUGUGAUCACAAACUUUUGUGAUGUGCUUGCCUUCCAAUAUUUAUUGGCAUUGAGUUGUCAUCGAACCCUAAAAUCAACAGGUAGUGAGUGGAACAACUCAGAACAUUAUGCAGAAUAAUAUACUUUAAAAAGGACAGAUGUACAAUUUUAAUUAGUUAUGGUGCGCGUGACGAUGAUGUUACCCCACACAAAGUAUGGGGUGGCCUUAUCCAGAGUUUGAAGAAACGUUUUUCUGUGUUUGGUAUUGAAGACAUUUUAUGUUGUACCCCGUUGAUGCUUGCUUAUCGAGGCGCACUUGUGGCUGAAAUCAUUGAGAAAAUGGUAUCAUUUGGGAACAAUUAUAGAGGGGAGAAUUUGGCAAAAAGUGAGAGAGUCCGGGGAAAAAUGCUCACAAGAAUUAUAAAUCAUACAGAAAUCGCAUAAUUGAGACAUGCAAUUUGCUGUGCUUAGAUUAGAUACGUGUAAUUCAGAAGAUGCUCUUCUACAUCUUCACCGUCAAUGCAUGCAUGCACGUAAUCUUGGGUUAAUUAGAGAGGGUUUUAAUUAAGGAUUGUAAGUAAUUAGGAUCAUGUUAUCUUGUUUGAACUUCAUGUUUUGUUACUGGGUUUUGGAGAUUAAUAGCUGGUUUUUUAAUAUGAUGAUGGGAUUAGGCAGUUGCUAAUUUUACCCACCUUCUUUUUCGACUUCAUGUUCCUUUGCCUCCUCUCUGGCCCCCCCUCCUCUAUCUCUUUGUUAGGCUUUCUUGCAUGGACCACAAAAACACUGAGCAUUUCGUGCAUGGACCACUCAACCACUCACCUCUACUUCACUGUGCUCCUUAACCCCACGCCCCACGCCCCACCCCCCACCCCUCCCCAAGAAAAAAAGACCAAAAAAAAAUGUCAAAAUGUUUGAAAGAUACAUGUGGGAAUCCAAUCUCUAUUCUUGACCUAGGCAUAUUUAACUGCCAAUGUUCCACCCAAUCUUUUAUAGCAUUUGUACUUGGUAUUGUUAAGAAAGGAGCUUGAUCUUUUUGUUAAAAUCCCCUCUAUCUAUCAAGGUCAUUGAAUAAAACCCAAUUGCUAAUUCUCUUUACUAUUGAGUUUUUGGGUGAUAAGGAAAUCGAAUACAAAACUUCAGAUCGAGAGGUGAAUGCUUUUGGGUGUGAGUCGCUAGAUAUGUUUAAGUAAAGUUGAAUGAUUGAGAUUUGAAUUUUCAAGUGAGUGAGAGAGAAAGGGAGAAAGAGGAAGGAGAUGAUCCACCUUUAAGAAAGUUGCUAAUUACAAUUAGCCUAGUUAAUUAAUAUCUCAUGUAAAAGAGUGCAAAGUAGAUAAUAUUUUGUUUUGCAAAGGACAGCUUCCGCUGGGGAAGCGUGAAAACUUACCAUCUUAGGCUGUAAGAAGAGGGAACAAAAGACCCAGAAUGGUAAAAAGGAAAAAGGACAGCAACUACAUAUAUAUAUAUAUAUAUAUAUAUAUAUAUAUAUAUAUAUAUAUACCCCACCAGCUCAAUUCAGCUAAUGUAGGCGAUAUUGAUAGAUGAUGAGGAAAAUAAAAGAAAAGAAAGCAACAAAAGGACAUAUAAUAGAGCAAAGCAAAGCAUGGUUUUGAUUUGAUCAUGUUUUGUUUAUUGCCCUUUCUUCUGUGAUGUCACACCAGCCAUCAGGUGCCUCACAACCCUUUUUAAAUAAAUAAAUAUUUUUUUUAGUACAAGUGAUAGUAAGAGAUGAGGUUUUCUCGCAAACACAACAUAGUCAUGAUGUUAUGAAGAUUCGAAUUUAAGACCUCAGUUGGCAAAUCAAUGCCAUUUUAUAUUUGGCUAGAUCUCGUUAGCGUUCUAAUUUUUUUUAUUAUUAAUCAGAGGCACUUGCCAACUUGAAUGAGCAUGAGUUUCCCUCCAAAAAGAGUUUCAAUUCAAAUGACCCUAUCUUUUAUUUUUUUUAUGAUGAAUUAAGUUUGUGUGCUGCUAUAUUGCAAGAGUGUUUUUGUCAAAUUCUUCUCACCAGUGAGAUUGAAAUUUGUGGACUUUAGGGAAGUUUAUUUUAUGCUAUUUGUCAAUGCAUGCCAAAGAAUAAAUCUAGGCCUUGUGGGAUGAAGCUUGACCUACUUUUGGAAAUUUUCUAGUUUUUGACAAAAUUUGUUCAGAAGGGCUGCUAAGGGAAUAUUGGCACAGUGAUCAUAAAUUUGGAAUAUUUUUCAAAGUACUAUGCAUGAAGAAAUUUGUGUAUGUAUCUAUGGAAAUUGAAAACAUUUUGACAUUUUUAUCAUUGUUUGGUGAAAGUUGUCAAAUAAAAUUGCUGACCACCAAAAUGCGACACUGAAAAUUAAUAUGUAUUAUUUCCAAUGUGUUGGCAUAUCAUCUUCAAAGUUAUCUUUCCUUGAAAGGCAACACAAAAUUGUCAUCAAACAUUACAUAAUGUUGGGUGCUGACAUCUUCCUCCCUCCUCAAUCUUCAGGUUCAUUCAUCCUUGUAUAUUCUGGGCUAGUUAGGCCCAUGCAACAUCUGGGUUUCACGCAUCCCCGACUAUCACAAGAGACCCAAAUAAAACGUGUGAGUACGAAACGAGUUAUAAACUCAUAUGUUUUAACUUCGAACUCUCACAUUGAUAAGAAAUUGGAUUGUAUUGUCUUGAAAAAGGUUUACAUAAAUUUAAGGAGGCGGGACAUAUGCAACAACAAAACAAGUUCACAUGUUACACACAUGUCAUUCUCUAUCAAAAACCACAAUUUAAAAAACACAUUCGUACAAAUUUACAAAUUUAUCAAUCACUUUCGUUUGUGUACCAUUCUAACUGAAUCACAUUUCCCACAAUUUUUUCUGGGUCACAUCGCAUUGUUUCAUUUUCUCUAUCUAUACACUGUUGCCGUACACCCAACUGCAAACCAGAGAAGGACCCUAUUUCAGGGUUCCAACUAGCGCCAUAGGCCCACCAAACAAGCCCAUGUUUACUGCUCCUUUCACCUAACCUAAGGAACAAUCCUAGUACCAACUAUCCCUAUAGAACUUCUAAUUUUAAUUUUAAAUUUUUUUAGGGUCGUAGCUGUUUAGCACUAUUAAUCAAAAGAGAUUUAUGUUAAGGAUAAAUACUCACUUCUAUCCGAAUCGUAUUAUAAGAUUCACUUACAUCAACGGCUGACAGUCACUCACGCACGCAUAAAUGACUGUUCAUAACAUAUCUUAUAAAACAAGUUUCACUUUUACAUGUACAAUUUUUUUUUUUUUUUUGCACACGUGUGUAAACGACGGACCGUAACAUUUCUUAUAAAAAAUGUUUCUUUUUUGAAAAACUUGUCUUACACGUGCAUGUAAGUUAUAAUCAAUCAAAUCGUUUGUCCUGGUCGACAUAAGAAAAAUGACUAUUAUUUUCCCUUUCUUCCAUGUAUGUAACUCUGUUUUGGAUAGAGAAUGACUCGUAUAGCGAACCCAUUGGGCAAUUAUAACAUGUUGAUGUACAAACAUCAUAGAAUUGAAUUGGUGAUGGGAUACAAAUGUGACCGCAUAAUGGAAGAAAGUCUCUCUCCCAACUCUUAACACAGUUGCAGGGUCAGGCUUUUAUCCCAUCUUUCACUUUCAUUACAUCUUCAUCACAGAGAGGCGUGUUCUAAAUUUUAAGUAUCAUUGCAAGUUGAAUUGAUUGCUAGAGCUAUCUUAUGUUUCCUUAUGCGUGCAUAAGCAAUUUUUAACCACUGAUAGAUGUAAAGUGUACAAUUUAUUUAUUAUUGUAUUUCACCACCGUCACGAGCCGCUGACACUAGCAAAUGAAAUUAAUCUUACUAUUUACUGUUUAGCAGCACAUGAAUUCUCUUUUACUUUUGUAUGUUGUUUUGUCUUUGAAAAUUAAAUUGGGAGAAAGUGAUUUGAGGUAUGGUCGGAGGAACCUCUUAAUUUGGUGGCUUGAGCAGUUGAGCUAAUACUGGUGGAGGCCACUUUUACAGCAUAUGACUGUCCCUUAAUAAUACCAUUGCCAAGGGGACCGUGGAAACGAAUCUUAUUCUUGUCAAUUUAUAUAAACAACAAGAAACAAUAACAUCAAUCAACUCACCAAAAUUUCCAAAUUUGUUCACAAGUUUUUUCCAAAACCUCCGAGAGUAGCAAAACUCAUGGGUCCAGUUGACGUACAAUAAUUUUAGGCUCAUUAAGAUGUUGUACAACUUUAAAUAAGUAUACAGGCUUAAAAUUAUUACAGAAAAGAAAUAUAAAUAACAACUGAUAAAAUCAUCGGUAACAUGUUCUGAAGGUUUUUUUUUAUUUUUAAAAUUACUCCGGUCGACUCGGGAGAUGUUUCAAAUUGAGUGAAGACAUAAGAAGCUGGCUGUGUUGAAUGUGCAAUUAGAGGAAGCAUUUUGAUCACCAAAAUCCGAAACAGAAAAUGUCAGCUGAGUAAAAUAUCUGAAAAUAUGAAAUUAUGGAAACUAUGGCUGUACUUGAGUUGAGAUAUACAAUUCUAUACCUUAAACUUCAACAGUGUGAAUGAUACUAAAAUUAUCCGGUCAUACCAGCAUGUUCCAUGAAGAAGAAUUAGAAGGCCAUCUGCAAGAGAGAUCACUAAUUUUAGACUGACAGAUAUUCAACAAAACAUGUCCAUGAAUAAGCUCAGAAGUCAAUUGUGAAGCAUUAUCAAGGAAAGAAUGAAACCUUCAAAUAAAUCUCCAAAUCAUUUCUGUGAUAUUCUGCGUCUGUCGCCCCACAAUCUGGAAUAUGCAAACCAAUUUCACACUCACUUCCCUUGUCCCUUACCCAAUUUCACAAACUGCUCCCCUCACUUCCCUUGUCCCUUACCCAAUUUCACAAAAUUUCACCGAGAAAUGGUUGUCCCUCAGCUACUUUCCAAAUGCUCUCCAGCUAAAGCAGGCAAGUGCAUGGAGCCUGUCGCCGUCUUGAGCUUGUCGCUUAAUUCAUCCAACACCGAGUAGAUCUCUUCUGAUUUAGGGUGUGUCUUGUCAGCAACAAGAAACUCAUGAACUACAUCACCAAUCUCAAUCAUGCUACAUCCAGGUAGCUUGCAAAAACUUGCGUCAACCAUUGCCUGUCUAACUGCUUCAACCCUGUCAAACCUUCCAGCUGCAGCAUACAUAUUUGCUAACAACACGUAGGAACCCCCAUCCAUUGCUUCUAAGUUGAAAAUAUGGUCAGCUGCCCACUCUCCCACCUCAAUAUCACCAUGAAUGCUACAAGCAUUAAACAGUGAUCCCCACACAAUUACAUUUGGUUCAAUAUCCAUCCUCUCAAUGAGCUCCCUUGCUUCUUUUAGAAGUGCAGCACGGCCAAGAAGAUCAACCAUGCAACCAUAAUGCUCAACUUUUGGGGUGAUCUUAUCAUUUUUCACCAUCGAAUCAAAGUAUUGCUUGCCUAUUUCAACCAAACCAGCAUGAGCACAAGCAUGUAAAAUCGAAAGAAAGGUUAUGCUAUCCGGAAUAGCACCUGAUUUUCUCAUCUCGUCAAAGAGCUCUAUUGCAGAUCCAGCCUGCCCAUUUGACGCAUAUCCAGAGAGAAUAGUGUUCCAUGUUGCAACAGUUUUUUUAUCCAUUUGAUCAAACACUUCUCUAGCUGCUUCAAUAGAACCGCAUUUUGCAUACAGGUCUACCAAAGAGGUCCCGAUGAACUCGUCCCAAAGUCCAUUCUUCUCUGCAAAUUUCCGAACCCAAUUCCCAAGAUUAAUAGCUCCGGUUUGGGCACAAGCAGACAACAAGCCUGAAAUUGUGUACCUAUCAGGCUUAACAUCCCAAAAACACAUAUCCUUGAAAAGAUCAAUUGCUUCCCUCGAAAACCCAUUAAGGGAAUAACCACUUAUCAAUGAGUUCCACACCACAGAAUUCUUCUCAGGCAUUCCCUCAAACACUCUCUUUGCAUAAUCUAAACAGCCACAUUUUGCAUACAAGUCAACCAUUGCAGCUCCCAGUUUCACACUUAACCCAAAAGUUACCUCUUUUCUCACAUACCCAUGAAUUUCUCUCCCAAGUUUCAAGUUUUUCGAUACCGUGCAAGCCGAUAUCAAUGCCAAAAUCGCGCCUUCAUUGGCCUCAACCUCUCCCACUUUCACCAUCUCCCUAAAAACCUCACAAGCUUCCAAAGCCAUCCCAUUUCGCGCAUAACCCAUUAUCAUGGCAUUCCAGAAAACAACAUCCUUCGCCUUAAAUUCAUCAAACACCUGCCUUGCACUCUCAAUUUUUCCGCAAACCCCAUAAAAGUUUAGCAAAGAACUACACAAAAACCUAUCCGAAUCAAACCCAAUUCUAACAACCACACCAUGAACCUCCCUCCCUUUCUCCACAGCCAAUUCACUAGCACAAGCUUUGAACACAAAAGGGUACGUGAACUGGUCGCCAACCGCAUUUUCGCGUACCCUCAUAUUGUUAUACAUUGAUAAAGCAACAAAUGGGGUUUCUGAUUGAGAAUAUGCUUUGAUCAUGGAAUUGUAAAUGAAGAUGCUUGGCUCUUGGGUUUGAACCAAGAUGCGUGUGGCGUAGUUCAGAGACUGAGGGAACAGGAAGGAAUUGGCGAUUUGGGUGAGGAUGAAAUGGUUGUAGGAAAGGCCUGAGAUUAUAGAUUUGGCAUGGAUUUGCUUCAGUUGAUUAAGGCUUGUGCAGGUUUCUAUGAGAGCUAGGAGUGACUUGGGUCCCUGAGUUUUCAUUAUAGCAUCAGUGGAUCACUGGGAAUUGUACCAGUUGUUCAGUUUAUGUCACUGUAUGGCGGCGGGGAAAUGAGGAGGGAAACAAGAGUCGUGCAAGGUUUUUUGAGUAACGGCAUUUCAAAAUAGAGACUAGUUUUGAUAACUCAUAAAAUCACAAUAAAAAUUUAGUUUUGACUUCAAAUUCCUUACAUAAUUAUCUAGAUAACAAUAUUUUGUGUUUGAUACCCAAUACAUAUUAGUGUAUUUUAAUAAUGCUUUUAAACAUUUGAUAUUCAGGUAACAUCAAUACAUAAUACUUCAAGAAAAGUGGCAUAACUCUUAGGAAAUAAUCAUUGAUCUGGUUUCGAAAUUAAACAAGACGUAAGAUAAAGACCACAAAUGUUUGUUAAAAAAUAAAGAGACCACAAUUGAUCAAUCCGACGACAAUAAUCACCUGCCAAAAUGUUUGUAAAAAAAAAGUAAAGCCAAAUCGAUAGGUUGAACAGGGUGACAACUUAUUUCACAACAUUGUACAAAAUUACAAUAUGAAUAUAAAUGUACAACAGAACACACCCUAAUAAUAAGAAUUUGUUUUCAGAAGUCGAUAAAAUGGAGGGAGGUUCCCCGGCGAAUCUCAAGAACACAUAACUAUAACUCCUGCCGCUGCCAAUAAAAAGCUGGCAUUGUUUACUGACACUGAAAGCAUUGUUCCUCUACUCUAACAUAGUACAUUUUGGGAGCUAAUCCAGCUGAUGUUUUUAGUGGGAAGAAUCAUCAUGCAGUCCCAACAACACGAACAUGAUAUGGGGGCCCACGGCAGAAAAUCGGCUCAUCGGAGGAUUUAGUUCUUGCGCGAGCCCUGAGAAUAUCAUUAGCAUCAUCGAUCACCGAGGCCGCUACCAGUGUGUACUCUCCUGGGACAAGAAAAUACAGAGAGAAAGAAUGCUUGAUUUCUUGAAGCGAAGGAACCUCCACAUUGAUCCCGCUCAAAACACCUACAUACAAAUCAAUCGUAAAACACAUCAGUGACACAUUGUAUUGCAUCUAUGAAAAUUGCAAUGGAAGUUCUAAUAACACUGAUUGCCAAACAAACAGUUUCAGAAAUAAACAAAAAAUAGGCAGGAUUAAAGAGGUGAUUGAAGAAAGGCAUCAUCAUAGAACAUUACCUGAACACAAGACAGUUGCCUUUGUACCCUCUACGCAAUUCUCUCCAGCAACAUCUCGGCAUGUGAUGCUAAGACUCAUCUUGAUCUUCUCCUUUGUGUUAUUACGAACCACGACUUCCAUCGGAGUCAUUUCAUGCGCCAGCACAGAACCCUUAGCUGCAGCAGAGUGAACUUGAACAUUGGGAGAAUUGUGCGAACUAGAAUUUUCAGGUUCAAGGGCAUAUCUAGAAAGCCUGAAGCAAAAUGUCAAUGGGUCUGGCAGCAGUACAUCCAUAACUGAUGUCUGAAGGGCUGCCUGUAUAGCAUCCUUGAUAUUUAGCUCCCCAGAGCUGUUCCGCCCUGAUUGCCACCUAACCUUUAUUUUAGAUAUGAGGUUCUUGAUAGAAGCAUUAAGUUCCGCUUUAGUAUUCCUUUCUGAAAAGCUUGAAUUUCUGCCACUAUUAGCCCCAUCUGCCAGAUUAUCCUUCACAAAGAAAGAAUCAUCAAGAACUGGUAAUUUAAAAUGCUCCAGUGGUAUCAGUACCCUUGCGGAGCAAUCUCGAUCAAUUCUUGUUUUAGGGUAACCAUACUCAGCAGCAUCUCGAUCUCCAGAAAGUCUAUGAUCAUGACUAAAGUUCUCCAGCUGGACUGAAACAGUAAUUUCAAAGACAACAUCAGUGGGAUUAGACAGCUCAAGUUCAAGAAAGCGCAGUCCCCAACUUCCUCUGAAAGGAUCAAUCUUCACCAAUCUGUCCAUCUUAGUUGGAGAACUAAGAGCUUCAGUAGGGCUAUCUUCUAUAUGAACUGGUUUUGGAAGGUUUUCACCCACUUGCGCAGGAAUCUCCAUUGAGAGCAGACGAGCCUUUACAAAAGACAAACCCUGCAAAACACAAAUCUGCAAAGGAACAACCAGGCGCCUGCCAGGGGGAACAGCAGAUUUAUUUGUGGCAGGAUCUCCAAUAUUUGUCAGAGGCCCUGAAAAGUAAAAUGUAAAGCAUUAUUGUCAGAAAGAGAAGUUAUUGGUACUCAUACUCACUACUCAGGAACAAGGUGCCACAGAGAUACAGAGAGCUGUAACUCAUCACUAUGAAAAAACUCCAACAGUUAACUUUAACAAUUAGUAGGAACACAUCAAUAAAAAAAAAUAAAGGUUUAGCAUUCAGUACCAAAUGCUGUGAGAGUAUAUGUGGUGUGGGUAACCUAACCUCCCUAUAUCAAAGCUAAUAAAGCCAAACUCUAGAUUGUGUGUGUGUGUGUGUGUGUGUGAGAGAGAGAGAGAGAGAGAGAGAGAGAGAGAGAGAGAGAGAGAGAGAGAGAGAGAGAGAGAGAGAGAGAGAGUAUUAUAUAGAUUUAUCAAUACCUGCAUAAUGGAUCAACAAUGUGGGGUUACUUCCAUCCUUAGAAUGCCUCACAGUGCCUCCAGAACCACUCCUGCCUGCAGUAUCUGCAUCUGCUAAGACAUGCCGCCAAGCCCUUAAGGUCACAGGUAAAGUCACUUCUGCACCAGGCCUCAACGGAAGGGCUGAGUUUAAGGUUUCAGAUGCAAUCGAGAUAACAGAAUCUUGGUUUUUUCCUGAUAGUGAUACAUGUGCUUGCUCAACUGGAACAGUACCUGCAUUAGCCAGACUUAUCCAUAAAUCAUGAAUUUCACCUUCAUGUAGAAUGAUUGCACCGUCACCCCCGACAACACGUGAUACCAGCAAUGGUAAUGGUGGUACCACAGAAAUGUUUGGAACAGAUAUAUUUUUCAACCUCGCAGACCCACAGCAUCUGAAUGGGUCAGAAAGCACAAGUCCUUGUGUAGCUCCAAGGAGCAGAUUGUCAACAUCCUUAAACAGGUGUUCAGUAAUAACACCAAAGCAGUGGACAGUGCACCCAGGAAUUGUUACCGUCCCCACCGAAGUCGGGAUCCCAGAUAAAGUGACCACCUUUGAUGAAUUGGGUGGAAGGUUUACAGUAACUGGAAAAGCAUCAAAAUUUCCUGAAGGCACUGCGAGAUAUAUACUAUCAACCCUCAAAUCAAAGCCGCAUGGGUUUGCCAGUUCGACCAAAAUCUGAACUGGUUCUCCAACAAUCCAAAUCAGCUCCUGUUUGGUGUUAGUAUUUGCAUCUCCCUUGCUAAAUGGCGUAUAAAUAAAAGGCCCAGUAUUAGCAGCUCCUGCCCACCAGUCUUCUCUUGCUGGAUUGCGCUUUACGAUGUCCAUUUGCGAAGGAUGCAUAGGAAAAGAAUACAAUCUAGAAGCAAGUAUGAUUAAAUUAGAAAAAUCCUCAAAAAAUUUGAUGAGAAUUAAAUGAAGAACAUAAUGGUGAUUUGCCUGUAUCCUUAACAUCAAUAUUCAGUUCAGGAUCACCUUAGAUAUGGGAGAUUUUUAAAAACAAAGGAAUAGAUUGUUACUCAUCGGCAAUAAGAAUAGAACACUUCUUAGCUCUACCACAGGAUCUAAGCACAUUAUAGUUCCACAAAGAGUAUAUAGGUAAAUAAAACAUUGUUUUAAAAAAAAAAAAAAAAAAAAGGCUCUAAAGCAAGUAGCCUCAACUAGACAGAAACAAAAAGUAAAUAAGAAAAACUCUAGCAUCCAUAAAAAAAUCAUCACGUUGGGCAGAGCUAGCAGGUAUUCACUUCUCAUUGCUCUGCAGUCUUUAAGAUUAAAAGGAAAAAAUAAGGAACCUUUCAAAUGAGUUUACUUCAGAUUCGUCUGUAAUUCAUGUAUCAGAAAGAUCUGUUUCAUUGCUGCUCUGCUAGAUUAAGCAUAUUAAUUGCCUUUGAAUAGAUAAAUAAUAUAUAUAAUAAUUAUGGUAAACAUAUAAUUAUUUGUUCAACUCCUAGGUAUCAUGGUCUCUGUGCAACUAUAUACUUGUCUUGCAAUAAAGACAAUGGGAAAAAAAUUACCUAGAGCACAGCAAAUAAUAUUGUUGUUGGGCUUCAUAAGAAAUAAAAUGUUCAUGUACUAACAGGAAAAAUGCAUAGGUACUGGUGAAGACCUAAUGAAAGGUAAAGCAGGGUCAGCACAGCGAGUUCCCGAGGGCAAUCUAUCUGCUGAAUUUGAAAGUGCACUAGCAAGGCCAUUUUGCCCAGCUGGUGUAAUUAAAGGAUAAUAUGAUCUUAGUAGUCUUGCAGCUGCCCCCCAGGCAGCAAGAGGAUCUCCUGCACGGACGGCAGAUAGAAGAAUUUCUCUUAGUACAACCAUCUGUAGUGUGCUCCACUGAGACUCAAAUAGAGAGACUACUGACUGGUGGAGCAUUUUCCCACCCUCAGCAAGGCUUGAUCCAAUUUCCUUCUGUGCAGAAAUAAAACCAGAAUGAGUAGCUGAAAACUUACUAAGGCUCACAAACAAUCAAAGCCACACAACAUAUAAGAAGGUUUACACAUGAAAUUUACUGGGAAAUAAGCAUGCAGACAGACCGAAAUGCAAAUUGUGACCCGGAAUUUUUUGCUUAAUACUUAUAUACUCACUUUGGAAGGAGAGUCUUCUGCGGAAGCUCUACUUUGAACACGAUAUGCUCUUGUGGUCAUUGCUAAAACUUGCAUUGCACUAAUAGCAGCCAGUCUAUUAUCUUGUUGCAAAUAUAACUGAGCUACCUGCCUCGAGAAAAAAGCAGCUUUUCGCUGAUAACCAAGAGUUCCGUAUAACCGAGCUAUUUCAACAUAUAAUACGAGUCUAUCACUGGCAUCAAUAAGAGACUUAGCACCAUCUGCUGCACUUGUUAGGUAUCCCACUACCUCCUUAGCCAGCUCUCGUCUGCCAAAAUAAACCAAAAAUAAAUCCGUAAGAUGAAAUAGUGUAAAUAAUAACUCUCUUCCUAUUAGUAUUUGUGAUCUAAUUCAACUUUUUAGAGCCAGAACAUUAUCCAGUGAGGUCGAGGGAUACAAUCAUACAAGUAAUACAUGCUGCCUUUAUCAAAUCAUAUAACGGUCAUGAACAAAUUUUACCUGCAAAGAAACCUUGCCAUUUUCAAAGUAGCCUCUAGUUCAAAAGUUAAGGGUGAAACUCUGCACAGAAUAGAUUAAUAAAAGUAACUGUUAAAAGAAUAAGUACAUAACUAAAGUAACAACCAUUUAAACACAACGGAAUCUAUGAAUUACCUCUGAGCAUGCUCUUGUAUAAAUGACUUCCUGUAGUGCGAGAUGACACUACUAUACCGAAAUCUAACUUCAUCUUCCACAGCCGAAUCCUUUUCGCCCAUUCGAUCAAUCUAACAACAUGAAUAUAUAAAUCAGUCAUAGGAAAUAAAGCAAUAAGUAAACAGAAAGCCAUGCAAGUCUACGUUACUAAGCACAGGUAACCAUGCAAAAGUCCAGAGAAGUAGCUAUUACCAGUAAGGCACAGACAUUUCCCUCCAAUGCACCAGCAUACCAGAAAAAAUCUCCAGUCAACCUAGCAAGUUCUAGUGCAGUAGUAUAAUGAGCAUUAGCAUCAACAGGUGACCCUGCCAACAAGCAAUAAUCACCCAUUGUCUUCUGGGCACGCCCAAGCCUCCGUUUCUUCGCCUUUAUAACCUGUCAUUUUCAUUGAUUUUGCACUUUACUUUUCAGUACCAAAAAAUGAUAGAAUUCAUAACAUUUAGCACAAAGAAAGAAAUCCACAUACCACCACUCCAAUUCAGAUACAACAAAACUAUAUAUUAACAAUAAUAAUAAUGAUAACAGCUUAAAAUUCUAUAGGACACCUAGACAUGAACCUCCUCUGAGUUGAGAGUAGCUUGAGAAUCCAAAGGCGUCUUGACAAUAGUCCCUGCAGGCUCAGCUUUCAGCACCCAUUUCUCAAACUCCAUCAGCAACGACGCCGCUAUGUCCUGCAUCAUCGUCUGCAAGUGAAACUCUUGCGUCGCCCGAUCUGCUGGCGGAAACAGCAUCAAGUUCCCACCUUUCUUGCUCCCAUCCUCCAACUACAACAAAAAAAAAAAUCCAAAAAGUUUCAAAUUAAGAACAAGAAAAGAGAAGAAUCCAAAAAAAUGGAGAAAAGUCUAGAUUCUGAAUCUCGAGACCUGAGAAUCGCCGGGGCAGAAGGCGAAGCAGCGAUCGACGAGGGCAGAGGCGUAGGCACGGCGAGCCGAGUCGAAUUGGUCGAUGACCGAGUCGAGAUCGGGAGACGAGGGGCAGUGGCAGAUGCCGAUGACGGCUAGGGUUUUGCGAUUGGACUGAAAGUCCUCCCAGGGGGACGGUGGGGCCCCACCGACGAUGAACUUAAACCGGAGGCUGCCGGAGUCCCAUGGCUGAUUUGAAAAUGGGGACUUCUGGUGCUCAGUGUAGAAGGAGCUGAUGGCGGAGAGAGGGAUCGUCUGGAGGCGGAGCAGCAUCGAGUGGUAGUCGCGCAGGAGGACGGGGGGCACGUGGCCGAUGGGGAGGACCGCCACGCGGAUCAUGGAGCUGGUUUCGAUGCUGACGUCCGGCUCCAUUUUUGGGCGGGGAUCGGAGAGUCAGGGGAUUAGGCGUGGGAGUGAGUGUAGAGGAUCGGGAGCAUGAGAGUGGAAGUGCCGCUGUGAGGAAGACACAGAUCGCGUUCUCGGAUUUUGGUUAGUUAAUAAGAUUGAUGGAGAGGAGGGAAAGGUGUUUGGUUGCGGAGUAAUGCGGACUCUGAUUGGGGACAGAGAUGCCCUUGGACGAGUUUAUCAUUUUCUUUUUCUAUUCCUCUAUUUAUUUUAAAAGGUGCACCUUAAAAUUAUACUUUCUUUUGGUUGACGAAGAGGGAUUGAAUUCGGGUGUGAUAGAUAGACACAUUCUCUUGAAAAACUCACCUAAUCAACGUCUAUCAAUGAAAAAUUACACUGUCAUAUGCAAUUUUGCAAAGUUGUAGUAAAACAAUUUUUAACUUAAAAUUCGUAUUACAAAAUUUUUUUACCUUCAUGAUAUAUAUAUACAUGCAGUUCUUAUCUAAUUAGAACUUUAAUGAAACAUAAACUUAUAAUUAUGUGAUUAAUUUAUAAUAUCGCAACAUAAUAUUAUCAAUUCAUUUAUGUUAUAACUACAAAUAAUAAUUUAUCUUUACAAAUAGAAGUUAAACUCAAGCACUGGUUUCAUAUGUGACAACUUUAUUCAAUGGUUGCAAUUGUCUAUACAAGUUUAACCAAAGUUUUAUAAUUUUACUUAAUUUAGAAAAAUGACAAAUAUUGCCCAAAAAGUUAUAAAAAUCUCAACAACAAAAGAAGAGCAGCGAGCAUUCGCGCCUUAUUGUUUGGAAACAAAACCCUAGUGGAACGUAAUUGGAAUUAGAAUACGCACCAACUCAUCUUCUUCUAGAUUGAGAAGGUGCAGCGACACCAUGGCGGACCAUCUGCAACAGUCCUCGCCCCUUCUUCAAGAGAUCCUAAACUCGUUGUCCAAUUCAGUUGAUCAACCGCAAAGCUCAGUGUCAGAGCUCACCAGCUUCCUCGAUUCAGUCCUAGACGCCGCUCUAUCAGACCCAGACAAUGAAGAUGCAGAAACCAAUGCCUUCCUAGCUCUCACCGAAGUUCACAACUUUAUCUCUUCCCCGUCACUGGACCAGGUUUCAUUUCAUCAAAUUCUUCUUCAUUUUGUUUAAAUUUUCGGUCUUUGUAAAUUGUAUGGUUUGAUGUUUACGAACUGUUUGUUGGUUUGCCCAGGCGAUCAUUGAUUCAAUCUCAUUUGAGCUGCCAAUGGCAGUUUCCAAGUUUGGUGGUGUCUCUGAGAGAUGCCUGGAGGUUGCUGAGAGCAUUAUUGAUGGCGUUAUAUCACUGUGUAGUCCGCGAGACAUGCUUUCAAUUCUUUGUGAGGUAUGAAUGUUGCCUUUUUAGUGCAUUUUAUCUCAACUUUUUGUAUUGUUUGUUCUGUUGGGUUUUUAGCUCUUUGAUGAUUUUUUUUAUUGUACUUGGGUCAGGCAUUAGCUCCCCCAAUUGAGACCAUCAGGGAUUCUGGUUAUGUUACGCCUCUUCUAAAUGGGCUUUCAAAAGGUAACUUAUAUGAGCUUCCCUAAUGGUAUUGUUAUCAGAUUUAUUGUAUAUGUCAUAGAUGGAUAUUGAAUUUUACCAAUUGAGUUGAUGAUAGCACUAUUUUGUUAAUUUUAUGUUUCUUUUUUCUUUUGUUAAUUUCAGUGUUUCUUUCCCUUCAGAGGCGUCACUUUGAGCAAGUGAAAGUAGCAGUUCCUAUUAUCGUUAAAGUUUUGAAGGCCAGGUCUUUGGAGUUGGAAGAUGAAGAUCCAGAAUUUAAGAAUUUGUUUGACAGAGCUAUGAGCAUUGCUAAUUCCAUACGUGCAGUUUGUGUAAAGUUGGUAUGUGACAAAUUGAUGCAAUGGUUUUUCCUGGUUAGAGACUAUGCUGAGAUUCUCAACAUAUUCUGUAUCAGAACCUAAUGAUGUUUUGUUCUAUGCUACAGGAAGGUGGAGCAAAUGAUAAGCUUCGUGCACUACUUGGUCUUUAUGUCUUACAGAUUAUGGUCAAACCUCCAUACAAUCUAAGUUCUAGUUUCACUGUUCUUUUUUUUUUUUUUUUUUAUCUGUGUUAUAUAUCUACCCAAAAAAAAAAUUCAAGCUAGACUCUUUUAUAUAUCAUGCCUCCCAUAUUUGGUUUGCUUUGUUUUUUCUUUUAAAAACACUGUUGAUCUGCAGGCUCUUGUCAGCAUGAAUCACAAAGUUUCAAGUUCUCAGCCCUUUGUAUUGCAACUGUCUAGUUUCUUCCCAUUUUGUGGUUUGACGUAUCUUGGUGUAAUAACUGGAUCUGUUGUUGACAUAAUAUCUAGGACAGUUGGAGGUAAAUCCCUUGAAUCACUACUAUUCCUGCCCAUGUAUUAUAUGAUAUUUCACUCUAUUUGUUAUCCAAUUUUAGACCUUGAUGUUUCUUUUCUGUUCUUAAUUUCUGCACACAGAGGAUGAAGAUGAUUAUAUGAGUAAUUUAUCCGAUGUCAAGCAUGGGGCAUCUCUUUCAGGUUUAUGUUUCCGAAUGCUGAUUGCUCCUUUUCUUAUUGUCUCAAUUUUUUUCUAGCUUGAAACUUUGUUUUGCUUUGGUUUUUUCUGUUGCUUUAUUGAAGUGAUCUGGGGCCAUGCCUCUGAUGAGGUUGUUAGAGCUGCUGAGGAGGAUUUGGCUUCUGUCAGGGAUGAACUUAAGAAUAACCAAACUAAAAGGUGGCAAGCUGUUGGCAUGCUAAAGCACAUACUAGCUCCUGUCACUCUGCCAUGGGAACUUAAAAAACAUGCCAUCAACUUCUUGCUCUGCGUUACAGAUGGAAAUAUCCCCCACUAUGAUGAACAUGAUGACUUCUCAUCUUAUAUGUCUAGCAUUUUUGCUACUCUGCAGGUUGCCUCUUGCCAUCAUUAUACGUUGCAGGAGUUUCAUAUUUAUCGAAGAGGAAAAGAGUCUAAUCUGUUUUUUUUUUUUUUUACCUCUUGUGGGCAUGGUACAUUUUAGGCUGUGCAAAUGGUCAUCAUAUAUGCAUCAGAUACAGUGCUCCGAAAGAAUGCCUUUGAAGCAUUCAAAAGGGUGAGGAUUUGUGUUAUUUUUCCUCAGUGUUGCGUUUACCUAUAAUAUAUGUAUUCUGUUACAUUUUUAAUUAGCGAGUAAUAGCUCAGCCUAUGGUCAUUUAGUAGUAAGCUUUUGCAUAGAAUGUACUCUACUUCGUCUGGUUUAGAGUAAAUUAACAUUAAUACUUACUUAUGUUUACCAUCAAAACCAGAUUCUUGCUGAUAUUCCAACUUCUCAGAGGUUUGACAUUUUAAAGGCUUUGAUCACAAAAAGUGAUUCUUCCUCUAUGGUAAAACCUUGAGCGCCAGUUUUUUUGAUAUGUAUUCCUUCCUUUUUUUCGUCUAAUUAGACUUGAUGCGACAUUACCUAAUGUGGGUGUUUCAACCUUAUACAGAUUGCAAUCCUUUUAGAUAUUGUUAAAGGGGAAAUGCACAAGGAAAGUCGCCAUAGACUAGGAAAUGACGAAGUUCUGCAAGCAGAGUAUAAAUCACAUCCACAUACAGUGCUUUGGACUCCCAAUGUCCUUGCAUUGGUGGAGAUGAUUCUAAGACCUCCGGAGGGGGGACCUCCAUCCUUUCCUGAGGAUAGUGAUGCGGUAUUUCUUCCACGUGCUUUGUUAAAUUCUUUUUAUAAAUUUCUUAUAAUACUGAAUUCUCUAUGUUUGAUAUACCAAUAUAUUAUGCAUGAUAUUUAUUUUAUGUCGAUGAGUUUCAAAUCUAAGAUUGCAAUAGCGUCUAAAGAUAUGUUUUACAAUCCCUUAGCUGUCCCACAAUUAGGGAUGCUUGGUUCGCUUUCAACUAGGAUUGGUCUCGUGCAACCAUAGAUUCGCCUAAUGUAGCCAGCCAAUAAUCUUGUUUAACUGCUACAAAUACAAAUCUUCAAAUCUCUGCAGUCUUGGAUUCCUGAACUUAUCUUCUUUUCCUCCCUCGCGUCUUUGGACAUAUUGUCAUCUUUACCAAUAAUGGAACCAUGUUAUGUGGAGUAUAUUCUUCACUUGCACAAUUGUUGCUGUAUGUCGUUUCAUUGCAUAGCAGUUUUUAGUUGCACAAUAGGCCAAGCCCUCAUGAAAUGAACUGACAUGAAGAUAUUUGAGUAUCUAGGUUUUGUCUCUGUCAAAGAUAUUUGAGGUCAAAUUUGAUGUCAAUGAAAGGCAACAAAAUGACAAAAACAUGCCUUAAUUGUCAAGACUCAGUACCGAGUACAGACGCUUAUUGUUUAGGCUUGUUGAUGCUUAUUGGUUAACCUGUUCUGAAUCGUUUGACAAAGUUCCGUACUAUUUCUACAGGUUCUGUCUGCACUCAACCUGUACAGAUUUGUAUUAAUAACAGAAUCAACAGGUAAAUAUCCCAUCAUUGAGUUAAAGCAAUAGCGAAUGUGGAAAACAUCACAGCAAAUUAUAUUGUGUCGUGUGAGUCUUUACUUUUUCCUUUAGAAAGAAAAUGCUUGUUUACGAGUCUCAUUUUUUACUAUUUUUACCCUGAUUAAAAAUGGCACAGGAAAAACUAACUACACCGGAGCGGUGUCCAGAAGCAAUUUACAGAGAGCCUAUAACGAGUGGCUUCUACCUCUACGUUCUGUGGUCACAGCCAUAAUGGCAGAGAACAAGAAUGAUUGUGAUCUUUCCCUUGACGCAUUUUGUAUUUUAAACCCAAUAGAAUUAGUUUUGUACCGCUGUAUUGAGCUUGUUGAAGAUCAGCUCAAACAACACUCUGCGUAAAAGUUGCCAUCACUGGCAUGUGUUUUUCUAGUAAUUCAAAACCCACUCAUAGAACUAUAGAUCCAAAGUUUUUACACGGGCUAGCAUCUCUCUUUUGUAUUUCAGCUAUAGAUACUCUUCCAUUUAUAUAGACGAGUGUUGGUUUUUUUCAUAGCAAGGAUCUAUCUCUUGGCCAUCAAUUCAUGCCACGUGGCAUGAUCUGAGCAGUUGAUAUCAUAAGCACUUUAUCUAUUCAAGGAGCAAAUGUUGUUCACUUGAUGCCAAAAAGAACCACCAAUGUGAUUGCUUUAGACUUUUCAGCAAAAUGGCUCGGAAUGUGGUUCAUGCGUCGCGUCCAUCAUCGCAUUUUCCUUUGGGUAAAAAUGCAAAACCAUCAGCACGCGCGUUCCACAUUUAAUACACCUAGUCUCAUUAAAAAUACCAUUUUCUCAACAAUAAAAAAAAGCACAAUCAGAUGGUUUAUUUAUGAUGACUUUAUAUAUAUAUAUAUAUAUAUAUAUUUAAAUGUUAUUUGCACUCCAAAAAUUAACCUCUUUCCCACCCUCCUUAUGUGUAGGCGCAUGGCAUGCAGACGAGUUCAUGAAGUCAAAGUUUAAAGUGCUUAUUUAUAUACAAUAAUAUAAUCAUGACUUUCUACUUUAAGGGACGCGUGUCUGCAUAUAUAAUUAUGGUGUGGAUGGAUGUCCCAAAGUACACAAAAUUGACAUCAAAUUUAUGGACACAAAAAUUGACAGACUAAUAUUGUCAGAAAAAAAAAAAUAAAAAAAAUAAAAAAAAUUGAAAUCUUAAAAUAAUCAAUAAUACAAUGAGUCAUUGACACCUGUCCGAAAGUUGCAAUUUUGGUGACUGAAAACUAUAACUUGGAUUUCAGAUAGGGUUUUUAAAACCUACAAAGAAUGAUACAAAUUUAUGAUCUAAAUAAUUUGAACAUUAGAAGUAAUGAGGGUUUACCCCAAAGAAUUUUCCAGAGGAAAGCAGCAACAGCUGUGACAUAAACAGAAGCCUCUACAGCCUAAUGGCUAUGACUGCUAAUUUACUAAAAACCCUCAAAACUUAGGUAAAAGGGAUCCAGAUCAGGUUAUAUCUGUAACUUCACUGGAUACGCUCCGACUGACCUCUACUUGUACUACUUAUGAAGAGCUAGUUCCUGGAAUGCGCUAUGUUAUACUGGCAUAUCAAUCAGUUUCUUCAUUGAAAGCAUAAUGCAUUUACUCAUGCUUUCCUCAGCUCAUCCCGUAUAGCGUUUCGGAACCAGAUUCCUCUCCGCACGGCUCCAUGUUUAGAUCAGGCAGCAAGAAAGAAUUGUCUCGGGCUGAAACGGCCUCGCGUUCACUGUAAGAAUCGGAUUGCGCUUCUGCAUGUGGAGGCAAAUUUGAGGGAAUGCCGUAGGUGCUCGACGCUGUUCUCUCGUGGGGUUGACUGGAAAUUGCUUUCCCUGCUCCAUCAAAGUUUGCGCUCAAAUUCCUAGCAGGAUGCAUGUUCAAGUCGAGCUGCAAAACAAAAUUAUAAGGUAUUCAGCCAAAAAAGCCAUAGCAGAUGCAAAUAAUUGUAUCCAAUCUAAAGGACAAAAGGGCAGAUCCAGGAGAAAGGAUCCUAGAAGAAAAAUAGUAUAUAUAUAUAUAUAUAUAUAGGAUAAAGAACACCAGAAUUCACCUUGAUUCUCUUAAAGUUCUCAUUUUUGGCUCUUUGUUGCUUAAAAGUUGCUUGUAAGGUCGCUAUUUCCUUUUCCAAAUAUGUCCUUUCCUUCAACAACGAACUUUCCUCCUCCUUAAGCUCAGCAAAUGUCUGAAAAAUGACAUCCAAGUCCAUAUCAGAUCGAAGUUAAAAAGCAUCCUAUUGCAGAUUAGAAAAUGACAGUAACUAAACAAACAAAUAAAAAAAGAAUCAAAACAAAUCUGGAAAACUAAUUAAUUCUCAAUUCUCAAUGCAUUCUUUUAAAUAAUUGUUGUUUGUUAUCUUGAACAUGAAACCAAGUGGGGGCCAAAAAGAAGAUUUGGGUUUACCUUCUUUCUCCUUGCCCUCUUGGUGGCAGUGGUGGUGCUGGUGGAUUCAUACGUAGCAGUUCCCUGAGAGACAUCAAUGCAAAACACACUUCAGCAAAUACACCCACAAAAAGCAAAAAGAGAACAUAUCAUAAAAGGACACCAAAAACAUCCAAAAACCAAUUUCUUUUCUUUUCUUUAAAUCUCAAAACUUUCACCAAUCCAGUAGAAGCCUGCAAUAAUUAUUCCUUUGCCAAUUAAAUUUACCGUUUCUCUGGACUUUGGAUAAAGCUUCCCCAUCCCAAUGAUGAGUAAGCUUAAACCCAUUUAGAAAUUCACAUCAUGAAUAUCCACGUGGCCUGGCCACACAUGACAAGCUCCUUAUUUUAUUCCUCACGUGACUUGCUCACAUGCCUCUGCUUCUCCUCCCAUGGCCUCCUCUCCUCCAUAGUCCAUACAAACAUUGCCUCUCGCUUCGCUUCCUUCCACACCGAACCCAAAUCCCCUCGUCCAAAAAUAAUAAAUAAUAAAUUAAAAAAUAUAUCGUAAUUCUUUAAACUAAAUAAGCGACAAGGACCACAGCCACCACUCUCACCAAACCAUCCUUGACCGUCAGAUUCACAUACCCAAUAAAACUCAAUCCCCCAAUCAGCGGCCACAACCAUCCCAUCGAGUUCCUCUGGAUCUCCAGAAAACAUAAGAAAAAGAAAAGCGUUAUCAAAGGAGAUGAUGGUCCAUAAAAGCCGCUGACUGCGCCCGCGCCACAGAGGAAAAUUACCCCAGCAACCCCCACUAACAACGCCACACCAAAACCGAACGCAGACCUAUCCCUAAGCCAAACUCACUUCCCCCAAAUGGCCCCACCACGCUUUUAAGAUAGGCCCACGUCACCACCACACCCUACUCCCCUUUUUAUUACUAUGACCGAAAUACCCUCCUCCUGUUUGCUAUGCCCAUCUAUAUUCGUACUUUUGACUCGACGCGAGAUGCGACUUUUGUCGCGAGCAAAAAGGGAUCAGACGAGUAAGCUCGUCGUCUCAGGGAAAUUUCGCGGUUUUCACUCUCUGCGGUAAAUCUCGGAAUUGACGGGAGUGUCCUUUGGUGAUCACAAUCUAGGGAGGAGUUUGGAAGGGUAGUUUGGUAAAUCUCGCAGGCGAAUCAAGAAAGGCAGGUUACCGGCAAAAGGAGCGAGACGAAAACGUGAAGGAGGUCUCGAUCUGCUACAUCACGUGAGGGAUAUGGAAAGGCACACGCGGGUCGGGGGCAUUUUGGUCAUGAAAUUGUGCGAACGACGUCGUACACGGCGGCUAAAAAGGGUUGACCGCCGGCGAUUAUCGAGCUAACCAAAGAAGGAAAAAUCUAAAGAAGAUAACGAAAUGACGAAUUUGACCUCGUCAGCAUUAGCAGCUCAAGAGACGACAAACGAAACGCGAUAGGAAAUCAGAAACGUCGGUUUCGAAAUCCAGAUUAGAAAACGGAAAAACUGAUGACAAGGUAAAUUAGGUAGAGGAAGAAGGCUGAAGAUGGUAAAGUGAAAAAGAAGCCAUGAAAUGCGUGUGUCGUCGACGAACACGCUAAAAGCCUCAGCCGCCUCAUGAACACUGAGGCUCGUGCGGUUCUGGUCUCUGCUUAUUAGCAGAACCAGACGCAAAUACGAACAACCGCCGUGGGUAUUUCCGUCAAAUAACAAAGAGACUCGAAGAGUCUUCACUUCAUACACAGCAAGCAGAGAUCAGCUAACAGGAAAUCCAAAGCACAAAAAAGCGAAAAGCAGAGAAAGAGAGAGAGAUGGAGACCUUGGAUCUGGGACAGCUGGACUCUUCGAAGCCGUCGGCGGUGGCGGAGGGGGAGCCGGUGCCGCCGCUCCAGGAGAGCGGCGUGGUGGGGCUGCAUCUAGUGGCGGAAUCGGUGCCGUGCUUGCUGAUGUUCCUCUGCCGCGAAACGACGCCGUCGAAUCUGGACGCCGAUGACGCUGACUUGGAGCGUGGCAGCCGGAUGCCCCACCUGAGCGGAAUCGACUCCAACAACGGAGACGAGGAAGACGAGGCGGCCGUCUGCGACUGCUUGAGCCGCACCAGAAGCUCCACGACGAGCAUGUCGUCGGUCAUCGCCGCUCUCAUCCACUCGUCUUUGACCACCAUCAUCUCAGCAAAUGGUUCUAGAAAGAGAGAGAGAGACAGAGAAAAGGCUUUAGAGAGAGAAAGUAGGGUGGCGGAUGAAUGAAUGAGAGAAGAAAAGGAGAUGGGUUUUGAAAAAAUAUAUAUGGGGGGUGGGUCAGGAGGGGUGGUGGCGUUAAAUAUAUUUGUGUGUGUGGUGAAGAAAGUGGGAAAAAUUGAUUCUUCAGUUUUUUUUUUUUUUUUUUUUUUUGGGUUUUGUUUUGUUUCUUCUUCCUCUUCUCUUCUCUUCUCUUCGCUUGGUGUUGUUGUUAGGGUGGGUCUCGUCUGUGUGACUCUGACUCUUUUUCUGCUCUUUCUUUUUAAUUUUCUUAAUUUCUUUUUUUUUAAAGUGCUGGGCCCACAUGGUGACGUGUGUCGCUGACAAGAUUCAAUUUGUCAUGGGUUAUUAUUGGGUUAUUCCCUUCUUAAUUGGGGGAUUUGUGAUCACGAGUAACGAAACGACAGCGUUUUGCUGUCCAUCGGCUUGCUCCCCUGCUUUGCUUUGUGUGAUGCGUUCCUUUUGUGCGCCAAAGGGGCAAAGGGCAUGAGCAUGACCACUUCAAACUUUACGGCCUAUAUAUAUAUAUAACUUUAAUUUACUUUACCAAAUCCAAAAUGCUUAGCCUAACAAAUAUAUAAACAAUGUUUGCUUCAAAUUUCCGUCUCCAACUCUAUCUUUCAACUUUCUUUUCAACAUGUUUGCUAAAUCGAAUAAAACAUCCAAUCCAAACCUCUACAAUUCCACAAUUCACUCGUAUACUUAAAACUAACUCAAGUUUAAAACACAAGGAACUCAUUUUUAAAUCAUUAAUACACAAUAUGUCAAAACACUUUUAGGUAAGUUGAAGAAAGAAAGAAAAAAAAUGAGAGUUUUAAUUUUAUUUGAAUUUCAAUUAUUACAUAUCAAAUAGCGUUGUCUUGUUUGCGCUUUUCAAAUUCUUGUUGUCACUCUCGCUUGAAUGAACGAACACAAAAUAGAUGUUUUUUGCCAUUUUAUAUUAGUAUAUUGUUAAUUUGGCACGACGCGCUAAAAUUAAUAUUUUAAAUUAUUGGUAUGUUAAUAUAGCAUGCCAAACUAUUUAGUAUAAUUGAGGUUCGAAAUCCAUAACGAAAAGGAAUUAUAAAACUAUUUAGUAUAGUUGAAAACCAUUAUUAGAAAGUUAGGUGGACAAUGUUUAAGCAUGAAGGGUUAUACUAAUCACUUAAUAUAACAAUCGAUCCAAAGGCAAAGUUAUUGCCUUUCCAUAAGUAUCUUACCACUUCUAGUAACUCUAAAGAUUCUUUGAAACAGAAAAACUUACGAGUGACAUGAAACUUGAUCUUAUCAUCACCUUUACUUUUUUUUUUCUUUUUUUUCAAAUUUUAUCUGUCAAUAAAACAUCAGCAACUUAAUUUGGUCUGCUCUGUUUCAUCAUAGAAAAUUCAGAAAUGUUUAUCGGCAUGAUUCAGAAGGGUUUGCAAGUAAAUGUUCUGCAUGAUAAAAAAGCUAGCAAGCUUCUUGAUAAGGUUGCCUUUUUGGGUUUCUGAACUUUACUAUUAGGCUCGUGAACUGGGGAGGGUUUAUCUCUUGCCUAUUCGGCUGGAAAUAUCUAUUUGCCAAUCACACUACUUUCAUACUGUAUUCUUUUCUAGGUCAUAAAUUUCCGCUAAAAGUGUAAAACCAGUCGGAUUAUCACCAACGUAAUUUGAAUGUGGUAUAACUAGACUGGGUGUGACACAACCACAAAAUAAAUCGAGCUUGCACAAGCAUGAUGGAUGUACUUAUAAUGUGCAGCAAACGAGUAUGAAACAACCACAAAUGUCUAACACAUCAAAUAAGAGUACAAGCCGUGGCAGAGCCACUCCUAGACCAAAAGUGACACUGGCCCCCCCAAUUUUUCACAUCUCUCUCCUCUAAUAUAUUAUACAACGAGUAAUAGACAACUUUUAAUUUAUUAAUGGCCCAUCUAAAACAAAUUAUACAUAUUAAGUUAGAAAUAUUUUAGCUCUAACAUGUAAUUCUUGAAAACUUAUGCAUUUGAUAUAUUUGUAUUUUUCUAUCCCCCCUCUCCUCUAACCUUACAAUUCUAGCUUCGCUCCUUAGUACAAGUAACAAAAUGCAAGCACAAACAUGAAAUAAACUUUUACUAGAACGAUGGACGACAUAGUUAAUAUUUUAUUUUCUCCGUUUUGUUUCUUUUUGGCAAUGGAUCAUGGGGCUCGAUGAAAAUUCUGCAGGACCAUUCUUUAUCAGCUGCAUAUUUAUGGAAACCCUCGAAAUUGUAAUGAAAAAUUGAAAACAUUUGCCCUUUCUGGGAACCAGCAUCAGCCCUCUAGGGAAUGGAUAUCACAAAUCUAGUUGGUGUGAAGGAUAUUCAUGGUUCGAAAAUGCGGUUGGUGAACCCAAAAAAUGCAGGACCUAAUUUUAUACUGCUGCUGGAUCCAAAAUAACUUUGAGGCAACGAGUGUGAGUUAAUGGGAUAUUCCGCUAAUCAAGGCCUUAAUGUGGGUCGUGGCCUCAUAAAAGAGUUUGGUCUAUCAAAGUACAGGGCCGUUUUUAUUUGGAGUCGUUCGUGUUCAUACAAACUUUUAUUGCCCAAGCAUAUACUUUAUGUGAUAUUAAUCUGUCACAGUAACAACUUUUGCUUUGAAAGUCUAUUUUUUCCUUUUAAUUUUAUUUAAUUAUUAAUUUGAUCAAUACACUUUAGACAAGUAUUAGAAAUUAGGUUACGGAUUUUUUUUUUAAAUUUAAAAUUAGGGGUUCUUGAUGUACUGAUCAAUUUUUAGGCUGUCCAAGAAAGAUUUUGUAAACCCAAAUAGACGAAUAGCAACUCCUAACAGCCCAUAAACAUUGCGUGGUACAACGGAAUGUAGUCUAGUCUAAUGAAAAAAUGCAUUAACUUGCAAACUAAUAUUCUCAUGUUCAAACUGCAAACUGCAUCACCAAGUUUCAUGGACCAAACAUUUUCGCACACUAAUUGCUGGUGCACCUUCAUAACCUAAAUAUGACAAAGCUAUAAAACUAAAUAUUAAUUAAAAGAAAAGGUAUCACACCUCCAUAUUAAUUUAUUUUUGGUAUAAAAAUUUCAACCUUCACUCAUUUAAAGAGUUCGUUUGAGAGUGAUUUUGGAUAGACAACAUUUUUCACACCUCCUGUAAAGCUUCAUAAUUUCUGAAACUGAUGCAAACGUCUUUUGAAGCUUUGGUCCAGAAGGCUCACAGCUCAGCAUCCCACAUUUGGGCCUUACCAAGACCAAAAGCAAAACCAGUAGAAGUCACCAAAACUGUCCCUAACUGAGCUGCAGACCCUUCCACUGACAUAAAAAGUGAUUCUGUUUAUUGGGAAGCCAUCUGCUUUUCUUUACCUUUAAGAAAACGAAAAAAAAAAGAAAUGCUUUUUAGCUUUUACUUUUGACAGCUCCAACCAAAAGCACUGUUGUAACCCAUUUGAUUUUUACUAGCUUUACAACCCAUGUUGUUCAUCAUAAUCUCACAGCAAUUGAACUUUCCCAGAAGUCAAUUCCCACAAAUCAAACCCCAUUUCUGUUUGCUUCAAUUUGUAAUUCCAUCAAACACCAAUAUAAUUAAAACCCAAAUUUCACUAACAACAUAUUUGCAACUAUAAGUAAAAACUUAGGACACAGAAUAUACCCUAAUUUUACAGAUACAGCUCAUGAAAAACUAUACCUUCCAACCCUAAUCUAAUCUUAUACUUGUACUGUAAGACACAAAGGAAAUGCAACCAAACCCUAAUUUAAUUGAAAACGAAAAACAAAUUUAAAGAAACAAGAAAAAUGAAGCCUUCUACUGCUGCACAUAAUCUAAAGAGAAGAAAAAGCGUUAGGUCGAAUUGUGACCUCAUCCAUCUAUCUUCCCACGAAAAGAUAAGGGGAAGGGCGAGAAUCAGACAACACGAACAUUAGCCAGACGGGGUCUCUAUACUGCUGCACAUGCUUGGUCCGCCAUGGACCGGCGACCCAUCUACGACAAAUUGAGCCGCAGAAGCUUCAGCAGCACGCUUGCAGCUUCAUCGGUGCUUGAAGGGGCGCUCUUCUUUGCGAAGAACGACGGCAGAGGUAGGGACUCCGGGGGAGGCGCAGCUAUACACGACGACGACCCGGCGUAGAACCCGGAAGCCCAGUUCCGUUCCGGAACCUUCUUCGAGUCAGGACCCAUCCGGCUGGUGGAUCCGAGAUCCGGAACCUGGGGAUUGGGAUUCUGCUUCUGUGGUGACCGAACCGGAGUCGCUUUGGGGAUUUCGUCGCCGCGUUUUAGGAUUUUGACCUGGCCCAUGACGAUAUUCUUGGGGGCUGCGGGUUUCUGGACCGGAGAGGGUGAGUUGUUGUUGGGCCGGGUCGGCCUUCGCUUCUUCCGGUCGGUUUGGGGAGAGGUUCUGACCCGAUUAGGGUUAGGGUUUCGAUUGGGAUUCAUCAGCGCUUGCUGAGGUGAGAGAGAGUCUUUGAGGCAAUUCUGGGGACUGAGAACUUGAACACCCAUCUAAAAUCUCACAAAAUCAGAUCCAAAAAUUCGAGCUCUUGCUACGAAAGAGAAGGAGGAAAUGAAAAACUUUGGGAAUUUACAGAGAGAAAUGUGACUGUGUGAAGAUUGGGAAGGAAGUAGGGUUGAGUUUUAUAGGGGAAGAUAAGAGACCUGAAGGGAAUAGGAGUAGGAAAAGCGACAAAAGGCGGUAGUGUAUAAUAGAAUCCACUUUCAUCAACCCCCCCUUGGGGGUUUCCUUCCUACACCGGUUUUUAGCCAUCAUUAUUGUUUCCCUUCACGAAUCUCAAUUAGGUUUCCUUUCCUUUUCUUUUUAGGAAAACGAUUACGUUUCCCAAAACACAUUUUGGUAUUAUUAUUUUCUUAGUGAUUUAGAAUUCAAACUUUUCUUGUUGAGGAAGAAAGUGCCCGAAAUUAGAUAUUAUGUUGUUUUUAGGUUUCCUAAAACACAUUUGUUAUUUUUUAAAGUGACUUAAAAUUCAAACUUUUCUUUUUGAAGAAGAAGGGACCCAACUUUUAAAUGUGUUACCAAAAUUCCUUAUUAUUGUGUUUAUCACAACUCCUAUUCUUAAGUAAUUAUUACAAAUUCUGAAAACUUCUUCGGAUGCUUCUCAUAGCUCAGCAUCCGAGACCAGCAGCACAACCAAUAACAACCACCAUAAUUUUCCCUAGCAAAGCAUGGGUUUCAAUUUAGGAGCUUCUCCGCUUAACCAGUACUUAGCUGCAGACCCUUCCAUCGGCAUGGAUUAUGUUUUUGGGAAGUCAUCUGCUUUUGUUUACCCUUACAAUCCAUUUGGUUCGCAUAUUGAAACUCUUGAGAAUGAAUUUCCCAUGUUUAAUCUCAUGAGUUGAGAAUAGAGGAUGCUCAGUCCUAUAUUUGUAAAAGUUGAGAAAUGAGGAUUAUGAAAGGUCAUUUUAUCACAUUCCCAUUGGUUUGUGGAGUAUUAGGAAUUAAAAUUGUUCAUCUUUCCAACAAUAUUCUUAUCUUUUUUUUUUUAAUUAAAGAGAAAUAAAUACGAAGAGUUUUUCUAAGAGUAAAAUAUGGUAUUUUAAAAAUAAGAUAUGGGUAAGUUAGCCAUAAAAAUUUGAAUUAAAUGCUUUCCCAUGUGGGGGAAAACAAAUUCCCAAGCUCAGCCAGGGUAUGAAAUUCCCUUUACAUGGGAAGUCAACACCCACGAGUCUAUAAUUGCAUUUCCAAUAGUGUACUUACUAAACAUGCGAAUGGAAUUUCAAACUAAUUCUCAAAUUCCCAAAUUUUGAACUAAACGAGACAUUAUGGUGUGUUUGGUUCAGGGAAAAUGGGGCUUGGGAUAGGAAAUUAGAAUUUUCUCAUGUUUUAUAAACCGAGUCAUAGAAAAUGAUUGCCUGACACAUGAGAAACUAGGAAAAAUUAAACUCUCAAACCCCUGAGGUGAGCAUUAAAUGCACAUUUUUAUGACUAUUUUGUCCAAUUCACAAUUUAUCACUUUGACUAUUCUUUUAUUUUAUUCAAUUCAUAUUUUUAAAAUGGGUAUACUUUAUAUUAAAUUUGUUUUAUAUUUAUACACAAACCAAACAUAAAAAAUUAAAUUCAAUAAUUUUUCACCUUCCCAAUAUUACCAAACAUAGAAAAAGAAUCAUCCUAUCAUCCAUAUCUCAUCUCUUGUAAAAGACAUUGAAAAUGAUUUCCCAUCAAAUCUUUUGAUCGACAGAACUGCUUUUGUCCUUUUGCUUUUGAUAACUCCAACCCAACCCAAACCACAAAGUCUCCAUAAAUAACCAUACAAGUUCAACAAAACCAAACAGAGUCCAGUGAAAUUCUGAGGUAAACAUUUGAUUUACUACCUUCACCAAGAAGUUCCAAGUUAGAACCCAUGUUCAUCAUAAUCUGUCAGCAAUUGAACUUUCCCAGAAGUCGAUUCCCCACAAAUUUCCAUCAAACACCUCAUACAUACACAACACAGCCAUCUCCAAACCCCAAAUUUAAUCACAAGAACAAGAUAAAGGAAAUUAAGAGUGCAAAAGAGCAGACAAAACACCAAUGGAAUUAAAAACCAAAUUAGACUUAACAAAUUGCUUGCAACUACAUCGUAAAAACUUGUGGAUACAUGUACACAAAAUAUACCCUUAUUUAACAGAAACAGCUCCUAAAAAACUAUACCUCUCAACCUUAAAUAGUACGACACAAAAAUAAAAGCAACCCAACCCUAAUUUAAUUGAAAACAAAAUGCUAAAAAUUGGAGCCAACCCAAGUUACCAACUACUGCUGCACAUAAUUAAAAUCCCUAACCCAUAAAUUAAUCUAAAAAGAAGAAAAAGCGUUAGGUCGAAUUGUGACCUCAUCCAUCUCUCUUCCCACGAAAAAAUAAGGGGAAGGGCGAUAAUCACACAACACGAACAUUAGCCAAACGCGGUCUCUACACUGCUGCACAUGCUUGGUCCGCCAUGGACCGGCGACCCUUCUACGACAAAUUGAGCCGCAGAAGUUUAAGCAGCACGCUUGCAGCUUCAUCGGUGCUUGAAGGGGCGCUCUUCUUUGCGAAGAACGACGGCAGAGGUAGGGAACUCGGGGGAGGCGCAGCUAUGCACGACGACGACCCGGCGUAGAACCCGGAAGCCCAGUUCGGCUCCGGGAACUUGGUCUGCUUCGGAGGAAUCGGUACCAUCUUCGGGUCAGGACCCAUCCGGCUGGUGGAUCCGAGAUCCGGAACUUGGGGAUGGAGAUUCUGCUUCGGUGGUGGCUGAAUCGGGGCCGCUUUGGGGAUUUCCUCGCCGCGUUUUAGUAUUUUGACCUGGCCCAUCACGACAUUCUUGGGGGCAGCGGGUUUCUGGACCUGCGGGGUUGGGUGGUUGUUGGGCCUGGUCGGCCUUCGCUUAGUCCGGUCGGCUUGUGGGGAGGUUCUGACCCGAUUAGGGUUAGGGCUUCGAUUGGAAUUCAUCAGUACUUGAGGUGAGACAGAGUCUUUGAGGCAAUUCUGGGGACUGAGAACUUUAACACCCAUAUAAAAUCUAACAAAAUCAGAUCCAAAAAUUCGAGCUUUUGGAGCUCUUGCAACGAAAGAGAAGGAGAAAAUUACAAACUUUGGGGCUCUUGAGAGCCAAGGGGAAUUUACAGAGAGAAGGGAAAACGAAGAUGAGACAGUGUGAAGAUUGGGAAUGAGGGAGGGCUGUGUUUUAUAGGGAAAGGAAGGGGAAGAUACCUUAAGGCAAUUCGAGUAGGGAAAGCGACAAAAGGCGGUAGAGUAUAAUAAAACCCACUCUCAUUGUUUUCGAUUUACUUUUUCCCUUCAACAAUUAGGUUUCCUUUUUCUUUUUUGUUUUGAGGAAAACAAUUUAGGUAAGUUUCUAAAACUAAAACACAUUUUUUUAAAUUAUUUUUAAAAGUGAUUUUUAAAUUCGAAGUUUUCUUUUUCAAGAAGUAAGGACCCGACUUUUAUUAUUUGGUUGGAACCACAUAAAAUGUACUAUCAAAAUUCGUUAUAUUUUAUAUACCAAUAUUAUUAGUGAAAAGAUGCACAUAAUAAUUGAAUUUAUAAUCACGUGAAUUAUAAGUCGUUUAUAUUAUAACUUUUUGAUAGUCCACAAUUAAAGUACAAGGUUUAAUUGGUUUAGAAAUUUAUUUUGAGAUUGAAAAUUAUAGGGUUUUUUUUUAAAUCCCAAUAUUCAAUAGCAACUAAAUAUUAAUUCCAUUAACUUCUUUGUUUCCAUCAAAUCCAAACACGAUUUACAUGAUAUUGUUUAUGCGCGUGAUCUGAAGCGCGUAGGAGACAUAUAGCUCCCUUCCUGUUUUCUUCUAUUUUUUUGGUGACGGGAAGUAUCAUUGAAGGCCCUUUACCUAAAACGCUGCUUUAAUUCGUGAUGACGGGCGUGUGACGUGGGUUCGAAACCACCGCUGGCAUGAUUAUCCACGGCCUUAGUUCUUGCGCCUUAUUUUUGGAAGGAACUACCACAAUGCCCCUAUCAAAUAUGAUUUUCUUUUUUCUUUUAAUUCCCGUACUAGUAAUAUUGCAAAAUAAAAACGUUUUUCCGAUCGAAAUAAGAAGCCUCAAUCCUUGUAAAUUAGGAAUUGGACAAUGUUAGUCAAACAGACACGUGUCUAGAACCUAACAGUGACACUUGUACCAAUAAGAAGACGCCACUUCACAUAACAAAUGGCAAUCCUGUCAAGUACUGCAGCCCAUAAUACCUUUUUAUUCAACCAUUAACAUGUUGACACAUAUAUUUAUAAUUAAAUAAGAAAGUAAUAUUAAAGAUCGGUUAGGUACGGGUUUCCAUGGGUAAAUGAUAUCCUCACCCGUUCCUUUAUCUGAUAUUUUCAGUAUGGGUCGGAUGGGUUAAAUUAAUAAUUAAAAAAAUUUAUAUAUAAAACAAAAAAUAAAGAAAAAUAAAAUAUUUAAAAUAUCAGAAAAUACUUUUAAUUAAUAUAAAUAUUAAAAAUUAAAAAUAUUAAUUAAAUAAAAAUAAUAUGAUAAAUUCACAUUUGAUCAUGAAAUGACUAAGUUUGCAUCAAAAUUUCUGGUGCUUGUGAGUGGAUCGGUUGCCUCCACUAUACUGCUUCUUUCAAAAGGAUGUAAACAUUUUGUGAGAUGAAUGAAUUUCAUAUCCUUUUUUUGUUGGAAAAAUAUAAAAAAGAUAAAUUCUUUUUGAAUCUUCCAUGUAUUUUUAUAUUCAAGUACUUUUACUUAGUGGCGUAGAUUUGGCCCAAAAUUAAGCACCAUUCAUUGCAAUUGAAAAUUGUAUAGAACUGAAAGUCCUUAAACAUUGUUAUCCCGAAAAAUAUUUUCAUAAAGGAAAAUGUUAAAUUUAUUAUAUUUUUAUAUCAUAUUAUCAGUCCUGAUCUCUUGGACCACAGGAGUCCAAGAGAUUGUGAUCACUCAUGUGAUGAAUAGAAUUAAUAGAUUCAAAAUGUUCUCUUGUGAAGCUAUUUAAAGGGAUUGCANNNNNNNNNNNNNNNNNNNNNNNNNNNNNNNNNNNNNNNNNNNNNNNNNNNNNNNNNNNNNNNNNNNNNNNNNNNNNNNNNNNNNNNNNNNNNNNNNNNNACGUCCCGGAGCUAUGACCCACGAUUACGCGCUGUUAACUGCAAUUGGUCACGUAUAGUGGUGAAAAUAUGUAAGGAUUGUUAUACCUUUACAUAUCGGAGUAAAGUAAAAUGUGACCCUUUUUAUUUUAUCCAACGGAGAGUGAGCACAAAUCUCUUGGACUCCUGUGGUCCAAGAAAUCGAGACUGAUCAUAUUAUAUAUCACAUCUUUAAUAGAGAUGAGUGAGGCUCAUCUCUAUUACAAAUAUAUGACAAGUCUAACAUUACCUCUCCAUGAAAAUAUGCAAUCAACUUGGUUUGACCUUUGACCUCUUGAUUUUUAUUCAAAGACACAUAUUCGGUUUCAAACUGCCCUGGUCAGCAGUCAACUUCGGCACAACGAAGGUUACGAGUCUUUUGACAAAGGCAGCGACCCAGAUUCAGGAAACUAGGCCCAACUUGGUAAUUAAACCCAAAAUGAGAGGCAAUCAUUUAGAAGCCAAAAGACAAAGGAAGGGAAUAAGAAAGAAUCCCGUGUGCUCGAGACAACAAACGCAUCAGACCGAAAAAAAAGAGAGACAACAAACGCACACAUCAGUCUACUUCCUACCCGAAUAAAAAUCAAUAGGUCCACGUGUCGCGAGUAUAUUUAAUUGGAUGGUGUAGACGUGGAAUGAGGACAGAUGGCAGCUGGCCCAACCAACUUGCAAAGGAUGGUUCAACUCCAACUGGGCCGCAUUUCUCUAUAACCUGUUGCCAAGCUGGAACUUAGGAUGGCAUCUGCUGGCCGUAAAUUAAACAGAAUAGAGCUAGUCUCAAUUCAAAAUUUCUCCCAAACAAAAGAAAAAAAGAAAGAAAAAAAAAUCGUAGAGGUAGACACGGUUCGGUUUAACUGUAUUUAACCCUCAAAUAGGAAAUCUAAUCAAUGUAAUAUCAUGAUUUAGCGUAGGCGGUUUUCAUAUAGGAUAAAUCGAAUCAAACCCAACGAAACAAAUUUUGGUUUGGUGCGGUUAUGUCUAAGAUUACAUACGUUUAGUGCAAAAGCCGAAUCGAACAGCUUGAAUUGAUUUGAUUUGGUUAAGCCGGUUUGAACAAAUCCGGGCUUUUUUUAUUAUUGGCCGGAUGUGGACCUCAUGAUCAUCAUUAUGACAUCCCAACAUGUGCAAGCCCUUGGUUUUUUUAUAUCUAAAUGGGCCAAUUUGUUCUGGAGUAUGAUUCUAAUAAAGGAUUUGGUCAAACUUGGGGCCAAUUUGUCUGCAACCCAAAUUUUCCAAGAGCCAUUUUGUCAAACUUGUCAGAUUUAUAUACCGGGUUUGGUGCCUACAAUUAGUUUGGAUUGAAUUGGAUAACUCUAGUAAGCUAUAAUUGUGUUACAACUUGGCCCGCAUUGUUCCUUUCUCCAAAUGAAAUAAAUAUACAAAAUAGAAAAUUACAAACUAAAAGUUUACGUUUAUACACCAAACCUUAUCUUACUUAUUCAGACCACCGACAUUGGGCAUGCGCCAGCCCUCGUACAUGAUCUUUCAACUUGGAGACCAGUGUUUUUAGUAAACAAUUACCCGAACUUUGGGGUUUAAAAAUGAGUGAGAGGUUUCCCUAGAUAAACAAACAUGAUUUCCUUGUCUAAAAUAAAAAAAAAUUAUAAAUUACAAAAAAAUAAUAUUGUACACAUUCCCGUUCACCCACACUACAUGGAGCGGGUGGCAACAAAUUCCCCGCCCCACGACGAGCAGGUGAACAUGACUGAUAAUGUAUGUGUAGCAAAGGGCCACGUAUGGGCUGUAAGUUGAGGGAAAGUCGGGUUUUUUUAAUUUAUUGGUCAAUCAAUGAGAGAAGAUUGCGUUGGCAAAAGGCCCAAAGUGAUACUUGGUGGAUAAAAUUUUCCAUGUGGAGCAAAAUUUCAUUAUAUGUGUAUUUAAGUGGAAUAUAUUAAUAGAAAGGAUGGCAAUAAUUGUCCUGGAUAUUCAUGUCACGCAUUAGCAGUUUGGAUUGGACAAGUAUUUAUAUGAAUUAUUAUUACAUGGGUCGAAAAUGAAAAAUGUCGGUGGUAACGAAAUCAAUGAUCACUACAUAAUUUUAUUCCCUAAUUUUUCUGAGUGUGUGUGUACUGGCUGCUGCCACACUGAUCAAUACUGAAGAUUGUACAUCUUUAUAAUUUCAUAUAUUUAUACAAUUUCCGACAUCACUAAGUGAGACAAUGAGACAUACAGACUUUUCCCAACACUUGUGCGCACGUGCUCCACGUGCUUGGAGAGACAAAGAAAGAUUAAGAAAGUUUUUUUUUUAUAAAAAAUUUAAAUUUUAAAUACAAGCAAUAAUCUCAACUACUUUAACUUAUAAUCAAACUCGUAUGCAAAGCAAUGACGGAUGCAUAGUACCUAAAAAAGGGACCUACAUUGGGAAAAUAAGGGGACACGAGGAGGGAAAUAUGGGGAACUCGGGAGGGGAUAAGGGAGGGGUCCACAACCAUCUUGGUCUUUAAGUGGCUCUAUCCUUGGGCGAAGAUGACAAAUACAAUGUCGUGGUCAAUUUACUUAAUUCAUGUUUGUAAGAAGUUUUUUUUGAAGAAAUUACGAAGCGAUAAAAAUUUAUUAGAUCAACGCACAUAAGAGAACAAAGGACAAAGACGGUAAAAUGAUUAGGUUUGUUAGAAGCUUUAAUGUUAAGCAAAUGUUGGAAUAAAGGAACAAAGAGAUUGAAAAUAAGAUUGACACUGCUAGCUAGAGUGGUAAUUAAUCUAAGCUAAAGUAGGGCUUCUAAUUUAAAAAUAAUAAUAAUAAUCACCUUCACAUCAAUAUUCAAUAAAUUAGUUGACAAUUACAAAAGACAUGAUUAUGAAUUAGAUUCGAUCAUUCUAAUUAAUAAUUUAUCUCCCAUCACUCUCAUUGCUAAUGUCACAUUAAAAAACCAAUUAGAGGUUGCUCAUUCGGCAAGUUAUCUGCGGGCAUAUAUAUGGCCCAUUUGGCAGAAAGAAAGAAACCCACGCAAAUGCAUUGCUUAUUUUAUCACUUUUUUUCUUUGCUCCUCAAGUAAGUAAUGAAUAUAAUCCAAGUUGAUUAGAGCGAAUUUGCUCCCCAUUCUAUAUCUGAGUUUGAAUCUCUCUCACUAUAAUUUAGAACAGUUUAAAGUAUUUAUCGCUUGUAAUUAGUACCAUAAUCGCAAAUAUGAGAUGGCUAGCUACCAAAUUGAAUAUAUGAAAUUUGUUGACUGAUAGUUGCUUGUUUACAGACAUAAAAAGACUUACUUUUCCUCCUCAACAACAAAUUGGUAUUUCUUAAAUUAGUUGAGCGGCCUCAUCAUUCUGUUUGAGCUUGAUGCUUUUGUCAAGUUAGUCCUGGAUUUAAUUAAUUUACAAAUUUAAUUAAUAAAGGAAAAAGCCAUUGGUUACUAAAGUCAUCUCCAAAGAAAGUUGGCUUUUAAUUAGAAGACAUCCAUCUUUUUCACACUUUUUUCGAAUCAAAAAGGAAAAAAGUUAUGGCCAAAGAGAAUAAGAAACGCACACAAAAUAAAAAUAGAAGAAGAAGAAGAAGGUCCCGCACUCCUGCAUGCACGUGAAACUUUAUCUGGAAACUUCUUUUUUGCGUUUGGUUUUAAUCCUGGGGCCAUGGAAAAAAUUGGACUGGCCCUAAAAGAUAUGCUUUUGUCGCCUAAAAAAGAUAUAAAAUAAAAUCUAAUUAUGAUUCAUUUUAAAAUAAUUUAUGGUUUUCAUUAUUAAGAAGAUUUUGAAAAAUACAAUUUUACAUAUCUAACAUGAACUCGCUGUGAAUAAAGAUAAAAAAAAAAACAGAAACAUAUAGAUAUGUGUGCGAGCGUGAGUCGAGAGACUAAUUAACUUUAUUAUACAGAAAAUUGGAAAAAAUAAUUUUGUUACUUUGAUAUCUAUAAUAUAGACAUGCAUAUUCGGUACUAUUUCAUGGAGCAUGUCUUUUUUCCUUUCUCCCCUUAAGAAUCUUAAUUUAGGUCCAAUUGGUUAAUGGACAACAAUAUAUAUAUAUAUAUAGACAGAUGAUGAUGUUGAAUUUGAAUAAUUGAUGGCAUGAUUACUUUUCUUAAUAUAAUGGGGUUGAAACUGAAAAAUAAUCGAGUGCACUCUUAUUUGAAUAUGUAUAAUUUACAUUAAUAAUCUAACGACAUAAUAUGUAAGAUUAUAUGACACAAUUACCUACUAGUUUGCUUGUCUUCUACCUUUUUUCUUCUUCACAAAAUAUAUUUGAAGUACAUUAUCCUUUUGUUCGGUUUCACAAGUAACCCAUGCAAUCAAUUGCCUUACCACAUACCAAUAAAAUAUAGAAAAAAAAAGGAGACAAAAAUCCUCUUAUAUAAUAAUAAGGGUGAUCAUUCCAAUUCAUGCUAUAAUAUUAUCCAAAAAAGUUCCUUAAUUAAUCAUCAUCAAUUAUCUUUUUAAUUAAAAACGAAAGAAGUCUCAAUCUCAAAUUGGUAAAGCGAAAUAAUGAGUGGGAUGUUUGUUUAUGGUCUUGGUCUUAUUUUAAAUAAUUUUACAUGAACAACAUGCAUGCAGUCUGCAGACAAGCUAAAAAUGCCAAAAAAAACGGAAAACAAAAAAAGAAACCAAGAGCAACAAAUUGCACCAAAGCUGGGCCUGCUUGAUCAUGAUGAUGAACAUUGGAAGUCGAAGCAAACAAUUUGUAAUGUUACGAAUUGUCAGCUAUUGCAUGCAGAAAGAAAGAGGAUCAGACCUAAUGGUCUGACUGUGACACUCUACCCACCCUUAGAUCUUUGACUAUUUUGUUCAUCGCAUGUGGGUCUCCUUCCCUAUAAUCCUUACCAAUACAAAUAAGAAAAAUAAAAGAAAUAAAUUCCCCAUAGAAUAAGCAAGGGACUAACAUGGGUGCAUACGAAUACUAGAUAUAUGUUACCUGUUUUUCACCAAACACGUGACAAACAAGUCUUUGUUUAUAUGAAAUAUUGGAUCAUUGAUCUUUCCAAUUUGGAAACUAGAACUAGAAGGGCGUUGGGAAAAAAGAAAAAAAAGAAGAAGUAGAUGGAUAAUCUCAUAGCCUUGAUAAAGGAAAAAUAAAUAUCAUCAAUGGAGUCCUGUCUAACGAAAAAAUGCCUUGAUUUGCAGAUCAAUAAGUUUGAAUUCCCAUCGCUCCCUCUCAUUCCUAAUUUUGAUAAAAAUAAAAAAGAAAAAGAAAAAAAGGAAGCAUUUAUUUGUUUUCAUACUUGUGUUGCAAACAUAUAUGAUAGUUUGGGGAUGGGAAUAUUUUCACACCAAAAAUAGCUAUCUGAGGUUUGUUUAAUGAAUAAAGUAUCUUUCACUAUAUUUAUAUAGAGAGAAAAAAGAAGUUGCCCAAACCCCCUCUCACAUUGGGGGUGUGGAUUGUAGAGAUACAACCAGUUUUGCUAUGAAAAUGACUCCAUCAUAAUAUAUUUCAUGUGAAUCUUCACUGUUGUUAAUUAUAUCAAUUUUUGUCAUUAUACUUGUUUUGCACACAUCUGAUAUUCUAUAAAUGUAUGGAUAUUUUUAAGAAGGAAUGUAUUUUUCUAUUACUUAUACAAUUUGAAAAGUAUACAAAAAAAAGAAAAAAAAACAGACAUUGAAGAUAGUGAUUAUAGUGACAAGAAAAUAAAAAUUAUGGGUCUCACUCACAUCAAUUAGUUGUAUAAUUUUAUUUUAUUUAUGAUUUGGAAAAGAUAUUAUGACUGAUGUUUAAUGGUUUUUGACUCUCCACAUGAUUGGUGUGCACUGUCCCCACCCAGAACAUAAAAUACAGCUUUUCUCUGCAAUUGCAUCUUUGUUUUCCCUUUUACCUUUUGCAGAUGGAAAGAUAGUUUAAAAGAAGUUAAAAAGAAAUGGCUACUUGCUAGAGGCAGAGAGAGAGAGUCAGAAAUCAAAAUAUUCAAGGAGAAGGCCUGAAAGAUCCAAAACACACCUCCCCACCAUUCCUAGGCUUCCCAAACCCCCCCCUCUCUCUCUCUCUCUCUCUCUCUCUCUCUCUCUCUCAUCCAUUGGUUGGAACCCACAAUUUGUAUUUUCAUGUGUUCUUAAAAUUAGUAAAGCAAAAGCAAACAACAAUGAAGCUUCUUCUUGUUAUUGCUCUCAAUUUGCUUUUGCUGCUUGUACACCAAAAUCAGCCACGUCCCAUUUGUGUUGGUGCCACACCUGACCCACUUGUUUCCUCCGUAUUAGCUCCGCUUUCCUCACCCAUUUCUCCAAUUGCCUCACCCAUUUCUCCAAUUGCUUCAUCAAUGGCUUCCUUCUCUCCAGGUACUUAAUACUUAUGCUUUGCUCUGCUCUCCAUAGACUGAAGACUCUUCCUUUUCAUUUCUAGCAAGUGGGGUUUUAAUUGGGUCACGGGUGCACCACUUCGAAAAUUCGAAUUUCAAAAAUGACCACCAAAUUGCGUGCAUUUACUGCAAUAUAUUGAAUUCAAUUUCUCUGAUUUUAUCAACUUCUGUGAUGUUGGUGCAAAAAUCUCCUGGUUUUAAUGUAUGAGAUAUUGCCCAUUUGCUCAAUUUUUGCUGAAACACGCCUCUAUAUAUUUAAUUUGUAAUCAGAAAUUCAAGAAGGAAGUGAAGGGCAUCAAAUGGAGCCACAUAGGAAAAUGCUAAUUGCUCUCAUUGUCACCUGCACUGCACUUGGUGUAGUUUUGUUGUCACUGUUGUGCUUGUGGGUUUAUCACAAGAAAUGUCCACACAAGUCCCACAAGAAAAGUGCUCAGAGCUCAGGUACUUUCAUUUGUACCAAGCACUUUUUGCCCUCUAAAUCUUGCUUCAAUUUGUGCGUUUUAGUAUGCUCGUAAAUUGUUCUUCUCUGAGAUUUUUUGUUCUGUUUGGUUCUGUUUCUUUGGUUUGUGUAAGAAGAUGCUGAGAAGGGGCUUGCAUUGGGUCCAUUUAUGGGUAAAUUCAAUUCCAUAAGGAUGGUUUCUAAGAAAGGAUCUGUUUCAGUAAUUGAAUAUAAAGUACUCGAAAAAGGCACCAACAAUUUCCGGGACAGCAACAUUAUUGGUGAGGGUGGAUUUGGAUGUGUUUAUAAGGCCCGGUUGGAUGAUAAUUUGCUUGUUGCAGUCAAGAAACUAGACUGUGCAAGUCAGGAUGCUGAGAGAGAAUUUGAGGUAACUUUUGCUCAAAAUUUUAGUUGGAGUUUUGUAUAAUGCUGUAUUUAUUGUAAAUCUUAUCUGAUGUAUUUAUUAUGUCUAAAUUGCAGAAUGAGGUGGAGUUGUUACAUAAAAUUCAGCAUCCAAAUAUAAUUUCCUUUUUGGGUUGUAGUACUGAUGGUGACACAAGGUUCAUUGUUUAUGAGUUGAUGCAUAAUGGAUCUCUGGAAACUCAAUUGCAUGGUAAUACAUUUAGUUUCUGUUAUUUUUUUUUAAAAUUAAAAAAGGAAUAUCAUGAAAUAUAUAUUUUUGUCCUAUUGUUGCAGGACCGUCUCGUGGUUCAGCACUAACAUGGCAUAUGCGAAUGAAAAUUGCUCUUGAUGCAGCAAGGUGAGCUUGUUUUCCCAAUUGUGGAGUCCUUUAGUUGUUAUGGGUUGUUUACAUUUUAACAUAUUGGGUACUGUUGACCAGAGGAUUAGAACAUCUGCAUGAGUACUGCAACCCUCCAGUGAUCCAUAGAGAUCUGAAAACAUCUAAUAUUCUUUUAGAUGCCAACUUCAAUGCCAAGGUAUGGUUAUAUAAAUUAUUGUAGUGUCUCAUCUUUCCUUAUAAAAUUAUUGAGCUUGUAUUAAAAUAUUUCAAUAAUGCAUUAUUAUCAUCCUCUAGCGCUAAAUUCACUGAAGUUUUUUUUUUUUCUCUCUCAUGGUGGCUUGUUUCAGCUUUCUGAUUUUGGUCUUGCUGUGGCUGAUGGGGCCAAAAACAGUAAUAACAUCAAGCUCUCUGGCACCUUGGGUUAUGUUGCUCCAGAGUAUCUUUUAGAUGGUAUGCCAAUUAAACUUGUAAUAAUUGCAAGGUGUAUUCUUUAAUUCUCACUGGUUACUGUGUCUACUAAACUAUAGUUUCUUUUCCCUAAGCUAAAUAUAAUCUAAUUGUUCUUUGGACCCUUGACAACUACUAUGGUACUGCGUUUGAUCGACAUAAUAAAGUACGUGUCUUUUAGUUAAGCUAUCUAGGGGCCGUAGCUGCACAUGUUCUGCCACUGGGUUCAUAUACCAUUUUAGAUUUGGAAGAGGAAAUCCCAGAACUACUUGUUACACUCAAGCUUAUCUGAAAUUAGGGAUGUUAUAAGCCAUUUAUGUGGAAAUUUGAACUUGAGAGAAGGGAGAGGUGGACGGCUUGAUAGUUAUCAACUUUUGGAUGACCCGUUGAUUUUCUGAUAAAUUUGGAUUCACCUUGAAGACAAGUUUUUAGCUGAAUAAUAUGUAAAUUUUUGUUUAUAGACUUGGAUGGCAUAUGCAUGUUAGUAUCACACAUUUUAAAUAAUAAUGGCCACCAAAAUGCUAUUUGUCAGCGAGAAUACUAAAUAGCACAAUUUUCUAAAGAGCUGUGUGAGCUUCCCUGCACCAGACUUCUCGGCUUUCACUUUUGUUAUUAUAGCAUUUGAAACAAGUUUUGGUGGUAAGCAAGUCACUCUUAUGAUUUCUCAGGUAAAUUGACAGACAAGAGUGAUGUCUAUGCUUUCGGGAUUGUGCUUCUGGAGCUUCUACUAGGAAGAAGGCCUGUAGAAAAACUGGCACCAACUCAGUGCCAAUCUAUAGUCACAUGGGUAUGCCUUUUUCCUAACUGCUCUCAAUUUUAAUUUAUUUGCAUAAUUCCUGUCAAAAACUUAAAUAUUUCAAAACUCAAUGCUGUAAUACAGGCCAUGCCUCAGCUCACUGACAGAUCAAAGCUUCCAAACAUUGUGGAUCCUGUGAUCAAAGAUACAAUGGAUCUGAAGCACUUAUACCAGGUUUGUGAAUUACAAACCCAGUAUGUUUGGUUGCAAUUAGUUCUAUGACAGACUCGUGCUUGACUAUGUGUAUCGAUUCUUUUGUUUGUACUGAAUGGACACAAAAUUUCAUGCUGUAAUAUAAUUGAUGCGUUGCAAUGCAUUACGCACAGGUUGCUGCUGUAGCUGUGUUAUGUGUGCAACCAGAACCAAGUUACCGCCCACUGAUAACCGAUGUUUUGCAUUCCCUUGUCCCGCUUGUUCCAGUCGAACUUGGUGGGACGCUAAGAGUUACACAACCUACAGCCCCAGGGAGCCCCCCAGCUGGUCAUUGAUGCACAAGGCAUUUAUGAUGACACUUUUGCAACAUUCUGGGUUCCUGCUGCUCAAUUGACUGCUCCAAAUCCCACAGUGAUUUUCUUACUUUUAUUUUGCUGGGAAGUUAAUGCCUUCAGUUAUUUCAGAGGAGGAAAGUUGGUCUGGUAGGAAUGUAGAGCUAUUGGGAUCGUCUAUCGCAUUUGUAAAUUGGAUCAAUUAGUUUCAAGUUGCUUGUGCAUAUGAGGGCAUUCGUAGAAACACUAGCUAAUUUCAUUUUUGACCUUUGUUUUUCAGUGUAAGAAAUCAGCUAAUUUUCAGUGGUAAUUGGUAAUUACCUCUGGAGUCUGGACCUGUCUUUGUUCUGAGAGUUCUUUUGGGAAGGUAAAAGCUAACAAUCAUCUUUUGCUAAUGAAGUCAAAUUGCGAAGGAAAGCCUCAAAUAUUACCAUCUAAUGAUUACAAACAUCAACUUCUUUCUGAGUCCAUCUAAAGUUCUCUUAAAGCCUGAAGAGUGGAGAGCCAGAAAGUACAUAUAAAUGAGAAAAUCCUGUUUUUAUUCUUAAGAAAAAGUCUUAUUUCUAAUUAAUUCUCUUCAGGUUUGAUCUUUUAACACCUUUUUUUUGUUUUUUUUGUUUUUUGGGUGGGGUUUGUGGGGUGGGUUUUCCCCUCAAGUUCAUUUAAUAUAGAGAAAAGAAAAAGAAACCUACAAGACAAGGAGAUAAUAAGGGCAAAGCAGUCUUAGCAACCCUAGCUACUCGAAUGGAAAAUGGCAAUUUGACAGUGAACAUCUCUAUGUCAGGCCAUCUCCAGCUAUGGCCAUAGGUCAAAUGUAGUCUUAAAAUAAUGUAAAAUUCAUCUUCAGUUAUGGGCUAAUUUUUUUUUUUUUGGGCCACAUUUGGCCCUUUAGCCCUCCAAGCAGGCUAUUUGUAACCCAGUUUUAGCCUAGGCCAAAUUUUUUUUGUGGGCUCAACGCAUGUGCUUUUCAAAAAGAGAAAGUAUCACGCGUGAACAAGAGAACGAAGCAUCUCGUGCAACUGCAUAUCCAACAUCUAAUAUUAAAGGAACGCUGACGUCAUCGAUGACGUAAGCUAGCUAUUAGGUUAUUUUUUAUUUAAAAAAAUAACAUUUUUAAAUGUUUUCAAAUUCGUUUUGUUUUUAAAAAAUAUAUAUAUAAUUGGUUUUUGACCCAUGGAGGUUAGAACCAUUGAAUGAAAAGUUACUUUUUUUAUAUAUUUAAAAUCUUUUAAAAUGUUUUAAAAUUGUUUUGUUUAAAAAAAAUAUAAAUAAAACGUACACGUGUCAUAUAUGGAAUAUUGUCUCUAAAUAGUAGUUGAAUUAAAUUAAACAAUACAUAGUUGUGGAAUGUAAGAGUGUUGUACUAUAGUUUUUCUCAAAAUAAUAAAAUAUGAAGGGCUCUAAAAUAUAGCUUUGCAUGGCUGAAGAUGGAAAAAAUUGUGAGAAAUUAAUAUAAUUUUAUUUAAUAUUAGUUUUCUAUUUGAAUGGAAAUUAAUAAAAUCCAUUGGAUUAAAGACAUGACCCUUGGGUAAAGACAUCUUCAAUUGGGGGGUGACAACUCUUCAAACUAAGAGAUACAUUGUUUGGGGUGACAACUCUUCAAGAUCAAGGGAUGCACUUUUUGCCUUUUCAGAUUGGGAUACCUUUUUAGAAAGAGUAUUUCAUCAUCUAUAAAUAGAGCAAUCCUCCUACAGUUUUAGUCAUUCAAUCAAUUCUCUACAUACAUACUCAUAUUUCCUACAAUCUUAAGACGAAUUACGCCCCACACUGGUGCUUAUGGUUCUCUAGCGCUCGCCUCUCAGGAUACAACGACUCUCCUCCUUAUGAAAGAAGCACUCCAAUUCACAAGGAACUUUGAACCAAAAUUAUGUAGGAACCUCUCUUUAUGAAAACUCUAAUGCUCUCUAUAUAUGAAAGUAUGUAAUUAAAUUAAACAAACACUAAUUGCCUUUUGUUUCUAUUGUUAGACAAAGUCUACAUAUACAGCAUCGGUUUUUAUUUAUUUAUUUGGAAUCUGUUUUCUGUUUGGCAUCAUUUUUUAUUAUUCUGUUCAUAAAUUCUGAUUAUAUUUAUCUACAUACAUUAAUAUUACUGUACCUGUGAAUUAUAGCAUUCUGUAUUACUGUUAUCUUGAAUAAUUGCAUAUUGCUUUUGCUAUACUUUUUAUCGGUAUUGCAUUAUUAAUUUCUGUGUGUUUUGUUGUAACACACUAUUGUGAUUCAUAAUUUAUCUAUUAGAGACUGCCAAAUAUUUAUUUAUUGACAUUGAGAUUGUUUAUUCGUCUUAAGGAAAAUGUCGAAUGAGAUACAGAAAGUGGGUCCUUCUAUGAAGACAAGUGCACCUGCUGUAGGUUGCCUUCAUCCCAUAAUCAUGCAGAGAAGCCUGAAAAAUUUAAUGGGAUGGAUUUUAAGAGAUGGCAACAAAAGAUGUUGUUCUACAUCACCACAUUGAAUUUGGCUCAUAUCUUGAAAGCAGAUCCUCCUGGACCUGGUGAUACAAUAGAAACAGUGGCUGCUUCUGAUGCAUUGAACCAGUCGGAUUUCCUUUGCAGGAACUACAUCCUAAAUGGUUUAAGUGAUGCACUAUACAAUGUGUAUAGUCCAAUUCAGACUGCCAAGGCUUUAUGGGAGUCACUAGACAAGAAAUAUCGAACCGAAGAUGCAGGAAUGAAGAAAUUUAUUGUCGGUCGGUUUCUUGACUACAAGAUGGUAGACUGCAAGACUGUUAUAAGUCAAGCCCAAGAACUCCAACUCAUUCUACAUGAGAUACAUGCAGAAAAGAUGGAAUUGAGUCUUUCCAAGUGGCUGCUGUCAUUGAAACCACGCUCUUGGAAGGAUUUCAAAAACUACCUUAAGCAUAAGCGUAAGGAGAUGGGACUUGAGGAUUUGAUAGUAAGGCUAAGGAUCGAAGAGGACAAUCGCCGUGCUGACAAAAAGUCUGGAUCCAUAAUGGAAGCAAAGGCUAACAUAGUGGAAAAAGAGUCAAGAAAAAACAAAAAGAGGAAGCACUCUGGAGAAGGCUCAAGGCAAGGGAACUCCAAGAAGUCCAAGGAAUUUAAGGGAAAGUGCUUCAAUUGCAACAAGCAAGGGCAUCGAGCUGUGGAUUGCCGAAGUAGAAAUGGACAAGGCAACCAAAAGAAAAAGGGCAAGACUGAGGCACACAUGACUGAAGAAGACAAGCUUUCAACUGAUUUGUCAGAUAUUAAUCUUUCUGCAGUCGUGUCUGAAGUGAACUUGGUGGGCCCACCAUGGAAUGGUGGGUGGAUACUGGAGCUACACGCCACAUAUGUUCUGAAAUGAAAAUAUUUUCUACAUAUGAAGCAAAUGAUCAAGGAGAACCUUUAUUUAUGGGAAACUCCUCCACCUCCAAAAUUCAUGGCCAAGGAAAAAUAGUUCUAAAGAUGACAUCUGGAAAGGAAGUCACUCUCAAUAAUGUACUUCACGUCCUGAGAUCCGGAAGAACUUGGUUUCUGGAUCACUGCUUAGCAAGAAUGGGUUCAAGUUAGUCUUUGAGUCUGAUAAGUUUGUACUUACUAAGAAUGGAAUGUAUGUGGGGAAAGGGUACCUUACUGAUGGACUCUUCAAGAUGAAUGUAAUGACUGUUGUACACAAAGUUAAUAAAAAUAAAGUUAGUUCUGCCUAUAUGCUUGAGUCAUCUGAUUUAUGGCAUGGAAGAUUAGGGCAUGUUAAUUAUGACAAAUUGCGUCAAUUAAUUAACAUGGAACUAAUACCUAAGUUUCAUAUUGAUUUCCAUAAUAAAUGUGAAACCUGUGUUGAAGCAAAACUAACUAGAUCAUCAUUCCAGUCUAUAGAAAGAAGUACAUAACCUCUAGAAUUAAUUCACAGUGAUAUUUGUGAUUUGAAAUUUGUACAAACUAGAGGUGGUAAAAAGUAUUUUAUUACUUUUAUUGAUGAUUGUACAAGAUAUUGUCAAUUAUAUUUGCUAAGAAGCAAAGAUGAGGCCAUAGAAAUGUUCAAACAUUAUAAAAGUGAAGUUGAGAAUUAACUUAGUAGGAAAAUAAAGAUAUUAAGAAGUGAUAGAGGUGGUGAAUAUGAAUCACCUUUUGGUGAGUUUUGUUCCCAACACGGAAUUAUUCACCAAACUACUACUCCAUACUCACCUCAGCAAAAUGGUAUUGCUGAACGCAAAAAUCGUACUAUGAAAGAAAUGAUGAAUGCUUUGCUAGUAAGUUCUGGAGCACCCCAGAAUUUGUGGGGGGAAGCUUUACUUUCUGCUAAUUACAUUCUCAACAAAUUGCCUCAUAAAAAGUUAGACAAAACACCUUAUGAGUUAUGGAAAGGUCACAAGCCUUCCUAUAAAUACUUGAAAUUGUGGGGGUGUCUAGCUAAAGUUGCAGUUCCAACCCCUAAAAAGGUUAAGAUAGGACCCAAAACUAUUGAUUGUAUCUUUAUUGGUUAUGCCAUUAACAGUAGUGCAUAUCGUUUCCUUGUACACAAAUAUGAUAUAUUAGAUGUACAUGUGAAUACGAUUAUUGAAUCAAGGAAUGCAUCUUUCUUUGAAAAUGUAUUUCCUUAUAAGGAUGCACAAGAAAGAAAUGCACUUAAAAGAACCUUUGAUACUGUUAAUAGCGAUAGCCAAGAAAGUCAUCAAGAAAAUAUGGACAAAGAGACUACAAAACCAGAACUUGGACAUGAACCCAGGCGUAGUAAGAGAGCUAAGACAACCAAAUCCUUUGGUCCUGAGUUUCUAACUUAUUUGUUAGAAAAUGAGCCUCAAAUCUACAAAGAAGCCAUGACUUCUCCUGAAGCUCCAUUAUGGAAAGAGGCUAUUAAUGCCGAAGUUGAAUCCAUCAUGCAGAAUCACAAUUGGGAACUUGUGGAUCUUCCUCCUGGAAAUAAACCAUUGGGUUAUACAUGGAUUCUUAAGAAGAAGAUGAAAGCUGAUGGAUCAAUUGACAAAUACAAGGCAAGGCUUGUUGUCAAAGGUUAUAAGCAAAUAGAAGGAUUGGAUUACUUUGACACAUAUUCACCAGUUACGAGAAUAACAUCGAUAAGAAUGUUAAUUGCAAUUGCAGCAUUGCAUAAUCUUGAGAUACAUCAAAUGGAUGUGAAAACGGCCUUUCUAAAUGGUGAUUUAGAUGAGGAAAUUUAUAUGGAACAACCUGAAGGGUUUAUUGUUCCUGGACAAGAAAAGAAAGUCUGUAAGCUUGUUAAGUCUUUGUACGGGUUAAAGCAAGCACCAAAACAAUGACAUAUGAAAUUUGACAAUGCACUAAUGUCAAAUGGUUUCAAGAUCAAUGAGUGUGAUAAAUGUGUUUAUACGAAAAGCACUCAAGAUGAUUUUGUAAUUAUUUGUCUUUAUGUUGAUGAUAUGUUAAUUAUUGGUAGCAAUAUUGGGAUGAUUAAAUCUACCAAGAAAAUGUUGACCAAUAAUUUUGACAUGAAAGAUUUGGGAGUAGCAGAUGUGAUUCUAGGGAUUAAAAUUUCUAAAACAUCUGAUGGACUAGUGUUAUCCCAAUCACAUUAUAUUGAGAAAAUACUUGCGAAGUUUAGCAAGUAUGAUACUAGUCCUGUAAAAAAACCUUAUGAUCCAAGUCUUAAUCUUGUGAAGAAUAUAGGUCAUGGUGUUUCACAAACAGAAUAUGCUCGUAUCAUUGGUAGUCUCAUGUAUCUUACGAAUUGCAAAAGGCCUAAUAUAGCUUACUCUGUUAAUAAAUUAAGCAGAUAUACUAGUAAUCCUGGAAGGGAUCAUUGGAAAGCUAUAGUCAGAGUUCUAAGAUAUUUAAGAUACAUCAAAAAUGUUGGACUGCAUUAUACAAGAUAUCCAGCUGUACUUGAAGGAUAUAGUUAUGCUAAUUGGAUAUCUAAUACUAAAGACUCCAAUUCUACAAGUGGAUAUGUCUUUACAAUUGGAGGUGCGGCUAUAUCAUGGAGAUCUACUAAGCAAACUAUUAUAGCAAGAUCUACUAUGGAAUCUGAGUUCAUAGCAUUAGAUAAAGCUGGUGAGGAAGCUGAAUGGCUACGUAAUUUCUAAGAAGAUAUUCCAUGUUGGCCAAAAAAUGUAUCUGUUAUAUGUAUACAUUGUGAUAGUCAAUCUACAAUUGCAAGGGCACAAAACAAUAUGUACAACGGCAAGUCUCGUCAUAUACGUCGAAGACACAACACCAUUAAGCAACUGCUCUCUAGUAGUAUAAUUACAAUUGACUACAUAAAGUCAAAAGAUAAUUUGGCGGAUCCGUUUACUAAAGGUUUGAACGGAGAGCAAGUUUAUAGAUCAUCGAGGGGAAUGAGGUUAAAGCCCAUGUCAAAUGAGUCGUCAUAGUGGAAACCCAACCUAGUUGAUUGGAGAUCCCAAGAUCUAGGUUCAAAAUGGACAACUAAAUUAUGAUAACUCAAAAAUAACACUGCGGAGAUAUAUUCUCCUACCCAUAUCCUAUGAUGAUACAGUGUUGUAUGAAAUGUGUUUAGGUUAAGCCAUGCUUUUAAUGAUUCCUAUACCUUGAUUAUCCGAGUAAGAUAUGAGAGGAUAUUACCAAUAGGAAGUCACCUAUAUAAGUGUGAAAUGGGGCCGUUUCCAUGAGAAUUUUCAGGGCUAAAUUCUCUAAAGCACUUAUGAAACCAGGAAUUGCUCAAGGCCAAAACGAGCACAACCGAUCGAACCAGAUAUGUCUAGAAGGAUAUUGUGUGAGUAUUAUUGUCUGGGUUUACACGAACGGCUGAACAGUUCAAGACAUCACGUUCACUGAUUAGCCAAGUGAAUCCGAUAGUACUUCACUAUGGAAGGUUCAAAGUCAAAAGCUACCUAUCUAGAUGCUAUAUUCUUCUAAUAGGAACUCUCUCUAAGUCUGCAUUAUCAUUUACAUAUUGUUGAAACUAAUUUCCAUUCAUGUGGGGGAUUGUGAGAAAUUAAUAUUAUUUUAUUUAAUAUUAGUUUUCUAUUUGAAUGGAAAUUAAUAAAAUCUAUUGGGUUAAAGACAUGACCCUUGGGUAAAGACAUCUUCAAUUGGGGGGUGACAACUCUUCAAACUAAGAGAUACAUUGUUUGGGGUGACAACUUUUCAAGAUCAAGGGAUGCACUAUUUGCCUUUUCAGAUUGGGAUACCUUUUUAGAAAGGGUAUUUCAUCAUCUAUAAAUAGAGCAAUUCUCCUGCAGUUUUAUUCAUUCAAUCAAUUCUCUACAUACAUACUCAUAUUUCCUACAAAAUUUAACUAUACACUAUUUUUAAUGGCUAAAUUUCUAGUCCUAGACUACAUUUAACCCUAUAACAGGGGAUAGCCAGAUUGCCAUUUCCCUGAAAAAUUACCGAUACAUGAAGUUAAUUACCCAGCAGAUUUGGGUAACCAAUGUAAUUUCCACCCUUUGAGUUGGAAUUAGCUUUAUUGAGUAGUCAAUUCCAAAAAUCUUGACCUGAGAUGCGAAAGUCUACACCACGUUUUUUUUUUUUUUUUGUGGUCAACGAGUCUACACCACGUUUAUUGCAGCAUGAUGAAUUGAAUCUGAAACAAAACUCAUCUGAAUAAUUGACUUUUUUCUGAGAUUGAAGAGAAUGCGGGUUUGUUAAUUAAUUUAAGGCUUCAAAUCAGACAGGAGUUGGCCUGAGUCCAAUGAAAUUCAUAUAAUAUAUACUCACGUCCGUAAAAAUCAUUAAUUUAACUGUUCGUUAAAAAAAAACAAAACAAAAAAGUCUUACCAUGCGAGGUCGAGAACCACCCACCCUUUUCAGUUUUUUAUCAAUGCAGACUUGUCAAUGACAAGCAUCAUCAUCAUCAUCUACCUCUGGUAUCUUCCACCAUUUGGCUACCUUAACCUUUGAUGAAUUUCACGUUGGAUGGUUUCUAACUAUAAUAAUAAUGAAUAUUAAGAUUUCAUUAACUAAAAUUUUACAUAAUUGAAAUUGGCAACCCCUUAUAUAUGUCUCAAUAUCUGCAUGAACCUCUGGCAAUUUAAAACAAUUAAAAACUUUUAUCCAGCAAAUUCUACAUAACAUCCCACUUCUCACAACAUUUCCACUGGGACACACAAACCAUGUUUAUUUUACAUAAGCUGAGAUUGAGAACAGAGACAUUAAUAUACUAGCUAGGACUUGGAGUUGGGAUGGGGAAAUAUGAUAUUGGAUUUCUUGGUUGUAGCCUCAAUGGUGGACUUGGUGUUGGAGUUGGAGUUGGAGUUGGAGAGAGAGUGAAAAUAAGAGGCCAUAGAUUGGGCCAUGGAAUCAAACAUCAUUCGCUUCACUGACCUCCUUUUUGCUGGAAUCACACUUGCAAAAUUUGAAGUCUUUGGUUGAACGCAUGUUUUUUUAUUGCCUGCUGCAACCACUUCCUUACCUGGGUUCUUCUUCAUUUCUUCUUCAGCUGUCCUGUGUUUCCACCCCUUUGCUUAGCUUCUGGCUGUGUAAGAGUGUUACGUGUUUGAUGAGUUUUGCAAUGGUGUUAGGGGGACUUGUUUGGGCUUGUUUAUAUAGACACAAACAAAAACCAAAAACCAAAAUAAGGUUUGGAAAUUACACAGAAUGUUCGUCUAAAAAGGUUUAGAGUUUAUAUUAUUUUAUUGGCAAUAUCUUUGAAACUUCAAUCAAAUCCACUUCUUACGUCCAAAUUCGGAGUAUUGAUGUAAAACGUAGGACACAACUCCAAGUCGCUUGGCCACCUCAUGAAUUUUGCAACGUAGAAAAAGAAAAUGCUAUUAACUUUUACAAAUUUGCAUAUUUUUUAUAUUUUAAAAUAAUAAAAUACUUGAAGUAGACUCACUUGAUAAACCUAGUAGUAAAAAGUCUUAUAUAGAGUCCACAACAAAAAACUCUUAAAGUUUUUCGUAUAGACAAGGACAUUACAUUUUCCCAUUAAUGAUACUUUCAAAGUUUUUCACACCGUUUCCUCCUCUAGAUCUAGAAGCUUCAUUAUUAUGUUAUUGUUAGAUAACUAAUUCGGAUUUCAGUGACUUUCUAUAAAGACGAUAAAGUAAAUUUAGGUUUUAAUAAUAAAAAAACUUUUCAGUAAAAUAAAAGUAAACAUGAGAAAAUAAUUGAUUUCCCAUUAAUCAAACGGGGUAUAGGUAGCUUAAGGAAAGGAAUUUUGUUUUCAGUAUUAUUUAGAUUUUCAAAACAAAUAAAAUAAAAUUAUAUACGUGGUCCACGAGGAAAUUUCUCAACCUUUUUCAUUUCACUUAUUCCUUGUUGAGUUUUAUUUCGCAGAUUGUAAUCGAAAGGCCAUCUCGUGGCUAAACGACAAAAAUGGAGUUACUAGAAGAGCAAACUAUAUUGAUAGAACUUAGAAGGUUGAAGUUCAAAAUAGAAAUAACAUAAUUUGCUACCAAAAAUCACAAGUUUGUUAGGCACAAAUUUUUACGUAAAUAUGGAGACAAUGGUCUUUACAAAACUCAGAAUUUACUUUCAAUGGUUUUAUUAUCUCUUUCUUGUAGACAGAGAAAAAUACCACAAAAAAUAAAUUAAUGUAUCAAAAUCUAAAUUUACAUCUCACUCAUUGGAGGAAAAAUCACAUUUACAUCCUCAAGACGGCAUUACUCUUAGCCCUCCCUGUAACAAUUACCGGUACAUGAAGUUAAUUAACAAAAAAAGAAGUCAUUAUACAUGUCUCAAUAUCUGCAUGAACCUCUGGCAAUUUAAAACAAUUAAAAACUUUUAUUUAAUUUAAGACAUUACAGAAACCAGUAAACAUAUAUAGACUUCACACUUCUCUAUACUGCAACAAUUUCAAAACGACAUGAUCAUCUAUAGUAUAUGGAAUUUGAUCAAGCCCACAACAUUUCCACUGAGACACACAAACCAUGUUUAUUUAACAUAAGCUGAGAUUCAGAACAGAGACAUUAAUAUACUAGCAAGGACUUGGAGUUCUUGGUUGUAGCCUCAAUGUCAAUGGUGGAGUUGGAGUUGGAGUUGGAGUUGGAGUUGGAGUUGGAGUUGGAGAGAGUGAUAAAAAGAGGCCAUAGAUUGGACCAUGGAAUCAAACAUCAUUCGCUUCACUGACCUCCUCUUUGCUGGAAUCACACUUGCAAAAUUUGAAGUCUUUGGUUCAACGCAUGUUUUUUUAUUGCCUGCUGCAACCACUUCCUUACCUGGGUUCUUCUUCAUUUCAACUUCAGCUGUCCUGUGUUCAACUUUUCCACCCCUUUUGCUUAUCUUCUGGCUCUGUAAGAGCAACUACACCCAUUUGUCCUUAGCCAUGGCAAGGGGGGAGCUAGGGCAGUCACUAUUCACGUGAAUAGUGGUUGCCCUUGCAAAUAGUAUUUUGUGUUUGCACCCAUUGCCAUGGCUAAGGGCAAUUACUAUUCAUUUUUUUGUUUUUUCACAACUUUUUUUUACUUAAAUAAUUAAUUUGGAUAAUAUUUUCGGAUAAGAUUUUUGGGUUCCUACGUGUCAAUACUAUUCAUAUCGGAUAAGAUUUUUUUUAGCGGAGGUGCAAUAUUGGCUAAGUAUGAAAAAUGGUUUUUCGGAAUAAUCAUUUUCUCAAGAUAAUUUUUGGCGGCUUUUAUUCCUUACACAUCAAAUAAGAAAACUUGAUUUUAUGGAAUUUUAAUAUGAAGUAUAUAUUGACUUAAUGAGCCAUCAUUUUUAGCCUAAAUCGUAUUUUGCACUAAAACCGAUUUUUCAUAUUUUGAUUUGGUGGGAAUUUGAUUUUCUAGUAUUUUUAUUUGAAUCCAAAUGGGGGGUACUUCCUUAUUUACAUUGUAAACUUAAGUAAAUGGAGUAAUAUAGAGAGGAAAAUAUUGAGUAUAAAGAGUGAAUAAUGAUAGAAGUAGAAGAAAAUGUACGAGGAUUAGUGUUGAAAGUGAAGGGUAUUGAUAGGUAUUUAUAGAAGAAAAAAUCUGACUUUUUUAGAAUUUUUUUAAAAAAAAUUAGAUUUUUUUAUAAAAAAUUAGAUUUUUUUAUAAAAAAUUAGGCGAUGACGUCACGCUGACGCAGGCCGUGACGUCAUCAGCCUGGGUUUGAACGCGGGCUGAAAUGGCCCGAGGGCCAGCCCGAGUUGGUGGGUCCCACACGCAACUCGGGCCUGGGCUCCCCGCUGGAAUGAGAUUUUUUUUCCGCCCCCCCCCCCCCCCCCCCCCCCCCAGCCUUGGGCUGAGCCUCCCCGGUGGAGUUGCUCUAAGUGUUACGUGUUUGAUGAGUUUUGCAAUGGUGUUAGGGGGGUUUGUUUGGGCUUGUUUAUAUAGACAAAAAAAAAAAAAAAAAAGGUUCGGAAACUACACAGACUGUUCGUCUAAAAAGAUUUAGAGUUUAUAUUAUUUUAUUGGCAAUACCCUUGAAACUUCGAUCAAAUCUGCUUUGCACCUCCAAAUUCGGGGUAUUGGUGUAAGGAAAACAUAGGACACAACUCCAAGUUGCUUGGCCACCUCAUGAAUUUUGCAACGUAGAAAAAGAAAAUGCUAUUAACUUUUAAAAAUUUGCAUAUUUUUUAUAUUUUAAAAUAAUAAAAUACUUGAAUUAGACUCACUUGAUAAACCUAGUAGUAAAAAGUCUUAUAUAGAGUCCACGACAAAAAACUAAGUUUUUCAUAUAGACAAGGACAUUACAUUUCCCCAUUAAUGAUGCUUUUAUUUUCUAUUCAACCAUUUUCGCACGGUCUCCCUCCUCAAGAUCUAAAAGCUUCAUUAUUAUAUUAUUGUUAGAUAAGUAAUUCUGAUUUUAGUGACUUUCUAUAAAGACGAUAAAGUAAAUUUAAGUUUAAGUUACAAAAAAAAUUUUACUUUUGAAAAAAGUCAAAACUUUUCCGAAAAAGACAGAAAAACUUUUCAACUUUUAAACUAAAGACGUACAAAUAUAAAAGAUUCUUUAGAAAAUCCAAAAAUAAGUAAGGAUAUUUUUGUCUAUUUUAACUUCUUUUAAAAAUAUUUCUAUCUCUUUUGACAUUUUCUAAAAUAUCCCAGAUUAAAUAAGUUCCUAAAAAUUGAACUGUUCGAACUAACAAAUCUAAUUGAUGAUUGGAUCCACUUGCAAUAUAUAUAGGUAAACAUGCUUGGGAUUGGGGCUACAUAUACAGGGAUGCAAGGAAACAUUGUGGGCCAACUCAAGAUUGUAAAAUUAUGCUUAUGUUCCUGCCUUAGAGCAUUUCCAGCAAGGGGACCAAGGGGAGGGCUGGGGGCGCAAGUCCAAAAUGUUGUUUUCAAUAAUAAAAAGUGGCUCGGGCAAGGAGUGGGAUCCAGCGAACUGAGCUGGCCCGAGGGGAAAGCUGGCCCAAGCGCCAGCCAGCGUUUUGGAGAUGAUGUCAGUGAGCUGAUGUCAUGACGACGUCAGCUACAAUUCCCCCCAACGGCUAGCUUCCAUGUGGCGUGGGCUUGGCUCUUCGAUCAGAAUUUUUUCAGCAAUUCAACGACAACUAAUUUUUGUGCAAUAAAAAAAAAUAAAAAAAAUAAAAAAAUUACUGAUUUUUUUUUCUCUAUACCUUAUUUCUAUUUUCACCAUUUAAGUAAAUGUCUUUGUCCUUUUACUUUCAUUUAUUUUUAUAUUACUUCAUUUACUUAAGUUUACAAUGUAAAUAAGGAAGUACCACCCAUUUGGAUUCAAAUAAAAAUACUAAAAAAUCAAAUUCCCACCAAAUCAAAAUAUGAAAAAUCAGUUUUAGUGCAAAAUACGAUUUAGGCUAAAAAUAAUGGCUCAUUAAGUCAAUAUAUACUUCAUACUAAAAUCCCAUAAAAUCAAGUUUUCUUAUUUGAUGUGUAAGGAAUAAAAGCUGCCAAAAAUUAUCUUGAGAAAAUGAUUAUUCCGAAAAACCAUUUUUUAUACUUAGUCAAUAUUGCACAUCCGCUAAAAAAAAUUAUGGGUCCGCCAGUAUCUAUAAAUACCAACCAAUACUCUUCACUUUUAACACCAAAUCCUCAUACAUUUUUUUUCUUCUAUAAAUACCAACCAAUACAACUAAUAAAAUAAAAUCUUAUCCGAAAAUAUUAUCCCAAUUAAUUGUUUAGGUUAAAAAAGUUGUGAAAAAAACAAAAAAAUGAAUAGUAUUUGCCAUGACAAAGGGCAACUGUUGGAAACACACAUUGCUUAAUAUGGUAAGGGCAGCUACUAUUCACGUGAAUAGUAGCUGCCCUAGCCGCCCCGCCCCCCCGCGGGCGCCCCCCCUUGCCAUGACAAAGGACAAACUGCUGGAAGUGCUCUUAGCAGCCUUAUCAACCUUAGUUACUUGCAUGGUAAAUGACAUUUUUCCCAAUUUACAUUUUCUUUUCUGUAUGAUUGGAGGAAAUGCAGGUUUGUUGAUUCUGAAUGCAUGUAUUCAAACUAGAUAACCAGAGUCAAAUGAAAUUCAUAUAAUAUUCAAGUCCACAUCCUCAUAUUGCUUGUUCUGUUUUAUUAGAAUGGACAUUGGAAAAUUAAGCCCCCAGAGUGAGUGGUAUAGCAAUCAUAGAAAGAUUUGCAGAGGAUUUCUAUGACCUUAAAACUACGAAAGCAAAUAUUUGAAGAGGGUUUAUAUGAUCUUAAAACAAUGAAAUCAAAGAUUUUCUGCCCUCUUCUUCAUUGGAGUUGACAUGGAGUCAUGGACUUCAGAACAUUUUUCUUUGUACACCAUGCAGAUGCUAUUACCUUUCGUUGAUUUUACCAUUUUCAUUUUCACGUAGUCUGCUAAUAAGUUAUAAUUAGAAUAGGUCAAAGUUCAAUUCCAUGAGACUGUGAUAGCUUCUAAUGCAGACAUGGCAUAAGUUUGUAAAUUUUGUAAAAUAAUACUAAGAAAAAGACUAGUUGGGUGAACAAUGGGCUGAAGUUUGGGCCAUGUGUGGGAGGUUUGGUUUAGGGCUCUAGUAAUUUGAUAUUCUAUAGUGAGGGCCUUAUAUAAGAUCUUUAGAUGAGACCAUAUCUCUUAAUCGAUGAAUCAAAUUGAUUUGCAUGACUCAUCUAGUAAUACUUUGUUGGGCAUGAGACUUAACAUUUUAUAGGCCUAAUGUGAUAAUAAGGGCAAAGCAGUCUUAGCAACUCCAGUUCGGUUCGAACUAGUUAUUUUUUAUUUUUUAUAUUUAAAUUUAUUAUGGUGAUAAUCGGAAUUGAAAUCGAAUCCAAUCAGUCUUGUUUGGUUUUUUAUAACCAAAGUUGACUUUUUAAUCAACACGAUUUUUUCAGUUUUUUUGGGCCCGAUUCAGAUAGCGUUUGGUAGUGUUUAAAUUUUAAAAAAAGCUGCUUUAAUAAAAAUUAUGCCAAACCAUGGUGUUUGGUAAACAUCAUAAAUGAGCUUUUUAAAAAAAUUGCGGUCAAUCACCGCUAUUUUUUCAAAGCAGGCAAAACCCAGCUUUUAAAAGCUGCUUUAAAAAAAAUUUAACCGGUGGUUUAAUGAAUGUUUUACUUUCCCAUAAUGCCCUCACUUAUUUUUCAAAUAGACAGUCCUUGUCCCUCCAAUACAAAUCGAGCGACGCAAACUCCUCUUCUUCUCCAUUCUGCAAACUCCCAUUUUCUUCUUCGUUCUGUUCAUUCACAACCAUCCCUCUUCCUAUUCGUUCUACCUCACAUCCCUUUUUCUAUUCGUCGUCUGCAACAAACCCCACCCAAGCUCCAACCACAACCACAACCUCCGACCAUGGGCUGUGCUUGGACUGUAGACGACGAUGAUGACUGUGCAAGGAGGACGACUUCUCUGGGCAGAGGGAGAAAAAUAGAACAAGGAGAAGGAGUAGAAGAGAACAUUUUUUAAAAGAAAAAAAAUUUGCAGAGAGAAAGGAGAAGAAGCAGGUGAUAGGAAGAAGGAGAAGAAGAAGAUGAAAAAGGAGCAGCAGAAAGGGAUGCAGAGAUCUGGAAAAAAAAAAGAUUCAAAGAGACGAAAAUGUUCUGACUCAGAAAAAUUGUAAAUUAAAAAAAGAAAAAAAAAUGUAGCGUAAAGGUUUUUUUAUAUUUUUUAUUUUAAAUUUAAGUAGAAAAAGAAAUAAGAAAACAACAAAUAAUUUCAUCAUGAUUCAUGUCCUUUUUUGUCAUUAUACACACUAAAAGCAAUUUUGAUAAAAUUUUACCAAACACUUUGAUUACUCACAACACUUUUUCAAAUAUAGUUUACAAAACGCCUAACUGAUUUUUUUAACAGCUGAUUAUUCUCACAGCACAACAGAAGCAGUUUUUUUAAAAGCACAACAAUACCAAACUAACUCUCAAUUUAAUUUACCAUUUUCGAUUCUGAUGCCAACCUCUAGUUUGUGAGCCUUUCGGCCUCCUUGGAGACAAGUUUGGGCCCUUAGAUGUACUGUUUUUGAGAGUGUUUCCUUUAUAGCCAAAGGCCCGUGAAAUUAUAUGAUUUGUUAGUUGGGCUUUUUCUACCAGAAAGGUUUUCUUUUCUUAAUCUUCAGCGUCAUUAGGAACAAAUGGCAUGUCUCAAAUUGAAUUAUUGAUCUCUCCUGUUUAUCCCAUUCCUCCAGUAAAUUGCUAUUAAGCCAAGACAAAAAAAAGAAGCUUAUAGUUGUUAGUAGAAGUUACAAAAAAAAUUUGAAUCAGGCCCCUGCUUGGUGAAGGAAUUAAAGAAAUACCGAUUAAUUUUCACAUAUAUUCAAUCAGGCCACUGCUUGAUUUUAUUUAUUUAAAAAAAAAAAAAAACUUAUAAGCCCUCUGUCAUGAAGAAGUAAAUUAAGAAUAAAUUUAUAGCAGCAGCAGCUGUAUUGCUUUCCAUUGUCUUUUUUCUGUGAUGGAGGGAUGGCUUUCUUCAUUCUAGAAUCUUAAUUCCAACCAGACAAGAGGGGGACCCGAGUGAAAUGAAAUUCAUAUAAUAUUCUAAUUCCACACUAAUCAAUAAUGUAAGGGGAAUAAGAACAGUAAUUAUUGAAUUGAUCCCCAAUAUGGUAGUAUGUUCACACAGUGAAAGCAAAGUGCAGAGGAUGAUUAGUAUGACUUUAGGACAUUGAAAACAAAUUAAGCAAACAUUUUCUCUGUUCUUGGCAUGGACUAGAGCUAACUAAACGAUCUUUCUUGGGGGACAAAUUAUAAUUUAUAAUAUCCUCCAAAAAAUUUACUCUAAAUUCAUUUUGGAGUUUAUACUAUUUUAUUAGCUUAAUUACACCAAUACCCCUGAAACUUUAAUCAAAUCUACUUUGCACCUCCAAACUUAGGAGGUAUUGGUGUAGUUAAGCCUAUUUUAUUUUCUCAUGCUAGAUUUUGUCUAGAUCUCAGGGGACCAUACUCAAUGUUGUUUCUCGUUUCACCCUCUUCUGGAUAGGUCAAUAUUUUCCAUCAGAAUAAAAACACUGUCCCCAAGAAAAAACACACUUUGUGUCUUCUAUUUCUCAACUUCUCCACACCUUUACAUUGACAAACCAUAGAAUUCCACUAUGGCACAAAUUUUGUAAAGUUACAGACCAAAAUUAAGCUACUUUCGGUUUGAUUGAUUCCAAGGAAUUACAAUGAUGAAAUAGAAACGCACUUGAUUUCCCAAAUGGGUUUUGGUUUUGAAAUCUUUAAAAUUUGAUAAUGUCCUCUUUUAGAAGCUCAUCCAUAUAAGAUUAAGAUUAACUAAUGAUUCUAUAAAAUUUAUGAACUGACGUACUUUAAGAAAACAAUAUAACCUUUAGAAGCUCUACUUUCUUUGCUUUACUAGCCCUUUUGCACGUGCGAAAGUGUACUCCAUGCGACUUAAAAUUUUCUUAUUUUAUCUUUUGCACUUAGUUUCAUAACAUAUAUAUAUAUAUAUAUAUAUAUAAAAUAUAAAUGAUAUUCUAAAUUACUUUAAUCUAUGAGAAGGAGAAUCCAACUUGGAUACAAGGGGAACAGACUCACUGUUGUGGCCAACUACCCUAACCCUAUGUUUGAAUUAUCACCAUCUCCAUAAAGCUGACUUUAAUAACCUCUGACAAUAUGCAUGAAUCUAUCUCUGGCAAUUUCGUUUUGUGAAAUAAGUUAAAACUCUAAUUAAUUAAGACAGUACAAACAUGUAGAAACCAGAAAACAUGUGUCUACGAAGACAUUAUAGUUUCCAAGUAGAUUACAACGACUUCAGAAUAACACAUGAUAAUGUUGAUACAUAACAACAACAAACGUAAGCUGAGAUUGAGAGAACAAAGGACAUCGAAAGGUCAUGGGCAACACAUAGACAUAGCCAUUAAUUUUUGGAUGGGUGGGGAAAUAUGAUAUUGGUGUUCUUGGUUGUAGCCUCAUUGGACUUGGAGUUGGAGAGAGGGUGAAAAAGAGAGGCCAUAGAUCGAACCAUGGAAUCAAACAUCAUUCGCUUCACUGACCUCCUCUUUGCUGGAAUUACACUUGCAAAGUUAGAAAUCUUCGGUUUAAAGCACGUUGUGUUGUUGCCUGCAACCACUGCCUUACUUGGGUUCUUCUUCAUUUCCAAGUGACCUGUCAUUUCCUCAGAAAUCAUUUGAUCAGUUUGCAAGAGUGUGGGGUUUUGAGCAGCUGAUAUACAUAUAUAAAUAUAUAUAAAGUUAUUUUAAUGAAAACAUUUGUCUAGUGUUAUGGUUGGAUGACUAAAUGACUUCGGAUUAACAAAUCAUAUUGAUAUAUAGUUGGGCCCACUUGCACUAAAUGUUUGGGAUUAGUGCUACACAAAGAGAUGUAAGGAAACAUUGUGGGCCAGCUGAAGAUUAUAAAACUCUGCUUAUGCCCCUACCUGCCUCCUUCCUAAAUUCUAUCUAAGACUGAAUUACUCUCUCCCUCGUCCUCCUCGUCUUCGUCGUAGUCCAUGCACAACGGUCACCGUACGCAAAGAGAGUUGUUGCCUAAAUAUAUGGCAUGCUCAACAGAAUGUUUAAGGGAUGUAAAGAGGUGGGGGAAUAGAGUAGAAUUACUUCCUUAUUUUGAAUAUAAAUGAUAGUCUAAACUACAAUAGGGAGGAGAGUUUCACAUACACACUGACGUAGCCUAUGAAGAUUCGAAUCAAACACUCAUCUGCAAAUCAAUAGUAUUUUUCAAUGGGCUAGAUCUUGUUGGAUUUUCCUUUCAUUUUCUUUUUAGUUAAUUAGAUGGGGGUGAAAUUAGAUUCGCUCUAUAGUAAGGGCAAAAGUCUUUGCAGCCCUUUCACCCUUAGCUACUUGCAUGACAAAUGACAAUUUUCCCAAUUUACUUGUUCUUAUUCUGUUUAUUGGAGGAAAUGCAGGCGUGCCUGGGCAUAUAUUCAAACCAGACGAGUGGACCGGAGUCAAAUGAAAAUCAUAUAAUAUUCAAAUGCACAUAAAUUAUUAUUCAAAGGACUUUUCAAAUCAUAUUUUCGCAUAGUCAUAUAUUAUUUGACCUGUUUUGUUACAGGCGACAUUGGAAAUUGGCGCAAAGUCAAUUAACAACUGUUAGUAGUGAAUUAGGGCACAGAGCCAGAGUCGUUUUGAAAUCUUCAAAGAUUUUUAGAGGAUUUGUAUGACUUAAAAAAACGAAAGCAAAGAUUUGCAGUCUUGCAGAGGAUUUCUCUAUGAAGGGUUAAGAUCUUCUAAUGUAUACUCUCGCAAAAAAAAAAAGAAAAAAAGAUCAUCGAAAGCACACGAUUGUGGUAGCUUCUAAUGCGGACAUGCCAUAAAUUUUGUAAAUGUUGUACAUAUGGUACUUGAAAACAAGACGAGUUAUUAUUAUUAUUAUUUUUUACCUGAGUCAAAUGAAAUUCAUGUACUACUCAAGCUUCAUGAUAUUAUUUGGGCUCUGCAAAGUCAAAGCAUACGCAUUAACAACAGUUACUAGUGACCGUAUUUCCAAAGGAUUUGUGUGACCGUAUAAAACAAUGAAAGCAAAGAUUUGCAGAAGAUUUGUGUAAUCUUAGAACAAUCAAAGCAAAGAUUUUCCGUGUAGUCCUUCUUCUUUGGACAUGGACUUUGAGCUAUCAAAAGAUCUUGGGAGGGCCACACACAUCAUCCUCUAACAACUCAUUUUGAACUGCAGAGCCUUGUCCUUGCACUGAUGCAAUUCCCUUUCAUGCCAGAUUUUAUGUAGAUCUCAAUAGCACAUGCUCAAUCUUCUUCUUUUUUCUGUUGAUUUUUACCAUGUCACAUGGUCAACUAAUCAGUUAUGAUUAAAAUAGGUUAAAGUUCAAUCUCUUCCAAUGUUUAAGACUGAGGUGAGGUAGUUUCUAAUGCGGACAUGGCAUAAAUUUUUGUAACUUUUCCGACUAAAUUGAGAUUCUUUUGGUUUGGCUCAAAAAAAUUUCGGUUGUGAAAUCAAAGCUCAUUCAAGGAAUAUUAACUAUCAAACCAAAAACUUUUUCCAAGCCAAAUAAAUGGGUUCCGAUCGGUUUAGCCCUUUGAUUCUAAUCGAACAAAAUUCCGUUGGUUUCUAAAUUUAACAGUUUAUGGAUGUUCACUUUAGACGCUCUCUAUGUAUGAUAACCAUGCAAUAAGACUUUGGCAUAUACACCAUCUCCUAGUAGCAGAUAUUCAUAACCUCUCAAACGUAAGCUUCUUAGUAGAUAAUUCAAAUAGUUGCAAUUGGCAACCCCAGGAUUAAUCUACUAGUCUAUACCCUUAUUUGUCAAUGUAUAUGCAUGAAGGCUCUGGAAAAUUUUGUUUUGUGAAAUAAUUAAUCACUUAAAUUAAGACAAGUACAGACGAUUAGAAACCAGUAAACAUCCUAAUAUACUGCAAGAAUUUCAAAAUGACACGAUAAUUAUUUUGGGACAUGACCAUAUCUAUAUAGAUUAAUUGAGUCUAGCUAGGUGACAACAACAGCAAGAACAAUAGCUGAGCCUGAGAUUGAGAACAAAGACAUUAUUAAUUUUGGGAAGGGUCGCGAAAUAUGAUAUUGGUGUUCUUGGUUGUAGCCUCAGUGGACUUGGACUUGGACUUGGAGAGAGAGUGAAAAAAAGAGGCCAUAGAUUGGACCAUGGAAUCAAACAUCAUUCGCUUCACUGACCUCCUUUUUGCUGGAAUCACACUUGCAAAAUUUGAAGUCUUUGGUUUAGAGCAUGUUGUUUUGUUGCCUGCUGCAACCACUUCCUUACCUGGGUUCUUCUUCAUUUCCUCAGAUGGGUUCAGCUUUUCCACCACUUUGGUUAUCUUCUAAAAUUCUGCAAUGGAUUAUGGUUAUGUGUUUGUUGAGUUUGCAAGAAUGUGAUGGAGGCUUUGAGCAGCUGUUUACUUUAUAUACAGCAUUUUUGGGAACUACACAACAAAAGGAAGCAAGGAAACACUGUGGCCCGGUUGACCAUUGGGGACACACCAUUAACCCACCCACCCAUGCUAAGAAUUACAGGGUAGAAAAAGAAAUCCUAUUCCAAUUUUUCAUCGUGCAUAUUUAUUUUCUAUAAUAAAAUAAAAAAAUAAAAGCUCAAAACGAUAAACUGAGAGUGUAAACAGUGUAAAUCUCAGUGACUGUACAAAUUAAGGUCAUUUUAAGGGUUAGAUGGGUCAUUUGUCUGGUGGCCUUCAAUUACCUAGCAGUAAAAGUCUUAUAUUAAAGGCUUGGGCGGGCCAUGGAUUUGACAUUGUCUGUGCCUUCUUCUUGGAAAAAGCAUUAUUAGUUUUUGUGCGUUUGCAUCCUCGUCAUUCAUGUGUAACACAGAAAGUUUAGAGUCAAAAUAAUUGAGAUAUGAUAUGAUAUCAGCAAAAUACAUUUAACUUACUUUUUCCACACAAAGAAAUAAAUUAAAUCAGUAAUCUUUACCAAAAAAAUAAGAAAAAUGAAACAAAUAAUAAUAAUAAUAAUAAUAAUCAAAGACAAUAGAGGAUCUUAAUUACCACAAAGAAUUGUUAACCAAUCAUAGUAUUAGAGUGGGUUAGGCAGGGACAUUGUGGCGCGACUCUCAAAGUCUGUGGAGAAGGGGACAAAAAAAGCUUCCAAGAGACAAUGAGGAGGUGGCAAAUUGUGUGCGAGCUCGGAUUGUAAUUGAAAGGCCAACACCAAUUGAUCAAAACUUUGCACAGCAACAACAGCCAAAGGGGAAAGAAGGUGUGCCGCUGGUCUUCAGCUCUUUCGAAUAAAGGGAAAGAGAGCUGCCAAUGUUGAACCAAGAUUAUAUGUAUUUGUAGUAAUCUUUCCUAGUGUGAACAUUAGUAUGUGCACAAAUUUGGACAACGAUGAUAUUACGUGUGGGAGUAAAACUUAGUCCUCGACUCAAGAAAACAAUUCCUUAGCACCGUAAACUAGGGGGAGUGAAGCGACAUGAUUUUUAUUUUUAUUUUUUGAGAGAAGAUUGUAUUUCAUUAAACUGCAAGGAUUAGUAUGUUAACAACGGCCUCGUUAAAACCUUUUCAUAGAAAACAAAAUCCCAGGGUAGAAAAGAGUACCAUCUAUGCUAUUGACUAAACAGAAUAGUCAAACAAUUGAUACGAAACAGACAAACCUAAAACUCAAACACAAAACCCUUAAAACAACAUAUCGGCUAAACCUAUAGUGCCAAACCGGCUAAACAUGAACCCAACGCAACUCAACAUAUUCCCGUCAUUGCAACUCUAAAACCUAUGUCGAAGAAUGACAACGUGAGUCAAAUUCUUGUGUAUGUGGGUUAAAAGUUGACGAUGAUAAUGUUUUAUGGCGACUACUUCCACACUAUAAAACAAAAUAAUAAAGCAAGAUAAAUGGAAAAAUGGAGGGGAGGGGCAAAGGAGGAAGGCGAGACAAGAAUAACAAAAGAAAAUUGGCAAAGCCUAGACGAUGAACCAGGUUUAUUUUUUUAUAACUACCUUAUUAUUUUGGGUGGGUAAACCCUAAUCAUGACCUCAGGUGCUUUAAACCCAAAGCCUACUUUUAAGUCUACACCUUCUAGAAGUAGUAACAACACGUUAAAUUUUGCAGCUCACCGUGUGGAUGCUCUAGUGCUUUUCCCAGUUGACUUUUUUUUUUGGGGUGGUAAUUUGAGGAAAUGCAGUGCAACUUUGUUCAUUAUGAAUUCAUGGAAUGACAAGAGUGGACCUGAGUCAAAUGAAAUUAAUAUGAUAUUCAAGUCCCCCUACUAAUCAUUAAUUAAAGGAGGCAUAUAAUCAUAGUGAUAUUAUUUUAUAUGUUUUAUUAAAAUGGAGGAAGGAAACUUUGUACAAAAUCAAAGCAACCCCAUUAAAAUAUAAGCCCAAAGAUUUCCAGAGGAUUUAUAUGAUAUACAAUGAAAGAUUGAUUGGAUACUCAUUUUAGACUUCAUAACCUUGUCCUUGUCCACCAGAUGCUAGUACAUUUCGCGCAAGAUUUUCUGAAGAUUUCAGUAGUGUUAACUUUAUUCUAAAAUGGUGAAAUAAUUCGAUGGAAUUCAGUGUUUAUUCGUAAGGGCAACGCCCAAUAUUUGUACAAGACAAUGAAGGAAAUUAACCAAAGAUGAAAAUAUAAGUCUAAAAUACAAUCAGGAAAUGCAGGCAUGUUCCUUCCUUCUCUAAAUACAAUAAAGGCGUUAUUGCAUUUAGUGGGGGAUUCAGAAAUUUUUCAGGGAAAGAUGCAACAUUUAAAAGGCUAAAUUUUUUUUUAAAAAAAAAUGUUAGACAACCAAAUACUUUUAAAAUUUAAACAAUUCUAAUGACAUUUAUAACUCAUGAAAAAAAUAAAAUUAUAAAUGAAAAAGUAAAGAGCUGAGACGUUUUUAGUCCGACAAAGCGAAGCAUAAGCAUCAAAGCAUUAAUGGGUAAGCUUUUUGAGACAUAAAUUGUUUUGACAAGAAAACUUUACAAAUCUACUAAUUAUUAUUGAAGCAUAAUAAUCAGUUUAAUAUAAUCAAAUAUAAAUACUAAUUGUCAUCUAAGCGCAAUAAUCAAUCCCAAAAUAUAAAAUACUCAAUUGGCCAUACAAGAUCUAAAAAGGAGAGGGAACAUAAAAAUGAGAGAAAUAAACUGUAAAAGCCACAUGAAAUAUGACCUAAUAAUUAUCUUCAAGACGUUAUGUAUACUUAAAUUUGCACCGGAGAAAGCUUUGAGAGAUUUGUUAAUUGAUCAUGGCAUAAUAAUAAAAAGGUUUUUUUGGUUGGAGGAUAAUAAAAAGGUUCAAGCAGUAAUUUGCCAAAGGCAUAAUUGCAUCAAUACUGCGCGUUUCAUUAAAAGGAAACAAAAACAAUGCGAAGACGACGUCGUUUGCACUACAGAAAAAUGAAAACAAAAAAACCCUAGUCAUCUUCCUCGUUUGAAAGGCCUUGCAACACGCCUCAGGAAAGAGGGGCAUUGACUGCACGACUGGACCUAGCUAGUCAACUGAAAGCCAUGCAACAUUUUACCCAAAAAAAAAAAAAAAAAGCCAUGCAAUAUUUCCAGGACCCAAGUCCACAUGAAUUAUUAAAUUGUUUGACUGCUUUAGAACAGACAUGGAAAUUGUUUAUACCUAAUUAAACGGCCUAUUUCCACAGGACAUGUGGACAGGAUCCACUCUGAUCACAGGGCCCCUACGGCAUGCUCACUACCGAAGCUAUAUAUCUUGGCCCUUUUUACCAACAGACACGUGUCGUGUUCACAAUCCAUGCCUGGAGUCUCACAUCGGAAAAAUGAGCACAAAGCACACCUCCCAAGGUCUAUAUAAGGAGACCCAUAUCCCCAAAAGGAAAAGAAGAAGAACUAACGGUACGCUAUCGUGUGAUCUGUCAGUUAACCUUACUAAAUCCAUACUCAUUUAGGCAUCGGAGAGCCUUCGGCCGGUACCGCACCGGUACCCCAAGGAUUUACCGAACGCGUCCUUUUGCAGGUACUUGACCCUCUGGAGUGGACCACUUACCAAGGACAGGGACCUACCGAAGGGACAUUUUGACUAAGUUGACGAAUUACGUAUCAAACCACUUUUUCGCAUCAACAGUUUGGCGCCGUCUGUGGGAAACCAAAAAAUCAUCAACCCACAAUCCCCUAAGCACAUGGGGACCACUUCAAAACAAACGUUCCUAGCGGAAGAGGGGGUACCGUUCGGAAGGCAGAGCGGAGCUAGCCCAGCGCUACCUCCAAACACUCCCUUCGGAAAUGCCCCCGCUACCCAAACGGCUGCCGAAGUCGAGAUGGCAGCCCAAAUCGCAUCCUUACGGAAGGACAUGGCGAGGCUUCAGGAACACAACAACUUCCUUUCGUCCAAAGUGGACGAAACCCAGCAGUUGCUUCACCAGCAGCAACCGCAGAACAUACAGACAACUCGCUCUUCCGAGAGCUUGCAGAACCCCCGCGGGAAGAACAAACGCGCGAAGGUAGCGAAGGCAACGCCCGCACCUUCCAAAGAGUUAGUGGUUCCGGCACCCCGGGAUCAGCCGCACAUCCCAAGGAAGGUCUACACCGAUUGCCGACAUCGGAUUAACGACCGGGAGCAUCGCACUAACGAUCGGGAGCCAGAGAGAGAGGGGUCACCGAUCAGGAUUGGCGCUCGAAUAAGGGAAUCACGGAUGAAUAACCUAGGGGAUAAGUCGCCUAUUCGGAAGGUCAGGGGAUUGGGCCCCGCCGAGUCUUCGGAGUCCGAGUACAUCCCUUCCAAGACACUUCCCCCCGACUACCGUUCGGAAACACCAUCGCGGUAUGCGGGGGAUAAUUCACUAAACCUACAAAGACAAUCGGAAGAUUACGGUUCCGAAGAAGUCCCUAGCCGAGACCCCAUGAUCCGACUCCUUUUUUAGAAGGUCCAGAAAAUGGAAAAUGACAAUGCGCGCUCCCAAGAACCGGAAUGGGGAAAGCUUCGGCCCGGACCGUUCACAAGGCGCAUCCGGGAUUCUCGGCAAGACAGGGAAGUGCAGCAACUGCGUAUACCGUUCUACACAGGAACGGAGGACCCUUUGACACACCUCCAUUCAUUCCAGUCCGCUAUUGGAUGCAAGGGCUUGAGCGAUGAGGGGCAGUGCCUGCUAUUCCCGUCUUCCCUUACCGGGGCAGCCUUGAACUGGUUCUACCGUUUAGAGCCGGAAACGGUAGCAUCCUUUGAUGAGCUGAAGCAGAUCUUCCUCAAUCACUUCAUGAUCCAAACGGACCGUCUCUACUCCGCCGAUGAUCUGUACACGAUUCGGCAAAGGGAGGACGAACCGUUGAGAGAAUACGCGGCGCGUUUCAGUCACGAGUACUCAAGGUGUCCGGAAACGGAUGAUAGGGCAGCCUACGGCGCCUUCAAGAGUGGCCUUCGGUCCUCUCAUUUUCGAUACCUGGUGCACAGUAGCAACUGGCGCACGUACGAUGAACUGAUGAAGCAGGCAGCAAUCCACGCCAAGGCCGAAUACUUCAACUCGAAACCCACGAUUUCGGCACCGCAAGGAAAUGCGGAACCAAGUGCCUAUCCGGCAAGGGCAACGCCUUAUGAGCGAGUCGACACCUACUCGGCAGGUCAUAAGAGGAAGGAUGAUCGUGCAGAUCGAAGGGAGCACCGAAAGAAAGAAAAAGGGAGGUACAGUCGCAACGACAACCGAGCCCCCCUGCCGAAUCGGGAUCAUGGCAAUGAGGUCUUCACCCUGUUGAAUACUACCUACGAGGCCGUCCUGAUGAACGAACAGGAAAAAAUACCCAAGCCGAAUCAACGAAGGCCCAAUCGGCAAGACAACCGGGAUACCGGUAAAUUCUGCCGAUACCAUCAGCACAACAGCCAUAAUACAGAAGACUGCAUAAGCCUGAGGAAGAUCAUCGAACGCUUGAUCCGAGAGGGGAAGCUAGACCAGUAUAUCGCCCGGCAGCCAACGGCGCCGGAGCCGAACGCAAAUCGGCAGAUAAACAUGAUAAGCACUAUCAGCGGCGGCCCAACCAUCGCAGGACUGAGCAAUCGCUCGAUGAAGCAGUACGUGCGUGCCGCACAGUUUCCCCAGGUGUUCGGCAUAGAGGUGAAUCGCCACCAUGAAACACCGAAGGAUCAUUGGGAGCCAAUCACGUUUUGCAAAGAAGAGGAACAGGGCAUUCUCUAUCCCCACGACGACCCAAUGAUCGUCCGAGCAGAAAUUGCCGAUUACGAUGUAGGGAGAGUACUGAUUGAUACAGGGAGCUCGGUAAACGUAAUCUUCGCCAAAGCUUUCCGAGAAAUGGGAAUACAGGACAGCCAGGUCAACCGGCAGUUGACGCCUUUGCUAAGUUUCUCCGGGGACAUGGUCCAACCGGUCGGUAGCGUAACGCUCCCAAUUACCUUCGGCACCGCGCCAAAGAGAACGACGGUAUAUGACCAGUUCCUCAUCGUUGACUGCCCGACGGCGUACAACGUCAUUGUUGGGCGAACGACACUGACCAGGGUAAAGGCGCAUCUCUCCCCACACAUGCUGUUGAUGAAAUUCCCGACCCCAAAUGGCGUAGGAUCUGUCAGGGGAAAUCAUCUGAGCGCACGGACUUGCUACGCCACGGCGAUCAAAUCAACCUCUCUCAAAAUCCCAGACGAGACCAUGUCUGUGCAGGGGAUGCCGAACGGCAACGGACCAGUUGACGACCCAAGAGAUGAGUCACCAACUCCUCAUACGCAACCCGCCGAAGAACUGGAGACGAUAACCCUGAGCGAUGAACAGCCCGAUCGUCGGGUUAAAAUCAGUACCAGACUGACCCCCGCCCUCCGAGCGCAGUUUAUAGACUUCUUACGGCACCAUUCGGAAGUGUUCGCAUGGUCCUACGAAGACAUGCCCGGCAUAGACCCUGAAAUCAUCAGCCAUAAACUCAGCAUUUUCCCAACCUACAAACCUGUAAGGCAGAAGCGCCGUUCGUAUGAUGCCGAACGGUACGAAGCCAUGCGGACGGAAGUUGACAAACUUCAAACCAUCGGCUUCAUCAGGGAAGUUACGUACCCGGUAUGGCUGGCGAACUCAGUCAUGGUUCGAAAGGGUACAGGCGGCUGGAGAAUGUGCCAAGACUACACCGAUCUGAACAAGGCCUGCCCAAAAGACAGCUUUCCGUUACCCCGAAUAGACCAGCUCGUGGACGCCACGGCAGGACACGAGCUGCUCAGCUUCAUGGACGCCUAUUCAGGGUACAACCAGAUUUUUAUGCACCCCCCCGACAGCGAGCACACCGCCUUCAUCACUGACAGAGGGUUGUACUGCUACAACGUCAUGCCGUUCGGCUUGAAGAACGCGGGGGCAACAUAUCAGAGGCUUGUCAACAGAAUCUUCACCGAACACAUCGGCAGCAUCAUGGAGGUUUACGUUGACGACAUGUUGGUGAAAAGCAGAACAGCCGAAGAACACCUGCACAAUCUGUCUAUCAUGUUCGGUAUCCUGAAGGGCUACCGAAUGAGGUUAAACCCGAUGAAAUGCGCCUUCGGUGUGUCUUCCGGGAAAUUCCUCGGAUUCAUGAUUAGUCACAGGGGUAUCGAAGCGAACCCCGAAAAAAUAAAGGCCAUCAUCGACAUGGAGAGGCCAAAAACAACAAAGGACAUUCAAAGCCUUACCGGACGAGUGGCUGCCCUGACUCGCUUUAUAUCCAAGGCUACCGACAAAUGUGUACCGUUCUUUAAAGCCUUGAAAGGGGGCAAACGAAAUAUCUUAUGGACUGCCGAAUGUGAUAAAGCAUUUCAAGACUUAAAAGACUAUAUGGGCAGAGCACCUCUCCUGUCAAAACCACUGCCUGGGGAGAUUCUUUACCUAUACCUCUCGGUAUCUAACACUGCCGUCAGUUCGGUGUUAAUCCGAAAACCGGAGAGGGCAGAGCUACCGAUCUUCUAUGUCAGUAAGGCACUCCAGAGCGCUGAACUUCGAUAUCCCCCAUUAGAGCAGCUUGCACUAGCCCUGGUGAUCUCGGCACGAAAACUUCGGCCAUACUUCCAAGCACACGGGAUCAAAGUCCUGACAAACCAACCGCUUCGGCAAGUACUCCAAAAACCAGAGACUUCCGGCCGAUUGAUCAAGUGGGCGAUUGAACUCGGAGAAUUCGAUAUACAAUUCGUGCCAAGGCCAGCCGAAAAGGGUCAGGCCAUUGCCGAUUUCAUCUCCGAGCUCACCCCACCAACGACACAGGAAAUACCCGAGCCAGUUACCGAAACCGCAGCACCGAUGGAGGUAGACGCCGAACGGCUCGACGCCUCAAAUCCUGUAUGGACUCUGCAUGUCGACGGCUCGGCAAACCAACAGGGGUGUGGAGCAGGGUUGGUUCGGACAACACCGGAGGGACUCAAGAUCGAGUACGCCCUCCGAUUCAACUUCCGAACCUCCAACAAUGAAGCAGAAUAUGAGGCUCUCUUGGCCGGCCUUCGUUUAGCCAAGAGCAUGAACGCAAAACAGAUCAAGAUACACAGUGACUCCCAACUCAUUGUGAACCAGGUAACGGCGGACUUCGCCGCCAGAGACGCCUCCAUGAACGCCUACCUUUCGUCCACCCACCAGCUGCUCCAGAGCUUCCGAGCCUAUGAGAUCAAACAGAUCCCCAGGAGCGAAAACAGUCAUGCCGAUGCUUUGGCGCGACUAGCCUCGGCAAUCAAUGACAAAAUCGGAAGAAAGGUGCCGGUGGAAAUUCUUGCCCAACCAAGCACGGCAACCUCCGAAAUAUGUACCGUACGGUACGAGGAUACGUGGAUGUCCCCUAUCUACUCAUACCUAACCAACGGCACCCUUCCAGAGGACAAGGCCCAGGCCUGAAAGCUUAGAUACCGAUCGGCAAGGUACACCGUCAUCAACGACGUCCUUUACAAACGUGGCUACACGACUCCGUAUCUCAAGUGCCUUACGGCAGAGCAGGGGAGCUACGUUCUCCGGGAAAUCCACAAUGGUGUUUGCGGCGAUCACUCUGGGUCCCGGUCACUCGCACACAAGGCCUUUCGGCAGGGAUACUUCUGGCCGACCAUGCACCAGGACGCCAAUUCACUUGUGAAGAAAUGCGAUAAAUGUCAGCGUUUCGGCAACAUACAGCAUAUCCCCGCCGAACCCUUGACACCGAUCGUGAGUCCUUGGCCUUUCGCACAGUGGGGGCUAGACCUGAUCGGUCCGAUGCCACAAGGUAAAGGCCAGGUGAAAUACGCUGUGGUUGCCGUCGACUACUUCACCAAAUGGGUGGAGGCCGAACCUCUUGCAACCAUAACGGCAGCAAGAGUAGAGGACUUCGUCUGGACUCACAUUUGUUGCCGUUUCGGUAUCCCGUACGCAAUCAUCACCGACAACGGCAGGCAGUUCGAUUCGGAACUCUUCAGGCACUUUUGCACCCGCCUGAAGAUCAACUUGUUUUUCGCAUCACCGGCCCAUCCCCAGUCGAACGGUCAGGUAGAAGCGAUAAACAAAAUCAUCAAGAAACUGCUAAAACGGCAGCUGGACAAAGCCAAAGGAGCCUGGCCAGAAAAGCUUCCCGAAGCGCUCUGGGCCAUUCGGACUUCUUACCGAACGUCCACAGGAGAAACCCCUUUCUCUUUGGCUUUCGGUUCGGAAGCCGUUGUGCCGGUAGAAAUUGGCGAACCUUCCUACCGAACGGAAACCUUCGCACCAGAACCAAAUGAAGAAGCACUUUCUCUAAGCCUCGACCUCCUGGAAGAGCACCGAGCACAUGCCAACCUUCGGAACGAAGCCUACAAGCAACGCGUCUCUCGGUAUUACGACUCCAGAAUCAGACACCGUUCAUUCCGAGCCGGUGAUUGGGUCAUGAGGAAGGUGUCCCUAGCAACUAAGGAUGCCACGGAAGGAACCCUCGGACCUUCCUGGGAAGGACCUUACGAGAUCAUCGGUAUCCUUCGAUCGGGAACCUACCGCCUAAGAGACUCCAACGGCAAGACCCUCGGUCAUCCUUGGAACGUAGAACAUCUCAAGUACUAUUUCAAGUAACCUAGCCUACGGCAGGACAGAGUUGCAACCUAGCCUACGGUAGGACAAAAUUGUAAAUGCCUUUCGGCAAAGAUAAAUAGAAAGCCUUCGGCACUAUUGCUUCAGAAACUCUUGUUACAGUCUCUACUAGCCUACGGCUGCCAAUAUAAGCAAGAUAACGUUCUGGGGCAUCUCUACUAACCUACGGCAGGAGGUAUUUUCGAAACUGUCACCCUACAGAUUCCAUCGGAACUUGACAAUUUCGAAAGCUACUUCUAUAACGUUAUAAAUCCUAUCGGCGAUAAAACAAAAUCAAAUCGAAAAGACAAAAAUAGACAAAAUAUGCACAUCUAAUUUAAAGAUGCCCUCGGCAUCAAGGCGUUCGGUACAGAUACAAAAUAACAAUAAAAAUAAGACAGGCUAAAACUAUUACAGAGGCCCUCAGGCUUCGUCAGCAGCAGCAUCCUCCCCCUCGUAGUCUUCGAUCAUCUCCUCAGUUAUUCCCUCGGGAAGGGGAGGGGGAUCGGCAGCGAAGUUGAGGUUCAGCUUCUGACCAGGGUUGUACCGCUUGAAUCGGUACAACAUACCCGCCAUCUCAGAGCCAACUUCCCUGUCCAGGAGGACAGUGAACUCCUCGGAAGAACGGUAUCCCUGGAUUGCCGUUUGAACGGCAGCCUCAACCUCCGCAGCCUUGGUCCGCUCGGACUCCUGCAGAGCGUCCUGAACCGCCUUCGAGACGGCCUCGGCAUCACGCGCUGCCAUCCGCGCUGCCUCCAGAGCCGCCCGCGCUGCCUCCAGAUCGGCCCGCAUCUCGCCGACCGUCGCCUCCGAAGUGAGAGCCCGCCGUUCGACAGCCUCUUUCUCUUUUAGCAGCUGGGCGUGGUCCUGGAUAGCCUUUCCAGCCUCGGCAACCUUAGCCCUGCCGUCGUCAUAGGCCUUUUUUGCCCGUUCGGCAGCGGAGAUGUGGCUGUGUGCCCGCUUGACACACAGCCACAUCUCCAUGGACGCCUGCACACGAGGAAGAUAGUUUGAAGCCCCACUUGGCACCGAAAAAAAAAAUAAUGAAAGGACAACACCGGGAGAUAAAUUCUUACCGCUGCUUGCAGUCGGAAGGCGCGUCCAGCCUGCUCCCGAAGAACCUUCUUCGGCAACUCGUCAACCUCCGGCAGCUCCAUCUGAGAACCGAGGAUCAUAUGGUCGACGAAUUGCACCGUCUUCGAGGGGCAAGCGAGAGUGACGGCCUCGGUAGGCCCAUCCUCGUCCUCCGCCGCAAAGACGGCCCUGGAAGCGUCUGACGGACGGCUUCGCUUGGACGCCGGAGAAGUUUCCAAGUCCACCGUUAUCGGCCGCUUCCCGGCAGCCCUUGAGGCGACGACAUCGGCGACGGCAUGCCUCGGCGCAUGGGGAUCGACAGCCGGCCUUGCGACAGGCUCAGCGCCCAACUGCCGCAUACGCUCAGUGAGGGUCACCUCCUCGGGGUCCGCCGACGACCGAACGGCAGGGGCCUCGAGCUGCUUCUUUUUCUUAUUGCCCUCGAGGCCCAUCAUGAGGCGCCUCCUGGAAGAUUCGUUCAUCUUCUUGGCCUCGGCAGCCCUCCUUGCGUCCGUCACUGGCCAAAAACAAUCAGUCAGUCGGCAAGCACACAAAAAAAAGAGAAGAGGAAGAAAAGCGCAACAAGUACACUUACUCUCGGCAGGGUCGACGAGCCCGGCUCUGAUGAGAUUAUUGGUGAAAAGGAAGCGCGGGUACACUCGCUCGGCGGCAGGGACCUUCAGCCUCACCCUGUCGAUCUGCCGAAUCUCGUCUUGUGUAGGAGUCGGCUGCUUGAGUUUGCCUGUUCGAAUAAAGAAUGAGUGAGCAAAUAUAAAAAGAAAACAGAAAGGCAACUAGGGACCUGCCGAUCGGUAACUAGGGACCUACCGGCGGUUUGGAAAGUCGUUGGUACUGGGGACUGCGGGCGUACUCCUGAUGGCGAUUCCCAUUGGCCAGAGAGUAGCACCCGCCGAUUCCUCCACGACUUCUGGGAAGUCGGCACCGAGCUGACGAAGUGACCUCGCUCGGAAGCCUUCAGGCAGUUCGCCUGAACCCAGCCACCAUGGUCGGCACUCUUCGACUUAGUGACGCUGUAGAGGUAGGAGAAUUGCUCGUAGGAAGGCUCCCCCUCCCCGGCAAUCCCAAAGGCCGUUAUCACCCCCAUCAGGGCCACCCAAAAGUUGGGGUUAUAUUGGCCCGGGGCAUACCCAAUCUGGGCAAGUAACUUCUGAACGGCAGGCUGCAACGGCAACCUGACCCCCUGCACCAGCAUAUCGGUGAAGAAGACGACUUCACCAUCCCCAGGGUCGCUGAGGGACUCGACCGGGCUCGGGACCCUCAUCUUCACCGAGUCAGGAAUGAGGUAUUCGGCCCUAAUCUUUUGAAGCUCCCGUUCGGUAAGUUUGUUCGGCCCCAAAUAAUCAACCCCGAACAGGGUCUUCUGCGGUAUGCCCACCGGUAUCCUAUACCGCUCUCGGUGGACGAUCGUAACUCUCGGCCGAGAGGGACCGGCAACACACUCAUCAUUGCCGGAGGUGGAAGCCUCUGGCUGGUGCUCAGACGGCACGACACGGGUACCGUCCCUGUACACCGCGACCAGGGGUAACGGGUGCCCCGUCAUGAACCCCUUACCGAUGCCGUGGGUGGGAAUGGAAUCCGCCUCCUCACCGAAUAGCUCGGCAUCGGAGUCUUCCCCGCCCUCGGCGCCGAGGCUCACGGCCUCGCUGGACGUACCCCAGCCGGAGGAUAGCUCCCCGUCGAAAGCGUUGGGCUCAUCGCCGAACGGUGACUCGCUAUCGGACAUCUACAAAACAAGAAAAAGGGAAAAACUAAGGUGCGUGCUGCGCUAUCCUACAGAUACCUACUUCUCUACCUAUGGCCACUAGACUACCGACGGAAGAUCCUACUUAACGAUCGGCGAGCCUAUGCCAUAUACAGAAGUAUAACAAAAUUCAGGGGUACCGAACGGUAUCUUACCUUGAGUGCUAUGAAAAUCGCCUAGCUUGCCGUUCGCACGCUUCGAAAAUCGCCUAGCUUGCCGUUCGCACGCUUCGAAAAUCGCCUAGCUUGCCGUUCGCACGCUUCAAAAAUCGCCUACUCAAGAGCUCUCGCGCAAACUCACAAUUGCAAAGUGAAUUUUUUCAUACAGAGCAACCUCUAUUUAUAGAGGGAGAACUGUAACGGUGCGCCUCGGGAGACGAAACGGCUCAUUAAUGCACCAACAGGCGUGUUAUUGCUGGCCACGCGUCACCCGGCAAAUGGCGCCUCUAUCGGCGCGCCAGGCACGGAAGACGAAGCGUCUCUCUGCCCUCUCGCCUCUCAACAUUGGCGACCCUUCAAGUCCCCGACCGAUUUUCCCAGAACACUACUUUCCGAAAGGAACAACUCAAGCGCCUUUCCUCCCCCAAAAUGAGCAUGCCGAACGGCAGGAGAACCUCCGAACUACCAAGGAAAACCAAAUUCCCUUCCGAAGAACCUUCGAAAGAGAACUUGAAGGACUACUGUUUAUACCUAAUUAAACGGCCUAUUUCCACCGGACACGUGGACAGGAUCCACUCUGAUCACAGGGCCCCUACGGCAUGCUCACUACCGAAGCUAUAUAUCUUGGCCCUUUUUACCAACAGACACGUGUCGUGUUCACAAUCCAUGCCUGGAGUCCCACAUCGGAAAAAUGAGCACAAAGCACACCUCCCAAGGUCUAUAUAAGGAGACCCAUAUCCCCAAAAGGAAAAGAAGAAGAACUAACGGUACGCUAUCGUGUGAUCUGUCAGUUAACCUUACUAAAUCCAUACUCAUUUAGGCAUCGGAGAGCCUUCGGCCGGUACCGCACCGGUACCCCAAGGAUUUACCGAACGCGUCCUUUUGCAGGUACUUGACCCUCUGGAGUGGACCACUUACCAAGGACAGGGACCUACCGAAGGGACAUUUUGACUAAGUUGACGAAUUACGUAUCUAACCACUUUUUCGCAUCAACAGAAAUCUUCAGAAGAUCGGAGCAUUCUCAUUGAGAAGAAGAAGACGACUAAAUUGCUAGCCCAAGAAUGCGUGGACAAUCUUCAUAAUUGUUACCAACUGGAAGUAACUUUCCAAGAAUAUAGCAAUCUAAGAAAUUAAGGGGAAAUCUUGAAAACUGGCAUUUUUCUUAAAAAGUAAAAAUAAAAUCACUUUUAGUCAUUCUUCUUCCUGUACAGCAGAUGCCAGCCAUUUUUCCAGUCAUGUUGGAUUUUCUGUAGGCCCCAGGGGAACAUACCCCAAUCUCAUAGAAUCAUGCUUGAUUCCCAUAUCAUAGAAAGACAAAAUAGUAUUUGGACAGUAACAUAUUCUGCUUUACAAAUAAAUAUACCAUAACUAAGUUUUCAUCUUAUGUUUGCCAACCAUACAAUUGAAAACCUGUCAUAUAUCUUUAACUUUGUUUGAGACCAUACCAGGAUUUCCCAAAGUGAGCACCUUGUUUUAAGCACAUAGGUUUUCAAAAGGGUAGAGAUAAGUUGUUAUUUUGAUCCAAUCAUUGCAUUUACGGGUUCUAGUUUACUUUACGUCAAAAUACCUAACUUAAGUAAGAAAUUUUAUAAUUUAAUUUAUCAAUAGCUUUCGCUUUCACGAAUAAUCGUGUUCAAUUAUUUCAUUUCUAAUAUGGAUUGCAAGUCUUAAUUUUACUUGAACUUACUUAAUAUCAUAUAAUUUGUUAAUAAUGACAUGCAUUUAAAAUUUAUUUUAGUUUUUUGGCUGGCUUAAAUCACUAAGAAAAUUUUGCCCAUGUAUUCCAUACUGCUAUUGAGAUGGCUCCCCUCGUGAUCUUUUUCCUAUUUUUUGUCCGUAUGCUCUAAUAAACUUCUAUAGCGUUUUUUACCAAAAAAAAAAAAAAAAGCUCCCUUUAAUCUCGUGCGGUACCCAACCAAAAGGAAAGGUUGUUGGAAAUGCAUCACUUAGUUUGGGAACACGCGUCAAAGGUAGAAGCGUACGUUCGUUUUUGUUGCAAGAAAGUGUACUUGCUUUAGAAUAAAAAAGAAGACGAAUAAUAUUUCUCAACAUUUGACGGUCCCCAGAUGCUAAUAAAUUAAUAAUGACCUUUUUAAUUUCCAAAGAACCCCCUCUUUUGCUAAUAUUCGUUUUUAGCUAAAUAAAUAGCUUUAAUAAGCAGGUAGUUGAAAUUGGCAACCACAUGCAAGAAUUAAUACCUCAAAAAAAUUCGAUUUGAAUACAUGAAUUAGGAACAUGGUAAGCCCCAAUGCUACACAUUAUAUAUCAAUUGGGCAAUUGAUUAGAAAUGAAUAAUUAAAACUUUAGUUACACACGCACAGACAAGAAAACAUUACAUGCCCUUUUUAAUAGUAUUAGGGCAAAUUCUGAUACACGACCAUCGCAAGGACUUAUUUGGUAUUUAUACAAUUCUAUUGAUUUUUGAUUGUAAAAUAAAACACACAAUUAGUCCUAUGAUAUGGUAUCAGUCUUGUUGGGAUCUGAUGAACGAGGGAGAGGAGGGUGAGGAGGGAGAGAAGAGGACACAGAUUGGACAAUGGAAUCAAACAUCAUCUUUUUCACUGACCUCCUCUUUGCUGGAAACACAGAUGCAAUCUUUGGCUUCUUCUUCAUUGCCUUCUCUGGCUCUGGGUUGACUGAUGCCAUUUUCCUCACUUGGGUUGCUCAGUUUUACCACCAAUUUGCUCUCUGCUUUGUAUUUGUGCUGCAGUGUUUAUGUGUUUGAUAAUGAGGCUUUAGGCUCUUUAUAUAAGUAAAAAAAAGGGGUUGCAACUUGCAGGUAAAAUUUGUGGGGCAGCUCAGUUUUGAAGCAUCAAAUUUGAUUGACCAAUCCAU